CUUUUUUUUGUAGUCCAAGAAACCUUUUUAUAGAUUUCUCACCACAACUACAGCCAUGUACAACACAGCCUGCACGAUAUGUAGACGAUAGCCAAUCCAGGCGUGUCUGCUGGAGUCUGCUCACAUGCAUGGACGAACUGAUCUUCCGUGUCUUGCAGGGAUCGUCCAGGCACCAACGUAGUACAACACUUCUCUAGUACUAUCGCUCAUCUCCCUCUUCUAUUAAGUCACCCGACUUGCGGGGCCGGGGAGUGUGCCUAUGGUCGGUUCUCAAUUGUCGUCCCACAUGUGUGUGCAAACACAAUAUGAUGCGCGUUCCAUUCAGAGAGUAGCGUGCCAGACCGACCGACCGUCUAGGGUGCGACGCGAAUGCGACGAGCGUGCUAUAUACUCCAUACAUGUGUACCGCCAUUUUCUAGACUCUUUGCUCCAUGGCGCGGGCGCAAUCCAUGGAUACAAAAUUAGUAUACUGUAUACUAUUUAAAAGUCGAGGGCGGGGCUUUUCCUGCGCGGUAGGCAGCGGGGCAGUUCCGCCUAGUCGGUUCGACAGAGACGCGAGAAGACGAGGGAGUAGGCUGCUGCAAACGUAGGGCUGUGUGAUUUGACAGUGAGUUACUGCUGGACAGGUGGGGCCCCGUGAUUUGACUUGCCAUUAUCAUUUUAACUAUGACCCUACGACCGGCGUGAGUCUCCUGAUUCCUGACCACCUCCAUACAGGUGCCUCUCCCAAUGCUCCACCAUGUAGUAGAGGCUGGCUCUUGCAUGAGAGCCCACUUUUCCACUUUUUCCUUGCCUCCCUUUCCUCCACAUAUGCAAAAAUGCCAUGUAAAGCGCACUAUUGUACUUACUUUUACUUGCUCCUAUAGGUGCUUAAGCUUGCCACAUAGGCAUAAAGUCUGAUGUGGCAAGUUAAUCAAGAAGAGAGAGACUAGUUUGGUGACCCAAGGAAGAAACGGUGCUAAGCGCGUGUACCUAGGUGAAAAGACAAUUUUGAGUCUAUAGCUAAUUAAAUGAAGCAAACUUAGCAACACCAUUUCAUUGGAAGAGGUCACUCCUUGGAAAAUGCAAUAAAUACCAGUACUCCCUGUGUCCCAUAAUAUAAGAACGUUUUUGGCACUACACUAGUGUCAAAAACAUUCUUAUAUUAUGGGAUGGAGGGUGUACGAAGAAAGAGAUAGAGAGGAGUAAAAAAAUAUACACUUAUAGCCAACCUUAUAGCCAACCUUGUUGUAGUAUGAGUGACUAAGUGAUGACUAUGUAUGACAUGCCAACAUCAGAUAGCCUAACGCACCGUGUUAAAUCUCCAAGGGCGCGAGCGACGCGAUGGUCGUUGUAGGCGCGACCAUGAUACGGGCUGCUGGCAGCUCUUGGAUCUGAGAUCAAACGGUCGCAUGCUAAGUUGUUGAAAAUUUGUAGAACAACCCUCCAGGAUAGGAUAUUCACCCAUAGGUCUAGAAUCACGCCAUGCAACCGUUCGAUCUCAGAUCCAAGGGCUCUCGGAAGCCCGUAUCAUGGGAGAAUGGAAAGCCACUACCCUGCCGUUCGCACGCUGGCAGUUCGCUCCUACUCGUCCCCGCACGUCCUUCAAUACUACGGCGGUUCGCUCCUAGUCGUCCCGUCCAUUCACAUUACGGCAGUUCCACUAAUCCUAACCCUCCUCCCAAAUCCAUGGCGUCCCAAAUCUCCACGAUCGGCGGUGAGUACAAGGUUAGAACCAUCACCGGCGAUGAGUUCGACGUCAUCUACACCCGUUCUUCUGUGACGGUGAAAGGAUGCCUUUCUCGCUUCAGACGCAUGUUCGAAGACUAAGAUGAUGAGUGCGUCGCUGGGCUAGAUGUUGAGUACACCACAGUCCUGGGACGAGAGAAGGAUCUAAAGGACGAAGAGAGGAAGAAGCCCGCCGUGAUCCAGGUUUGCGUGCAUGACUUAUGCUUGGUCUACCACAUAUGCCAUGCCGACGUUGAGUGCCAGGAUUUUAAGGACUUCCUCGAGAGCAACCUAGUCAAAUUCGUUACCAUAGACUUUGGUAACGACAAAGAAGUCCUGCGUCGGAUAGGCCUCGUUGUAGGCAACACCUUCGACCUCCAGAAGAAUCGGCUGGUGUCCUCUCGUCAGCCUUCAAUGCUGACCCUGGCAGGAGCCAUGGUUCAUCCUUCGUACGGUAAACUGGAGAAACCUCCAUACAUGUUUCAUCGUCAUGCAUGGCAGCGGAAUGUACUAGAUAUAGACCACAUCCACUAUGCUGCAAUGGAUGGCUACCUUUGCUUCAAUAUCUACAAGGGUUGGAUGAAGAGCAACAACCAAGUGUGCGGUUCAAGCAAAGAAGUAUCGGCCAAGAGGAAGAGGGACAAGGACGAAGUCGAGGACGUGGCCGAGGACUCCGAGUAAGGUGGCAGUGUCGUUGCUCAUGGUGGUUCUAAUGCAGUGUCUACCAGAAUAGUUGCAAAGUUUAAUUUCAGGUGUGCUUAAUUUAAUUUGAGGGGUGUGUUGUGCUGAGCCCCCAGCAGAACUAUGUUAUGUUUCUUCUCGUUACUUUAACUCUUCAGUACGUACAUACUAGUAUUUCUUACAUUUCAUCUUUUAGUUGGUAUAGUACUACCACUCGUUUCUUCACAUUAUAUACGUACAAUAUAUAUGGCCAACAUCAUAUAGCCAGUAGUUUAGUUGUCACAGAAUUUCAGGGUGCUUAGUUUUGUCAAAGAAUUCCAGGAUGCUUAGAGGGUGCUUGGAUCCAAGGGACUUAUUUUAGUCUGACUAAAAAUAGUCUCUUUAAGAGGCUAAAGUUCCAACCACCCCUGACUAAAGAGGGGCUAAAACUAGUCUUGAGACUAAUUUUUUUUAGUCAGGGGUACCCCUACUAAAAUGUGGAUUAGUCCUCUCUCUACUAAUUUAACUCCUCUCCUUUAACACAGGCGAGUUCUGGAUUGGAGGGUUUGGAGGAUAAUAAAUGCUCAUUAACUUGAUUUUAGCCUUUUUAGUAUUUGGAUCCAAGCAUGGGUGAGGCUAGCAUGUUUUAGUCCUACUACUUUUAGUCAUGGGACUAAAACGUAUCCAAGCACCACUACAAAAAAAGACACAUCCAUGACAUUCUGGGCCGAACAAAAAAAAUUCUGUCAUACAUAUGACACUUCUAUGACGAUAAUUGUGACAAACCCGGUAUCAUCAUAGAUGUGGUGGGCUCCUAAUUCUAUGACAAAAAAUCAUGACAGAAAAUGGGCUUUUCGUCCUGGGCGGGCCGGAGACGCAGCUGCAUGACAUUCUUUGGGCCGUCCAUGACGGAAAAACCGUGGUAGAAGCGAGGGCAAGGAAAAUUUCGGGGAGUUCCCGGUUACGGUGGGAGGUCGGGGGCCGAGUGAUGCACGUUUCUCUCGUACAUGUACCCGCGUGUGUGCGAGGCGUUGGCUCUAACUGAACCCGAGCGAGGCGUUGGGCUCUAACUGAACCCGAGCGAUUGCACUGCAGGCUACGCGUUACUGAACCCGAGUGAUCGAUCGAUGGCUGUUAACUGAACCCGAUCGAGUGAUUCCUUCGCUACUGCUGCUAAUUGAAGCCGAUCGAUUGGAUGAACAGUGAGCGUUGCGGGGGGGGUUGGAUGAACAGUGAGCGGUGGCGUUGCCUCCGGAUGAACAGGAGCUCGUGGUGUGGAGGGCUGGAUGAACAGUAGACGGUGGAGGGGUGCCCGUGGAGGGGUGGUUGAACAGGACCCCGUGGUGUGGAGGGCUGGAUGAACAGUAGACGGUGGAGGGGUGGUUGAACAGUAGCCGGUGGAGUAGCGCGCGGUGGAGGCUGCAUGAACAGGAGCCCGUGGAGGCUGGAGGAGGUCGACGAUGGAGAUGAAUAGUAUCCCGUGGAGUCCCGUUUUGUGGUACGCCACACCCCUCCCGAUGAAUAGGACCCCCGUUUCGACCGUAGGAGGGCCGUUUCGUCUGUUUUGUGGUACGCCACACCCCUCCCGAUCAACAGGACCCCCGUUUCAACCGUAGGAGGUCUGUUUCGUCUGUUUUGCGGUACGCCACACCCCUCCCGAUCAACAGGACCCCCGUUUCGACCGUAGGAGGUCCGUUUCCUCCGUUUUGCGGUACGCCACACCCCUCCGAUAAACAGGACCCCGUUCCGAAUGUAGGGGGUCUGUUUCCUCCGUUGUGCGGUACGCCAGGCCUCGUUUCCAUCGCCUGUUCCGUCCAAGCCCUCCCGAUGAACACGACCACGCAUUCCGUUCCAACCCAGCCGGUUGGCUCCCACGCAUUCCGUUGCCUCCCGAUGAACACGACGCAUUCUGUUGCCUCCCCAUGAACACGACGCAUUCCCUUGCCUCCCCAUGAACACGACGACGACGCUGUUUCUCCGUUCUGACCCAGCCAUGUACACGAGCCCUGGCCGUACGUAUGCGCGAGUAGGCGUUCGAGACCCCACCCGUAUGUACUCAUACGUGGCCAUAUUUUCUUUCUUGCACCCUGGCCGCUAUACGUACGUGUACAUGCUACGUGCGCGCCUCUACUACGACGCGUACGCGCCUCUACUAUGACACAUGCGUGCCUCUACAUCCACCAGUAUAUAUGUACGUACACGUUCGCGACCAGAAUGACAAUGCUACGUACGCUUCGACCAGGUGGGUCCCGACUGUCAGGCACUUCCUUGCCUGCGAAGAUGUAGCUGAUGGGUCCCAGCAGUCAGGGGGGCGAAUCAUUUUUUUUGCCCGGACGCACUUCCUUGCAUGCGAAGAUGUAGUUGGUGGGUCCCAGCAGUCAGGGGCAAAUGUAUUUUUCGCGAAAUACGGUGGCCCGUUCGGUGGGUCCCCGCUGUCAGAUGGAGGAAUGAUUAUUUUGCACGUAAUAAGGAGGCACUUCCUUGCUGCGGCCGUGGACCCAGCUGUCAGCCUCUCCACGUACAGUCCACGUCCGAUGGAAGCCGUUCCAUGACCAUGUUGACCACGCCGCGCCGAGAGCACCAGGUCAGUGGACGACAGCGAGGCCUGGGAAGGGGAUGACGCGGAGCCGGGGAAGACGCGGCAGUGGAUGCCCACGCGUAGAGGAGUACGAGGGUUCACUGGUUCGCUGCGGUGUGAGGCUGCCGUCGCCGCAGAAUAACAGGGGGUGUGGGUGAGUAGAGGGAUGGCCUGGCCAGCGGUGGGCGUAGUAGGGGGCGGUGAGCCCUCCGCCGCAUCGCAGCCGGCCAUGGGAGGCAGGAGCAUGAGGCACGACCGGCGCUGGUAUCGGCGACUGGAGCAAGAAGACUAGAGUUUCAAGAAGCACUACGGCCGUUGGAUGGACAUCGUACGGUCACUGGACCUAGAAUCGUGCAUAUUGACUAAGUUGACAAAGCCCUCCGUCCCCGUAAACUUAGUAGGCCCACAAGUCAGCCUGCCACUAUACUGGGUCCCAGCUAACAAGGGGAGUAUUCAUUUUUUUUGUGCGUAAUAAGGAGGCACUUCCUUGCGUGCGAAGAUAUAGCUGGUGGGUCCGAGCUGUCAGCGGCGGUAACGUUUUUUUCGCGAAAUACAGAGGCCCUUUCGGUGGGUCCCUGAUGUCAGGUGGAGGAAUCAUUAUUUUACGCGUAAUAAGGAGGCAUUUCCUUGCGUGCGGCCGUGGACCCAGCUGUCGGCCUCUCCACGUACAGUCCACUUCAGAUGCAUGUCGGUCGUUGACCACAUUGACCAGGCCGCGCCGAGAGCACCAGGGCGGUGGACGAGGGCGAGGCCUAGGAAGGGAACGACACGGAGGCAGGGAAGACUCGGCAGUUGUUUCCCACGCGGAUGGGAGUACGACUGUACGAGGGUUUACUGGUUCAUCUGCCGUCGCCGGAGAAUAACAGCAGGUGUGGGUGAGUAGAGGGAUGGCUAGGCCAGCGAUGGGAGUACGGUGGGGCGGUGAGGCCUGCGGCAGCAGAGCUGGCCGUGGGGAGGAGGGAGCAGGCAGUCCCGCCGGCGCUUGUUCGAGCGGCUGGAGCAGGAAGAGCAGAGAUUGAAGAAGCACGACGGCCGUUGCAUGGACAUCCAACAGUCAGCGCUUGUGCGUCAACCUUUUUUUUAGGAAAGCCUUAAAUCUGUGGAAAACAGCAUACAGCCCAUCUGCCAUUAUUUCUAAUAAUUUACAGCCCAUUUGCUAAUUAUUAAGGUUUUUUUGGAGCCCAUAUUCUUUUUGUUAGCAUUACAGCCCAUAUUGUGGCCACGGUUAAAAAAUUAUACGAAAUUUUGCAUAUUUCGGUGCGGUCCGAACUGUUUUUAAUCCCGAAAUUUCGACUCACAUUCAAACUGAUUUUAAAAAUAAAUGUAUAUCAAUAUAAAAUCCAACAAAUUCUCCACGCAUAAAAAUUAAUGUAAUUUAAAUCUCGAAAUGAAAAAAAAAGAUAUUUGAAACUAAUUGCCGGUUUGAUGUGUUUUAAAAAUGUACAACCCAUUUCUCAUUACCGAUGGGCCAUUUUCUCGGCCAGCCGAAUGAAAGCUCUCCUCGUCUUGAAAGAUUUGCAGCCCAACAGGCCUGACAAAGCGACUUACUUGGCAAAUCACAAAAAAACUGGGUUGUGGCCGUGGACCCAGCUGUCAGCCUCUCCACGUACAGUACUCUUCCGAUGGAAUGUCGUUGACCACGUUGACCACGCCGCGCCAAGAGCACCAAGGCGAUGGACGACGGCGAGGCCUAGGAAGGGGACGACGCGGAGCCGGGGAAGACGCGGCAGUGGAUGCCCACGCGGAGAGGUGUACGAGGGUUCACUGGUUCGGCGGUGGUGUGAGGCUGCCGUCACCGCAGGGCCUGGCUAGCGGUGGGAGUAGUAGGGGGCGAUGAGGCCUCACCGGCAGCACAGCCGGCCACUGGAGGCAGGAGCAGGCGGUCUCCCCGGCGCUGGUUUGGGCGGCUGGUGGAAGAAGAGCAGCGAUUGAAGAAGCAGCAGGACCGUACGCAUCAACUUAGUAGGCCCACAGGUCAGCCUCCCAACCGGUGCGCCCCAGAUGUCAGUGGGAGGAAUCAUUUUUUUCGCGUAAUAAGGAGGUAGUUGAUUGCGUGCGCCAGGCCAGCAGAGGGAGUAGGGUGGGCCGGGGAAGCCUGCGCGGCAUCACAGCGGGCCACAAGAGGAGGGAGCAGGCAGUCCCGCCGGCGCUAGUUUAGGCGGCUGGAGCAGGAAGAUCGGAGAUUGAAGAAGCACGUCGGCCGUUGGAUGGACAUCCAACAGUCACUGCUGCUAGAAUCGUGUGUUCACUGACAAAUCCUUGCGUAAACAAGUCAGCCUCGAAAUCUGUGGCGUGUACAGCCCAUUUGCUAUUAUUUUUAUAAUGUUUACUCAUUUUCUAAUUCAUAUGGAAUUUAUUGCAGCCAGUUUUCCAUUUUUAGAAUUGCUGGCCAUUUUCUGGUCAGUACCAGGGUCAAAAAAUUAACUAGAUAUGUGGGAAAUUUUGAAAAUUCGCAAAUUUUUGCUAGGGAACGAAAUAUUCUUAAUCCAAAAAUUAAUAGUCAUACUAAAACAAAUUUAAAAAUAAAUUAGUACUAUGUCAUGUUAAAUCCAAUGAAAUACGUAUAAGAUAUCAGUGAAGAACAAAAACAAAAAAAGAAACUUAUAUCCCAUUUGCUAUACUUUUUUUGGAAUUUUCAACCCCUUUUGAUAUUACUUUUAACAAACAUUGACCAUACUCUUAAGCCAGGUCGGAAUGCAUCCCUCCUCGUCUUGAAAGAUUUGCAGCCCAGUAAUUCGGAGAAAACAAAUAGGCCUAGCUUGGGUAUUCUUCAAAAAGAAAUACUGGGCUACCUAUUUUCCCAAAGAACUCGUGCAUGAGCAUUUAGCUUUAUUUAUUUAUUUAUUUACUUAUUUAUGUUUAGGGGACCAUGAGCAUGUACCUGGGCCGGAUUCAUGUCAGAGCCUCCCUUCCAGUUAAUUAUGGGCUUCUCUAUUGGGCCUUCAUCAGUGGGCUGCAUGUUAUCAACAAGUGGAAAAUGUGUUCCGUACGAAAAAUAGUAUGCGCUACGUACGGUACGGGGCACUAAGGGAUCGAACCGUGCAACGACUUCCAAAACAUUGUGUUUGUCAUUCUAACAACACAUUUAUUCAACCAACAGACGAAAUAUACUACUGAUUGUACAUUGAAAACAGCAGCAGCAACCAGGGCUGGGGGUGCAACAGAAGCAGUAAGCUGGACAGAAGAGUGAAGAUGCAGCUCUCUCUUCCAAACAAAACAUCAGCCAUCAUUACAAAAGGGCUACCAAAAAAGAACAAGUGUAUGAAUCAAACUAAAUAAAUAUCCUACUACACCAAGUGUACACAUCUAACUAACUGGCUCAAUUAGACGUUACUAUUUAUUAAGCUAACGGAGAUUGGCUGACGGCUUGAACCAGUGUCACGACCGGUUUUCCAAUAAAAAUAUUUAUUGAGAAAUCGAUCCCUUUUACGGACCAGUAGAGAAGAAUCCUUCUCACUGGUAGACAAAAUCUUGAUCACAGAAGAAAAACCAGGAGUACUAAAUAUAAUACAUGGUUGAGCGGAGACUGCCCAACAAUUUAUUACAAGCACGCCAAUAAUACAUAAAGGCGGAUAGGGUGGCAUAACUACUAACUCACGAUAAAAACGGUGGUGGAUAUAUCACAGUGAAGCGGUUGACAUGACUCCUGAAACUAACAGCUCUUCGAGCGUCGGAGUGAGGCUCGAGGAUACUUAUUGUGGGUGGCGGAAGCGUAUAUAAUACAAGUGACCAAUAUCCAGGAUCGCACGGGACUGACUGGGAUUCGUCUAGGCGUCGGACUCACUAUCAAACUCUUCAUCCAUGAGAUCGCCUUCGUCAACAUCUGGCCAAAUCAACAAGCCAGGUGAGUACUAUGAAAGUACUCGCAAGACAGUUCGGACAUAAGAUAUAACAAAUGUAAACAUGAUGCAUAUGAACAGAUUAAUAGAGCACACUCAAACAACGAGAUGGCAAUGCAUGGGAAAUAAAAGGGAAGUCGGGCGGUAGUCCUCCCGAAAUCCCAAAGUAAUACUGAAGGCCAAUCGAGUGUCUGAAUGACUCCUCGAAAGGAUACAAAUGAAAUAACAAUGCCGCAGUCGGGCGUCAAGGCGACACCACAUAAAGGGCUUAUAAUGGAAAGAUAAAUAACAGUGCGUGCCACAGUCGGACGUCUGAAGCGAAAUCACAUAAAGGGCUUAUAUCAAAAGUAAAUAACGGGCGUGCCACAGUCGGACGUCUGAGCGACAUCACAUAAAGGGCUUAUAUUGAAAGUAAAAGACAAGAGUGCCACAGUCGGACGUCUGAGCGACAUCACAUAAAGGGCUUAUAUUUCACAACUUAAUAAUUCAGUAGCUCAUGAAUUUAAUUCAUUUCAAGGGAAUAUUCAAGUACGAGAUAAACAAAAGGUUAGUCCAUCCACNNNNNNNNNNNNNNNNNNNNNNNNNNNNNNNNNNNNNNNNNNNNNNNNNNNNNNNNNNNNNNNNNNNNNNNNNNNNNNNNNNNNNNNNNNNNNNNNNNNNNNNNNNNNNNNNNNNNNNNNNNNNNNNNAUAUUGAAAGUAAAUGACAAGAGUGCCACAGUCGGACGUCUGAGCGACAUCACAUAAAGGGCUUAUAUUUCACAACUUAAUAAUUCAGUAGCUCAUGAAUUUAAUUCAUUUCAAGGGAAUAUUCAAGUACGAGAUAAACAAAAGGUUAGUCCAUCCACAGGAAUAACAAUUCAACGGGUAUACUACUCAAGCUUGUUCACCGGGGAUUUACCACGAGGACUGACAUAGAUAUGGAUAUACUGGCCAUGAUCCUUGACCAUGGACACGAGGAUUCGGAAGGGUUUGACUCUGCAGAGUUUGUACUAUUUAACCACAGCCAACGGAUUUCAGUAGUCACAAGGGACUAGUUCCGUUUACGGUGUUUUAGGAGAAACACAUCUAACCAGUACACACCCAUUCAACAUUCCGAAGCCAGGAAUCACCCUCGGCAACGUUCAAGAAAUUUUUUUGAGAUGGGGAGGCUACAACCUCGCGUAGCAUGGGAUCAAAUUUAUAUACGCGCGCUCUAAGGGGUGCCCCCCUCUCGGUCCCAACCGGAAACACCCAUGCCCCCUGACCGGAUGACUGGCUUUAAUCCAGGGCCAUGGAACCCUCAUCCCGGCCCCUCUGUUUGGUGUGUACACGGAAAGAGGUUAUCAACUUACUAAACCGUAUUCUUUGCAGAAAACAUGUGGCAGCACGAAAGGGGGAAGAACGGUAACGUGGCUCAGUCCACGUUAACGUCGGAGUUUAUCAGAUGACGUAAGACUGGCAUGCUACAACAAUACCAUCUUACUACCUUUCAUGUCACUACAUGAUCAGGUCAUCUCUCAACAAAGAUCACGAUAACUUCGAAACACACGGUCAGUUGCCUUGCAUGCAACGUAAUACUCACCGAUGCUCCUAUGCCAUGCACAAACCAUUCAAGCAAACAUGCAAAACACCCAUCAUAUCAAAGGUUCAAACAUGCUUGCCUGGUUCGAAGAAGUCGGGGUCUAGCUCGGCGAAGUUCGCGGCUCCGUCACCUCUUCCGGAACCUACGGUAUAACGAAACCGUAUACUAACGUGAACAUCGACGCGUGCAUAAAAAUUGCUCCAAAUUUUUUUCAAAUAAAUACUAUAAAAAACUAGACAAAAAUACAAGACUGCCAGAAAAAGAAUCAAUCAAAAAUCAUCUUUUAUUAAAAAGUGAUAAGGGUUUUAGUCCAGGGACUGAUUUGUGAUGAAACAGAAAAGAACCAGGGACUUGUUUGAAAAACCAGAAAACAGUUCGGAAAAAAUGCCCCAGCCCAAAGGGAAAGCGCGUUUUCCCGAAGGCGCCAUCAGAAAAUGCUUCGAGGGGGGAGAAGGAAGAGAGGCUGACGGGGGGUCCCACCCAACAGGUUUAAAAACUCCAAAGGGGCUCGCCGGCGCCCGAAGGCUGCGGUAGUCGCCGGCGUUGAACCACGGCGAGGCAGAGAGAUCAGAGGGUACCAAGAGGUUCAGGGUGUUCUUCCGCGUCGGUGGGUGGUGGACUUGGUCGUCCGAGAGCACCACGUCGACGGCGACACUUUCUCCGGCGGACGGUGGUUCGGGCGAUGGUGGAGUACUCCGGUGGGCGCUGCAACCUCCAAAUUGAAGCGCGGGUCAGAAGAGUGGAUGCAUUAGGAAGCUACUGGCAAGAGCUGAGAGGUAGAGGUGCACGCACAGGGGUGAAUCGAGCUGGACCCCGUGGCGGGUCGAGGCGGCCGGAGUUGGGGAAGAAGGCUCCCUCGGGGCUCUUCCAGUGGCUUGGCAUGGUAUUGGUGGAGUGCAGAGGUGGUGUGGGUUCGAGUUCGAGCUCGGGGCCUCCUUUUAUAGGCGAUCCGAGGGGGUGCCGUGAACGGGAUAGCUCCGGCGAGCGAUUACGGUGAGGCAGUGGUUGGGCAGGGGGUUUAAGCGGCUAGGCACCAUCAGGGAGGAUCACUGGUGCCGUUCCCCCGCUAAACCUUGGUCGGGCUUGGCGUAAUACGCCGAUCCUCGACGGGGCAGCCGUACGGGCACGGCGGCGGCAGAGAGCGCGCUCCGCGCCUAGCAGUUCACGAUGAUGGAUGGCAGCGUACACGGGUGAGUGGAUGGCCACGCGGCGGCCUCCGGUGGCUUGGGCGGCGCUGGACGGCGCCGACCAACGCUGCGCCUCUCUCUGGCAGCCGCAAAGCCGCUGCUGCCGUCGCUCACGGGGUGGCGCACCUCCUCCUGCUCGUCGCCGACGCCCGCUAGCCUCCAGACGAUCGUGCGGGGCAGGGAUAAGAAGGAGGGAACAGGGAGCAAGGCGCCACCGUGGUACUGGUGAGAUCGAGAACGAGCUCUGGAGAAAACGACAGUGGUUUACUAAAACUAUUUACUGAACUUCUGAACAUUGAAAGAAACAGUGCCCAUCAGGUGUUCGACGAAAUGAUUUGGCAUGAAGAAAUUUUUUUCUGGAGCUAGGACUUGGUGAGGUGACCUCUCAAUGCACCCAGAGGCUGCCUGAAUUUACUCAGAUUUUUAGGAGGAGAAAACAAUUGAAUUUCAUCAAAUUUGGCAAAUAUGGUCCAAACUUGCAGCAAGCACAAUUUGAAAUAUUUGAAUUGGAGACCACUGGAUCUUCAUGGAUCUUGGUUGAGGGCUCUAAGGACUAGCUAGGGAAAUUGGUUUGGAGGCAAAACUCAAAGUAGAAAGGGUAGCUCCUUUGUAAAUCUCCAAGAGCUAAAGUAGGAGGCAGAAUUUUUUUUUUGAUGAGAAAUAAAUGAAAGAAAAUUUUAUGGGGAGGUUCAAACUGCUGGAUUUGAAGUAUAUCAUGAUCCAAAGAUGGGGAAAGGCUUUUGGGAGGGGAUUUCCACUUAGGUCAUGGCAAGAGGGAUUUUUAAAAGGGGAAAAGUUCACUCCAAAUGUCAUAGGGCUAUUUAAAAGAUUUUCAAAAAAAUAUAUUUUUUUCAAAUGAAAAACCUUUGAGCCAACAUGAGAUGAAAAACCUCCAAGACCAACAAUCAAGUCUAGGAUGAAACCAAACAAAACAUUUGUCAUAAAAAGGAAAAUUUUGAGAGGGAGAGUUCUUUAGAAGAAAAUUUAAAUACCCUCCUCAAACCAAAUAAAAGAUUUUGAUAAAAACCAAAAAUAAAAUUUUUGGGUGUCACAACACCUACCCCCUUAGGAAAAAUCUCGUCCCCGAGAUUUUAGCUGAUCCUCAAAUAGAUGUGGGUACUCUGCCAGAAGAAAAUCUUCUCUUUCCCAUGUAGCUUCAUCCUCUGUGUGAUUGCUCCACUGAACCUUGAAAAUUUUUAUCGUUUUCUGACGGGUCCUCCUUUCAGACUCUUCCAAUAUCUUUACUGGUCGCUCUCUGUAGGUGAGAUCUGGUUGUACAUCAAUGUUUUCAUGAGAUACAUGCUUCUCCGGGUUGUUCACACAUUUCCUCAACUGUGAGACGUGAAACACGUCGUGGACGUCUGACAGCUCUUUGGGUAGGUCUAUCUGGUAGGCUACUGUGCCUCUUCGUGCAACUAUACAGAAGGGUCCAAUAAAUCUCGGGGCUAGCUUCCCCUUAAUUUUGAACCGUUGCAGGCCCCUCAUAGGAGACACUCGGAGGUAUACGUAAUCACUGGGUUCAAAGCUGACCUCACGAUGUUUUCGAUCGUAAUAGCUCUUUUGUCGGCUUUGAGCUGUCUUGAGUCUGUCCCUGAUCUGUUUAACUUUCUCCUCGGCUUCCUUGUGCAUGUCUGGGCCGAAGAUACGACUUUCACAUGUAUCUGACCAAUUUAGUGGGGUUCAACACCUCCGUCCGUACAGUGCUUCAAAAGGUGCCAUUUGCAGGCUGGCUUGGUAACUGUUGUUGUAAGAAAACUCGGCAUACGGCAAACUUUCUUCCCAACUGGAUCCAUAGGUGAGCACACAGGCUCUCAGCAUGUCCUCUAGGAUUUGGUUUACGCGUUCCGUCUGUCCAUCAGUCUGAGGGUGGUACGCUAUACUGAAAGCUAGUUGCGUGCCCAGAGCUUGUUGUAGGUGAUCCCAAAAUUUAGAGACAAAUUGAGUGCGUCGGUCGGAUAUUAUAGCCUUUGGGACUCCAUGUAGACAAACUAUACGGGAGAGAUAAAGCUUGGCUAGCCUUUGAGUGGAGUAGGUCGUCUUCACGGGAAUGAAAUGUGCUACCUUGGUUAGCCUAUCUGUGAUGACCCAUAUGGCAUCAUUUCCGCGUUGCGAUCGAGGUAGACCGACGAUGAAGUCCAUUCCAAUUUCAUCCCAUUUCCACUCAGGUAUCCGGUUUGGCUGUAGUAGCCCUGCUGGCUUUUGAUGCUCGGCUUUUAUGCGCUGACAUGAAUCGCAACAAGCAAUAAAUGCGGCUAUAUCCCUUUUCAUACCGUGCCACCAAAAUCUUUCCUGAAUGUCUUUGUACAUUUUGGUUCCUCCAGGGUGGAUCGAGUAUGGAGCGGUGUGGCUUUCGGUUAGGAUUUGUUGCUUGAGUUCCUCAAUGUUUGGUACGCAAAGCCUGUCCCCGUACCAUAAUAUUCCUUCAUUGUCUGUGACGAACUCUGAAGCCUUGCCAAGGCUCAUCUUCCUGUUUAUACCUUCGAUGCUGGGAUGUCCAUGCUGAGCCUUCUUAAUUUGUUCCAUUAGGGUGGGAUGUAUCUCCAGAUUUGAUACGUUGCCCUCAGAGACUAACACCAUGUUGAGUCUAGCGAACUCCUGCUGAAACUCAGGCCUCAAGUUUUGUGGACCGUCGUUGUCUGGGCUGGGGUUCCGACUAAGAGCAUCUGCCACUACAUUUGCUUUCCCUGGAUGGUAGUGAAUGCCGAUAUCAUAGUCCUUGACCAAUUCCAACCAGCGUCGUUGGCGUAAAUUUACCUCUGGUUGUGUGAAAAUAUAUUUAAGGCUCUUAUGGUCCGUAUAUAUUUCACAACGAUUCCCAACAGAAAGUGCCUCCACUCCUUGAGUGCAUGGAUGACCGCUGCUAGCUCCAAGUCAUGAGUUGGAUAAUUUUCCUCAUGCUUCCAUAGUUGCCUGGAAGCAUACGCGACAACUUUGCCAUCCUGCAUCAGCACGCACCCGAGGCCCUUCCGGGAUGCGUCACAAUACACUUCAAAACUCUUGUGUAUGUCUGGCACGAUCAAAACUGGUGCUGUUGUUAGUUUCUUCUUGAGUUCUUGGAAGCUCUUCUCGCACGCUUCCGUCCAUACAAACUUCUUGUCUUUCUUGAGCAACUGUGUCAUUGGUUUUGCCACAGUGGAGAAUCCUUCAAUAAAUCUUCUGUAAUAUCCGACCAUUCCCAGGAAAUUCCGCACAUCUGUCACGUUGGCUGGUGGUUUCCAGUCAAGUAUGGCUUUGACUUUUUCUGGGUCUACGGCCAUGCCUUCUUGGGUUAAUAUAUGGCCUAGGAAACCAACUUGCCUUAGCCAAAAUUCACACUUGCUAAAUUUGGCGUACAAUUGAUGUUUCCUUAAUUCUCCCAAUACAAUUCUGAGAUGUUCAGCAUGUUCUUCUAGUGUCCUUGAAUAUACCAGAAUGUCGUCAAUGAACACCACAACAAAUUUGUCCAUGAAUUUCAUAAACACUUUGUUCAUGAGGUGGACGAAAUAUGCGGGGGCGUUCGUCAGUCCAAACGGCAUUACUGUGAACUCAUAUAAUCCGUAUCUGGAGGUGAAUGCUGUCUUAGGGAUAUCUUCUGUCCAUACUUUCAAUUGAUGAUAUCCCGAUCUCAAAUCAAUUUUUGAGAACACCUUGGCUUGCGCGAGCUGGUCAAACAAAUCAUUUAUCUGUGGCAUCGGAUAUUUGUUUUUGAUGGUGACCAUAUUGAGAGCUCGGUAGUCUAUACACAACCUCAGUGUCCCAUCCUUUUUCUUGGCGAAUAAUACUGGUGAACCCCAUGGUGAGGAGCUGGCUCGAAUAAAUCCUUUGUCCAGUAAUUCCUUUAUUUGCUUUUUCAAUUCUACCAACUCCGAGGGUGCCAUUCUAUAAGGUUUCUUAUAGAUGGGAGUGGUGCCAGGUGCUAGUUCAAUGCUGAACUCUAUCUCUCGGUCUGGUGGCAUGCCUGGUAGUUCUUCAGGAAAUACGUCUGGAAACUCGCACACCACUGGAACUUUUCUCAAUUCUGAAAUGUCUACUUUGUUCAACUUUGGUUGCCAUGACCGUGGUCGCUCUUGAGCUGUAACUUUUAUUGUCUUGCCGUGAUGAUGAGUGAGGAUUACAGUCCGAUUGAAACAGUCAAUAAAUCCUUUGUUGGUGGUCAACCAGUCCAUCCCUAGGAUGACAUCCAGUCCUUUAUUUUCCAACAUGAUAAGAUUAGCCUGAAACUUUAGUCCUUCGAAUUCAAUAAUCACUCCUUGGCAGUAACUCUGAGUGAUCUGCUUAUUUCCGGGGGACUUGAUGAUCAUAGAUUUUUCCAAAGGAAGUAUCGGAAAACCAUGUUGCAAAACAAAACUCUUCGAAAUGAAUGAGUGAGAAGCUCCAGAAUCAAACAAAACCGUGGCAGGUACCGUGUUGACAGGGAACGUACCGAGUACGAUGUCUGGGGUAUUCUGUGCUUCUUCUCUGGUCACAUGGUUCAGGUGACCCUUCCUGUGGUUGUUGCUGGGAUUGAAAUUGUUGCGCUUGGGGGCUGGAUUAUUCCCACCAUUGUUCGGCUUGGGGGCCGAGUUCCUUGGCUUUGGGCACUGUUUGGCAUAGUGCCCUUCUUCACCACAAGCAUAGCAAGUGACCCCUGGAUGGUAUUUAAAGUCCUUGUCCCUCGAAUGAAACUGACUGGUUGGCCUUAGAGCAGUAGUCGUGGAUUUCCUCGCUUCAUUCCUCUGAACAUCAGUCUUGCUUCGGUUGUUGCGAGCAAGAGUCGUCUUGUCCCUCUUUCGCUUACGAAUAUCCUCCAGACUGCGGCACUCAUUCUCCAAAGUAAUGGCCUUGUCAACCAGAGUUUUGAAAUCUAGGAAAGUGUGUACGACCAGUUGGCAUCUUAGCGCUGGUGCCAGGCCGUCCAAGAAUUUUUCCAUCCUCUUGUUCUCAGUCAUAUGCUCGUCGUAGGCAUAACGAGAUAGCUGGGUAAACUGACCGUUGUAUUCCGUCACUGUCAUGCCUCUCUACUUGAGGUCAUCAAAUUCUCUUUUCUUGAUUUUUAUGAUGCUCCUGGGGAUGUGUGCGCCAUGAAAACCUUCCUUAAACUCCUCCCAGGUGAUGUUAUGUUCACUGGGAUGCAUGUGUAGGAAGUUCUCCCACCAUGCUGCAGCUGCUCCAGUGAGGUAGUGAGGUGCAUAAAGCACCUUCUCAUGAUCGGAACAUUGAGCAAUAAUCAACUUUCUUUCGAUGUCUCGAAGCCAAUCAUCGGCUUCAAGCGGCCUAUCAGUGUGAGCAAACAUUAGAGGGCGUGUCUUUUGCAGUUCAGAAAACUUGGAGUGCGGUUGGUAUGGCUCACGGUGAUUCCCCAUAUUGAUGACGUGAUUCAUCAUUUCUUGGUGUUGCUGUUGGCUUUGUUUGAAAAGGCGGCACACUUGAGAUAAGGCUGCCUCGCUGUCCUGUUGACUAGACUGUCCCUGAGUGAAGUUGUUGCUUGUCUGUGUCCCAUAAACUUCUUCUGGUUGAUUGGGCAUGGAACGAGUCCACGGACGAGACAUUUUCCACUCUGGGGUAUUAUUUUGCAAAGCUCAUGAGAAGAACUGUGUGGCACGAGGAAAAUCUUGCAAAGGCAAAAAUUUAAAAGACCUCAAGAUUUUUCAAGAAAACAUUUGACUGCGCACGGAGAAGGACUGCUUAACACAUAUCUUACAUGCGAUACGCAAACACACGAUACAACACUCAGGAUGUGCGUACACACUCCUGACAUGUUAUUAAGGCUAGCACACUACUCCGGGAUCCUACAUGACGCGCACACAAAUACUACAAACUUAAGUACAUAUAAAACAUAUCAUACAUGCAGGCACAACGCGCGGCGACUAGGCGCACUCAGUCGGAGAUGGUGAAGACGUCCUUCCCCUUGCCGAGGGUAAGACCCAGCGGUGCAGGAGACUCAACCUCCACCUCCUCCCUAAUAGGCUCCAGGCGUGUAGCACUGCGCUGAGGUGACGGCGCGGGUGCGACAGGCGAUAGUGCGGGGGCGGCAGGCAGUGCAGCUCUGACUGGAGUAGGAGCAAUGACCUGGCCGAACUCCUCAGUGGUAGGCAGACGUCGAGAAGUGUCCAAAAUGGCAGGUGAAUAGGACGCUGAGGACGAGACGAACGUCAGUGGCGGUGCCAUGUGGGGAAGCUCCUUCCUGCUGGCAGAACCGCCCCGAACUAAGUCCAUGCGGGCAGCCACAAGAUCGUCCACGAGGUUGUCGAAAUCUUCCUCCAGAGCUUAGAGAUACUCAACAAGCAUCUUGAUAGCUUCAUCUCGCUCUCCCCUAUGGCAGGAGAAUGCAUAGUGACAAGUAUAUGGCACAUGGCAUGGGAGGUAGCGGUAGCGACGAGUCUUCAUCAAAGGAAGAAUGUCCCGAAGGCGAGCGAUCGCCUCACGGGCAGCCAUCUGCAUGGCAUGCCUCUCCGUAGGCAUGGCCCUUCCCACAAAACGGAAGUGGCGAGACGCAGAACGUCCUCCCUUGAAUUGCACCACGGCCUGGUACAUAGACACGUCGUCGCUGAGCUUGUGCUGGUAAAGCGUGCACUCCGGACGAGUCGCUGGCCCGAUCGCGAGCCUGGUGAUGGAGACGAGGAGUUUGACAAACCCCUCGGGCACAUUAGUGAACACCCGAGUCUCGCAGUUGCUGCCAGCCAUCUACAAAACUAGGCAAAAUUCUGAGUAGUCAUAUCAUAAAUUUAUGAUGACCAACAGAAAAUAGCUACAUUUGCAAAAUGCUGAAAAAGCACUAAAGACGCUAAUAACCGAUUAGCGAUCACACCUAGUGGCUUCCUAUAGUCAGCCUGGCUCUGGUACCAAGCUUGUCACGACCGGUUUCCAAUAAAAAUAUUUAUUGAGAAAUCGAUCCCUUUUACGGACCAGUAGAGAAGAAUCCUUCUCACUGGUAGACAAAAUCUUGAUCACAGAAGAAAAAACCAGGAGUACUAAAUAUAAUACAAGGUUGAGCGGAGACUGCCCAACAAUUUAUUACAAGCACGCCAAUAAUACAUAAAGGCGGAUAGGGUGGCAUAACUACUAACUCACGACAAAAACGGUGGUGGAUAUAUCACAGUGAAGCGGUUGACAUGACUCCUGAAAGUAACAGCUCUUCGAGCGUCGGAGUGAGGCUCGAGGAUACUUAUUGUGGGUGGCGGAAGCGUAUAUAAUACAAGUGACCAAUAUCCAGGAUCGCACGGGACUGACUGGGAUUCCUCUAGGCAUCGGACUCACUAUCAAACUCUUCAUCCAUGAGAUCGCCUUCAUCAACAUCUGGCCAAAUCAACAAGCCAGGUGAGUACUAUGAAAGUACUCGCAAGAUAGUUCGGACAUAAGAUAUAACAAAUGUAAACAUGAUGCAUAUGAACAAAUUAAUAGAGCGCACUCAAAUAACGAGAUGGCAAUGCAUGGGAAAUAAAAGGGAAGUCGGGCGGUAGUCCUCCCGAAAUCCCAAAGUAAUACUGAAGGCCAAUCGAGUGUCUGAAUGACUCCUCGAAAGGAUACAAAUGAAAUAACAAUGCCGCAGUCGAGCGUCAAGGCGACACCACAUAAAGGGCUUAUAAUGGAAAGAUAAAUAACAGUGCGUGCCACAGUCGGAUGUCUGAAGCGACAUCACAUAAAGGGCUUAUAUCAAAAGUAAAUAACGGGCGUGCCACAGUCGGACGUCUGAGCGACAUCACAUAAAGGGCUUAUAUUGAAAGUAAAAGACAAGAGUGCCACAGUCGGACGUCUGAGCGACAUCACAUAAAGGGCUUAUAUCAAAAGUAAAUAACGGGCGUGCCUCAGUCGGACGUCUGAGCGACAUCACAUAAAGGGCUUAUAUUGAAGGUAAAAGACAAGAGUGCCACAGUCGGACGUCUGAGCAACAUCACAUAAAGGGCUUAUAUUUCACAACUUAAUAAUUCAGUAGCUUAUGAAUUUAAUUCAUUUCAAGGGAAUAUUCAAGUACGAGAUAAACAAAAGGUUAGUCCAUCCACAGGAAUAACAAUUCAACGGGUAUACUACUCAAGCUUGUUCACCGGGGAUUUACCACGAGGACUGACAUAGAUAUGGAUAUACUGGCCAUGAUCCUUGACCAUGGACACGAGGAUUCGGAAGGGUUUGACUCUGCAGAGUUUGUACUAUUUAACCACAGCCAACGGAUUUCAGUAGUCACAAGGGACUAGUUCCGUUUACGGUGUUUUAGGAGAAACACAUCUAACCAGUACACACCCAUUCAACAUUCCGAAGCCAGGAAUCACCCUCGGCAACGUUCAAGAAAAACUUUUGAGACGGGGAGGCUACAACCUCGCCUAGCAUGGGAUCAAAUUUAUAUACGCGCGCUCUAAGGGGUGCCCCCCUCUCGGUCCCAACCGGAAACACCCAUGCCCCUGACCGGAUGACUGGCUUUAAUCCAGGGCCAUGGAACCCUCAUCCCGGCCCCUCCGUUUGGUGUGUACACGGAAACAGGUUAUCAACAUACUAAACCGUAUUCUUUGCAGAAAACAUGUGGCAGCACGAAAGGGGGAAGAACGGUAACGUGGCUCAGUCCACGUUAACGUCGGAGUUUAUCAGAUGACGUAAGACUCGCAUGCUACAACAAUACCAUCUUACUACCUUGCAUGCAAUGUAAUACUCACCGAUGCUCCUAUGCCAUGCACAAACCAUUCAAGCAAACAUGCAAAACACCCAUCAUAUCAAAGGUUCAAACAUACUUGCCUGGUUCGGAGAAGUCGGAGUCUAGCUCGGCGAAGUUCGCGGCUCCGUCACCUCUUCCAGAACCGGUAUAACGAAACCGUAUACUAACGUGAACAUCGACGCGUGCAUAAAAAUUGCUCCAAAAUUUUCCAAAUAAAUACUAUAAAAAACUAGACAAAAAUACAAGUCUGUCAGAAAAAGAAUCAAUCAAAAAUCAUCUUUUAUUAAAAAGUUAUAAGGGUUUUAGUCCAGGGACUGAUAUGUGAUGAAACAGAAAAGAACCAGGGACUUGUUUGAAAAACCAGAAAACGGUUCGGAAAGAAAUGCGCCAGCCCAAAGGGAAAGCGCAUUUGCCCGAUGGCGCCAUUAGAAAACGGUUCGAGGGGGGAGAAGGAAGAGAGGCUGACGGGGGGUCCCACCCGUCAGGUUUAAAAACUCCAAAGGGGCUCGCCGGCGCCCGAAGGCUGCGGUGGUCGCCGGCGUUGAACCACGGCGAGGCAGAGAGAUCGGAGGGUACCAAGAGGUUCAGGGUGUUCUUCCGCGUCGGUGGGUGGUGGACUUGGUCGUCGGAGAGCACCACGUCGACGGUGACACUUUCUCCUGCGGACGGUGUUUCGGGCGAUGGUGGAGUACUCCGGUGGGCGCUACAACCUCCAAAUUGAAGCGCGGGUCAGAAGAGUGGAUGCAUUAGGAAGCUACUGGCAAGAGCUGAGAGGUAGAGGUGCACGCACGGGGGUGAAUCGAGCUGGACCCCGUGGCGGGUCGAGGCGGCCGGAGUUGGGGAAGAAGGCUCCCUCGGGGCUCUUCCAGUGGCUUGGCGUGGUAUUGGUGGAGUGCAGAGGUGGUGUGGGUUCGAGUUCGAGCUUGGGGCCUCCUUUUAUAGGCGAUCCGAGGGGGUGGCCGUGAACGGGAUAGCUCCGGCGAGCGAUUUACGGCGAGGCAGUGGUUGGGCAGGGGGUUUAAGCGGCUAGGCACCAUCAGGGAGGAUCACUGGUGCCGUUCCCCCGCUAAACCUUGGUCGGGCUUGGCGUAAUGCGCCGAUCCUCGACGGGGCGGCCGUACGGGCACGGCGGCGGGAGAGAGCGCGCUCCGCGCCUAGCAGUUCACGACGAUGGAUGGCAGCGUGCACGGGUGAGUGGAUGGCCACGCGGCGGCCUCCGGUGGCUUGGGCGGUGCUGGACGGCGCCGUCCAACGUUGCGCCUCUCUCUGGCUGCCGCAAAGCCGCUGCUGUUGUCGCUCACGGGGUGGCGCACCUCCUCCUGCUCGUCGCCAACGCCCGCUAGCCUCCAGACGAUCGUGCGGCGCAGGGAUAAGAAGGAGGGAACAGGGAGCAAGGCGCCACCAUGGUACUGGCGAGAUCGAGAACGAGCUCUAAAGAAAACUUCAGUGGUUUACUGAAACUAUUUACUGAACUUGUGAACAUUGACAGAAACAGUGCCCAUCAGGUGUUCGACGAAAUGAUUUGGCAUGAAGAAAUUUUUUCUGGAGCUGGGACUUGGUGAGGUGACCUCUCAAUGCACCCAGAGGCUGCCUGAAUUUACUCAUAUUUUUAGGAGGAGAAAACAAUUGAAUUUCAUCACAUUUGGCAAAUAUGGUCCAAACUUGCAGCAAGCACAAUUUGAAAUAUUUGAACCGGAGACCAGUGGAUCUUCAUGGAUCUUGGUUGAGGGCUCUAAGGACUAGCUAGGGAAAUUGGUUUGGAGGCAAAACUCAAAGUAGAAAGGGUAGCUCCUUUGUAAAUCUCCAAGAGCUAAAGUAGGAGGCAGAAUUUUUUUUGAUGAGAAAUAAAUGAGAGAAAAUUUUAUGGGGAGGUUCAAACUGCUGGAUUUGAAGUAUAUCAUGAUCCAAAGAUGGGGAAAGGCUUUUGGGAGGGGAUUUCCACUUAGGUCAUGGCAAGAGGGAUUUUUAAAAGGGGAAAAGAUCACUUCAAAUGUCAUAGGGCUAUUUAAAAGAUUUUCAAAAAAAUAUAUUUUUUUUAAAUGAAAAACCUUUGAGCCAACAUGAGAUGAAAAACCUCCAAGACCAACAAUCAAGUCUAGGAUGAAACCAAACAAAACAUUUGUCAUAAAAAGGAAAUUUUUGAGAGGGAGAGUUCUUUAGAAGAAAAUUUAAAUACCCUCCUCAAACCAAAUAAAAGAUUUUGAUAAAAACCAAAAAUAAAAUUUUUGGGUGUCACAACCAGAUGGGUGCCUGACGGGGGAAACUCCAGCCAGCAGGUCGAAGUCUGAUACUUGCGACCCUCUCUCCUACUUUGGGCUGCAGAGCGUGGCGGCACAUAUCAGGGUAUGGUGCAUGCAGAGACGCAUGGUACGUUGUGUACACACAGUUUUGCCUGAUGAACGAAACCGCGCUGCCAUCAUGAUCCUUGCCGUCGGUUAUCUCCUGGUUAAUCGGAUAAUUCAGUCCGACAAACAGAGAGCGUGUACCAAGGCUACUUACCAGCCUCCAGUCAAAAAUUCCUGAAGGCCCAGAGAAGCUGGGAUCCUGCUCAAAGACCUUGCAGUGACUGUGAUUGUAUUCCGCGAAACAACACGUCCGGUACGUGCGAACGAUCAUCAAUCUUUCACCGUCGUCUGAUUGAGCCAGGAACCACCUGCAACUGCCAUGCCACUUUUCUUUGAAAGGUUCUAGGAUUAGGAAGGGUAGGGACACCAGGCUGCCUACAACGUCAUAUCAAGUUGGAGUCAAAUAAAAAAGGGCUCUUGAUUUAGUCAAUCUUAAGAACAGCAUGUUAUGAGCAUGAAUAUUUUUUCAGCAAAUGUUGACACUAAUAUAAGCAAGCCAUCAUGAUAUCAUAGGAAAGUAACAUACUGCUGUAACAGCCGUUUGUAGCGAUGACUGGAGUAGGCCAGCAAUACGUCCAGCCAUAGAAGGAGUCGGCAGCGUAAAUGAAGCCCUUCUGUUCAAUGGCAUCAGAGAACCAUGGAGGAUGUAUGAUCCUGCGAUGGACGUGCAGAUGUAUCCACUUACCGCGGUUAAUACUUAAAUAGUAUAGCCAACUGUUGACUAUAAGAAAAUGCCAUGUCAUCUGUAGCCAACAUGUAUAACAAUGGAUACUCAAAAACUAAUUCUUGAAGAUCAUUUCUUGCAAAGCACAAUAAGAGUUAUUUCUUCACAAGUUUUGGAUGCAGGUUGAACAGUUGAACGCUUUUGUUUGCAAAAGAUACUUUUUUAUCUAUUUCACCCGGAUGUUUGUGAGCUCUAGAGAUGAAAUAAUAUCCGAACAAACCUAUCGAUACCCGUUACACAUGAGAUGACCCCCACAUCCUUUGCCAAAAUAAACAACUCCCAGAUCAAUGCAUUUCACUCUUCCGUGCAACGCAUGGGCACCUUACUAUAGAUUAGUACGACCAAAAAUUGAACUAACAUUAUACAUAGUACGAUAAAUGAUGAUGCAUGUCACCUAAAAUUAUAUCAUUGAAAACUAUGUUCAAAUAUGAAUCCAACGAUAUUGUUUUUGUUGACAUGCACUAACAUUUUGUCAGUUAAAUCUUCAGUCAAAUUCAAUGGGGGAUAAACCACGACCGAUGUAGUACUAGUGUAGAGGGCGGCGCUGCACGGGAGUCUCGCCCCGCUCGUGGCGCGGCAGUAAAGCCGUCAUAUCACAAAACCCAACCACUCCCAGUAAUAAGUGGCCUGCUAAAAUAAACGGACAAGCAACCAUCACAUCCCUCCGUCUUUUUUGCAUUUCAUCUCUCUGCAUUUACUUUCUCUGGUUCAUCUCGCACACUCGAUCCAUAGGUACUACUCCUAGUAUCCCUAGCUACUACUCCUAGGGCCAGUUCUUUUGGCGGCAUCCCCAGCUUUUCCCAUAAGACUAGUCACAGUGGAGAGUAACAUUAAGGCGCCUCAAUCAUUUAUUUGGGCUUCUAAACUACUACUAGUAGUGCCUUCAUCCUGGUUUAUUCCUCACCAUUGUAAUUUGUGCUAAAUUUUGACCAAAGAUUUAACUGAUAAAAUAUUAGUGCAUGUGACAUGCACUAACAUUUCAUUAGUUAAAUUUAUGAUCAAAAUUUGACACAGAUUACAAUGGGGACCAAUAAACCAGGACGGAGGUAGUAGUUAUGGGAUUACUAAUCUAGAAGCCUAAAAGAAUUGGCCCCUGGUACUCCUACUAGUAGUAGUACUCAAGUUGGAAUUCCAAUUGCACGGCACAACUUGUUAGGCAAAAAAUUCGAUACAGGGUGUAGGAAGCGGUUUGGGAAUUUGCAUGCCUUUCCAACCAGUGAGAUACUCCAUACAAAGUACGACAGAGAAAUAACCACAGAGAAGGAAGCUAAAAGUAAACAAUCAAACGAGCAUUUUUGCAUUUGUUUUGCAUUGAAUCGUUUCACAAGCUUGACUAGUGUUGUUUUUCUACUUUUACAAAAACCGCAUCGUAAUGUUAAAACGUGCAUUUGCACGUACAUAAGUAAUAGUAGUACUCCCUCCGUCUAGGUGUAUAAGUCUUCCCUCCUUCUUGAUGCAACAUCCCAAAUUUUCAAUUUGGAAUGUUAUACAUAGAUCAUCAUUGCAUAGCAUAUUUUAUUGCAUUGUGGCAAAUCCUCAAUAAAUCCUAAGCAACUCAAGGACCCUCGGAGAGAGUUGGGGAUUUAACCGGUUUUUCAUAUUUGAUUUUUAUCAAAUAAUAAAACGAGGAUUUUGGUUUUAAUUAUUUUUCUCUCUGAAAAAUAUUUCAUAUUAAAAUAAAUGAGAGGAGAAAAUAUGACUUCUCCAAAACAAUUGAAAUAUUGGAGGAAAAAUAUUAAAAUCAUAUAUUGGAUUUUAUUCGGAUUUUAUUUGCUAUUUUACUUGCAUUAAAAAAUUGCACGUUUUCAAAACUGCAUUUUUGUGUCAAAAAAAUGUUCACCUUGUUCUAAUUAUUUUAAUUAGACGGGGAAAAAUUGUUUUAUCAUUUUUGGAUUUUUCUUUAUUUUUCUGCGAUUUUUUUAUUUCGGCGGAAUAUUAUUUAAAAAAAACCCACCGCGCCCGACCNNNNNNNNNNNNNNNNNNNNNNNNNNNNNNNNNNNNNNNNNNNNNNNNNNNNNNNNNNNNNNNNNNNNNNNNNNNNNNNNNNNNNNNNNNNNNNNNNNNNNNNNNNNNNNNNNNNNNNNNNNNNNNNNNNNNNNNNNNNNNNNNNNNNNNNNNNNNNNNNNNNNNNNNNNNNNNNNNNNNNNNNNNNNNNNNNNNNNNNNNNNNNNNNNNNNNNNNNNNNNNNNNNNNNNNNNNNNNNNNNNNNNNNNNNNNNNNNNNNNNNNNNNNNNNNNNNNNNNNNNNNNNNNNNNNNNNNNNNNNNNNNNNNNNNNNNNNNNNNNNNNNNNNNNNNNNNNNNNNNNNNNNNNNNNNNNNNNNNNNNNNNNNNNNNNNNNNNNNNNNNNNNNNNNNNNNNNNNNNNNNNNNNNNNNNNNNNNNNNNNNNNNNNNNNNNNNNNNNNNNNNNNNNNNNNNNNNNNNNNNNNNNNNNNNNNNNNNNNNNNNNNNNNNNNNNNNNNNNNNNNNNNNNNNNNNNNNNNNNNNNNNNNNNNNNNNNNNNNNNNNNNNNNNNNNNNNNNNNNNNNNNNNNNNNNNCCGGAGCCCGCUGCGCCGCGCCCGAGGAGCCGCCGGCCCGCUCGCCGCACGCCGCCGCCGACGCCGCCCGAGCCCCGCCACCCCGCCGCCGGAGCCCCAAGCCGCCCCGCCGGAGCCCGUCCCGACGAGGUACCGAGCCGCCGCCGCCCUUGCCGGUUUUCUAAAAAAAACCGUUCGUUUUUUUCACUAAACCCUAGAUCGGUUUAUUUUUCUUCGGUUUUAUUAUUUAGUGAAUGUUCACCGACCCGUUCGUUAAAACGAACGUGUUCGUCGGAUUUUCGCUGUUAACGAACGUCCGUUCUUUAACCGUUCGUCGGUUUUUCUUUUUCGUCAGAUUUUUCCGUGAUUUUCCAGAUCUUGAUUUCAGAUCAGAUCUUCGUUUUCGUUUAACUUUUCGCUCGUUUAUCGGAAUCAGGCGAUUCAAGCGCCUAGAGUUUCAUCUCGAAAUUCUCUUUCCGUUUAACCUACUCAAACAAGUUUUUGCUACUGUAAAAUUUGACCUAGAUCCAGAUUAGUAAACGAAGCUUGUUUCUUUCGCCGUUUGACUUUCGUUGCUUCGUUCGAUUUGAUUCUUUUUGCAAACCGGAGUUCUUAAGUUGAACUUUCUGGUUGGAUCUUUUACUUGAGUUUUACCUGUGCAUUAGAUGAGUACUUAUUGUUUGCUUGUUUGUUUGCGAUAGAGUACCCGGAGUGCGCCGCUUGUUACUUCGAAUCUCUAGGUUUCGCGGAUCAUCAGCAAGGCAAGUAACACUUUGAUCAUACUUUUCCAUACCCAGUUUUAUUGCAUUAGAUCAAUCCUCAAACAUUGCAUGAUUAGGAUAUAAUUAAAUUGUGGGUAUUGGGAAGUAGUUGAGGUAGUACCUAUUACCUGUUUUAUUAUCAAACCCUUGGGAGUUACUUCUACGUUGCUAUUAUAUUGCUAUGCUAUGCUCGUAGACGUGGAUUGGGUUUGAGAGUAUUCAUGACAGAUGUGAGAUUGUUAAUUAAUGGUUUACUUAAGGUGGCAACUAAAACUCACAUCUGGGUGGAUUGAGGUACCUGGGUAUUCCAGGAUUGCCUGUUUUUCUUUUGGACCGCCACCCAGGUUCAAAGGGAUCAUGAGAUUAUUCAUGCUAGAAACUUCCGUGUGCAGCCGCAAGCUAUUAUGGGCUCUAGCAUAGUUGAUUAAGUUGUGUGAGCUCUUGAAGAGGUAGACUAGUAGAUGUAGGGGAUGUAGGUGGUACGGUCUACCCAGAGUAGAGAGUUAACGCUUCUGAAAGACUGUGUCUCGGUCAUCCGUUACUCAAACAUCAUGCAGUGCGAGAAUCAAGCGGACGCGAUUGAGUCUUGUGGGGAAAAGUGCACAAACCUCUGCAGAGUGUAUAAACUAAUCAUGGUUAGCCGUGUCCCCGGUUAUGGACAUCUUGAGUAUCUAGUACUUGGAUUAUCAUGUGAAUCUCAUCAUGUUAUUUUAAUUAAUCUUGUUGGGUUAAUGAUGAUACUUAAUUGGGAUUGAGAUGCUGUCAACCAUCUCAAUGUUUAACAACCACCAUGAUAGUUAAAUAAAAUUUAUUCCUUUGCAGUAGGGAAAAAUUGGCUUUUCGCAAAACUGUAACCAUAGAGCUUUCCACCAGCCAUAUCUGCAUGUAGUAUAGCAUUAUCAUGUUCAUUAUUCUCUAUGUGUUACUUUGCCAGCAUAUUCCAUGUGCUGACCCGUUUUCGGGCUGCAACGUUUCAUGUUGCAGACUUUUCAGACGACGAGUAAGGUGCCUUAGGUCGUGGUCUUAUACUCAGUGAUGCCGUUGGAGUUGAUGGACUCACUUAUCUUCCAAGCCUUCCGCUGUUAUCGUAUUUAGAUGACCUUAAGCCAUAUUUAUCAUACUUAUUCUCUUUGAGGUAUUCGAUGUAAUAAGUGUGUGAUUGCUACUCUGUUAUAAAUCCUCCAUUUGUACUGUGCGUGUCAGCAUUACUGAUCCAGGGAUGACACUGGUGCACAGCAGCACAGACUGCUUGAGGUCUGGUCGCUACACUUGGUCACGGUGCACAACCAAAGAUGAAUUAUUAACCUGGACGGAGGGAGUAGCACAGUCUGCAAGCAUAUAUCGAGAGAGACUUGUAGUGCGAUAGUAUAUAGUAAAGUUUGUGCUAUAUGCAUGUACUUGCAAAAUACGUACGAAUACACAAGGUUUCCAAACUUUCCCUUUUACAUACUUAAUUAAGGACGCUAAAAAUUCCUGAACGUUCGGGAUUUAUCAUUUGCGUCCCAAAACUAAUGAGAUCGCCUUACGAAACAAAAAUUAUACUCCUCCUAAAAGCCACGGCGCUCGCAGGAGCGCUUGCGGCGCGCCACGAGUACCCUGGUGCGCGGCCGUUUCCCAGCGCGCCGACACAACGCCUCUUCCUCAGCCUCGCAACUCGCGAGGUGCUGAUUGGCGGCUUGCUGGCGGGCGAGCGUGAUCUCACCGGUGUGGUGAUCCGGCGCCAACAGGUACUCCUCCUUGCUGGAAGCGUGCACCCGGUCCACGUACCGCCAAGCCUAGAUGAGGCGCUUAGGCCCGACUGCACUCAGGGCGUCGGCACGGGUGUCCUCCGCCACCCUCACGGCCCUCGCACGAGCCUUCCGCCAAAGAGCCAAUUGCCUGACUCUCUCGGACGCGACAUAGGCCUCCCAGGCAGCUUGUUCCGUGGUGCGCUUCUCUUCCUCGGCCUUCUUCUCUGCCUCUAUUUUGGCGCGCUCUGCUGGAGGCAAAGCCUCCCACAAGGCGACAUCCAUUUCUUUCCAAAGCUCCUUAAGGCUGGGGGGCUCGGCGGGCGGUGCGGCGUUCUCCUCGUAGCGGGGAGCCGACGCGUCCUCCAGCGCGCGUGCUGGCGAGAUUGGGAACGCCGACGCGUCCACCUCCACGCGUCGCGGCGAGGAGCGGAACGCCGACGCGUCCUCCUCGACUAGUGGCGGCGAGGAACGGAACGGCGACGCGUCGCGUCGCGGCAAGGAGCGGAACGCCAACGCGUCCUCCUCGACUAGUGGCGGCGAGGAACGGAACAGCGACGCGUCGCGUAGCGGCGAGGAGCGGAACACCGAUGAGUCCUCCUUGACUAGUGGCGGCGAGGAACGGAACGGCGACGCGUGACCAUCCGCGCGGUGCAGCGAGGGGCUCCUAGGGCUUGGGAGGGGCGAUGCCAUGGUGGUCGACGUGAGAGGGAGGGGAGGAGAUAGAGAUGAACGUGAACGUGAGGGGGAGGAGAUAGCGAUGUCGUGGGAGGCGCAGUAUUUAUAGCGAGCAAUGGCACACCUACGUAAGAUAUGGACUGAGCUGCACUGACUUAACUGCAGGUCCAGUUGCGUCACUGACAUGAGGGCCAGACCCCUGUUGGGCCCAUAUGUCAGUGACCCAAUGCACCUGCAGUUAAGUAACAGCUACGUGGGCAUAUUUGUUGGAGUAAAUUAAAAGGGGUGGAAAUAUUGCUGGUCACAACGGAUUGGACGAGCGUGGGGGAGGAGAGUCAUGCAUGCAGAUUUUUUCACACAGGGUGGAGUGGUGGGACUGCUGGAGGGAGAAGGAGAGUUUGGUAGGCAUAUUGUUUCCACACAUGGAGAGGAAAAGAUUUGGAGACGAACGGGCUUCCUGCAGGUAUGGGGAACGGUGCAUAAUAAGUCAUCUUGCAUGCCGGGCUAGGUAUAGUCUCAAGUCAUUAAAAACAUACACGCCCCACACAUGUUCAUAUUUCAAGGUGCACUAAAUUAUUGCAUGCGAUGAUUAAGGCUGGCCAUAAUGGUGGUAUCUUAGCUGGUAUCAUGCACAUGGGAAUAGCAAACAUGCUGAUGUGGCAAAGAAUUAAAGAAGAGAGGGGGUUAGAGUAACUAGUGUUCAUGCAUGCAUUGGUAAACACAUUUUUUUGUGAAGAACGACAGCACUAGUUGAGUACUUCUGCAGACUUCAAAAACUAUUCCCCGCCUCUACUAUCUUGCUAAGAGUAGGUGAAUUUUUGAAUCGAGCCCUUUAAACUAGAAGGGAGGUAGUGGUACUCUAAGGCUGGUCAUAGUGGGGAGUAACUUAGACUAGUAACAUGCAUAUGUUACUAGUCUAUGCUACUACCUCUAUAGUGCAUAGUAUCAUAGAUUAGUAUCAUAGGUGGUCUCAUUUAUUGCCAUGCAUGACACAUAGUAGCAUCACAUUUACUCCCUCCGUUCCUAAAUAUAAGUCUUUGUAGACAUUUCAAAUGGAAUAUAAUAUACGGAUGCAUGUAGACAUAUUUUAGUGUGCAGAUUCACUCAUUUUGCUCCGUAUGUAGUCACCUGUUGAAAUCUCUAGAAAGACUUAUAUUUGGGAACGGAGGGAGUAUUAUGUUACGGUAUCUACCUAUGUUACUAUAACCAUCUCUCUCUUCUUUAAUUGCCUACCACAUUAGCAUGUUUGCGAGUCCCAAGUGCAUGAUACUACUUAUGUUACCCCCACUAUGGCCAGCCUAAUAGCUAACCUUGUUGUGAUGACAAGAUAGGACAUGGCACGCACCUGGACGGAGGAAAUAGUCUGCAUUGUGCAUUUAAGUUUUGUCUGAAGUCAAUGUACCUCUACUUUCACCAGACUUAUAGAAAAAUGUGUCAACAUUCACAAUGUCAAAUCAAUAUUUUUACACUCAUUAUAAAACGUAGUUCUUAUACUCAUUAUAAUCAGUAUUGUAGAUAUUGAUAUUUUUAGUAUAAAUUUGGUCGUGGGAUUUCAUUGAUGCCUGUCAAAGCAUGGAGGAAGCGAAGCUUAGGGCUUGCAUUGCCGGUCUCUACAUAGGUAUUUCUCUUCAUAAUCCUGUAAUUUUAGAGACUGAUUGCGCUUUUGUGGUAGUGUCUCUUGCGUCGGGGGACUAUGAUAUGUCUGCUAUGCGUGACCUGAAGAUGAAAGCGUUGAGCAUCUCGAAGUUGAUCAACAAUCUUCAAUUGUCAAAGAGUAGCCGUUCGGCCAAUAAGGUGGCACACUUAAUCGCUAAGUAUAGCUUUGACAAUAGAUUAGAUGGUAUUCUUGUAAAUAACGUACUGCCCUGUGUGGUGAAUAUUGUAUCGGAUGAGUGUACUGGUGUGGCUGGUUAAUUAAUAUAAGGUGGUGUUCAAAAAAAGUAUAAAUUUGGUCAAACACUUUGCAAACGGUUGACGGGAGUAAAAAGGACCAGAGGGAGUAUCAUGCAUGCGGAGUAGGCAAAAAAAUUGCUUGUCUAAAAAAGGCAAAAAAAUUGCUCAUUUAUAGCCGGUCGAAGUCUCAAAGGGCGCGACCGCGCGAGGGAGGCGAAGGUUGUGGGAGGCGCGAUGUUUGACGGAAUUAAGUGAAGUUACAUCCACGCGCCGGCAUGGCGUGUGAACAGGCAGAAGCUAUACCGUCAGGCCUACGAUAUGGGUCUAGUAGACAUGACAUCUAGUGGAUCCCGCAUAGUUCUCGAGAACUCUUUGGGGGCUUGCAGCCGUUUAUCCACCGGGCAAGCCAACAACCCCACGCCGUUCGCACGCCCUACUCGUCCCCGUCUUCUACCUUACAACAGUUCGCUCCCAGUCGUCCCGUCCUUUCAGAUUAGUUCGCUCCCAGUUUUUUUUUUGCGGGGUACAACAGUUCAACUUCUCCUAACCCUCCUCCAAAAUCCAUGGCCUCCCAAAUCUCCAUGGUCGCCGCUGAGUACCAGGUUAGAGCCAUCACCGGCGAUCAGUUCAUCGUCAUCUACACACGCGGAUCCGAGACGGUGAAAGCAUGGCUUGCUCGCUUCCUACGCAUGUUCAACAGUUCAACGGAUGAGUGGGUCGCUAGGCUAGAUGUUGAGUACACCACAGUCCUGGGACGAGAGAAGGAUCUAAAGGACGAAGAGAGGAAGAAGCCCGCCGUGAUCCAGGUUUGCGUACAUAAUGUUUGCUUGGUCUACCACAUAUGCCAUGCCGACGUUGAGUGCCAGGAUUUUAAGAACUUCCUCAAGGACAAAAGAGUGAAAUUCGUUACUGUAGGCUUUAAGAACGACAGGGAUGUCCUGCAUCAGAUAGGUCUCGUUGUAGGCCAGCCCUUCGAUCUCCAGAAGGCAAGCCUGGUGUCCUCCUCUCAACCUUCAAUGCUGACCCUGGCAGCAGCCAUGAUUGAUCCUUCGUACGCUAAACUAAAGAAACCUCAUCACGAGUUUCAUCAUGCAUGGGAGUCGAAGACAUUAGAUGAAGAUCACAUCCUGUACGCAGCAAUGGAUGCCUACCUUUGUUUAAAUAUCUACAAGGGUUGGAUGAAGAAGCAGAGCCCAGUGUCCGGUUCAAGCAAAGAAGCGUCGGCGAAGAGGAAGAGGAAGAGGGACGAGAACGAAGUCGAGGACGUGGACUCAGACUCCGAGUAGGUGGCAGUGCCGUCGCUCAUGCUGGUUCUACUGCAGUGUCAAGCGGACUAGUUGCUUAGUUUAUUUUCAAGGGUGUGUUGUGUUGAGGCCCCAGCAGAACUAUGUUUAUGUUCUUUCUCGUUAUUUGAACUCUUUAGUAUGUACAGUAGUACUAGUACUAUGUCUUACUACUGUUCUUCUUGCAGUUGGUACUACUGCUCGUAUCUUCGUGUUCCUACCGUACUUAAUAAGUUCGUACUAGCAGUAUAAUUUGGGUCAGUCGAUUUGUGAAAGAAGUUUGACGGAGCGAAGGAAGAAGACGGCAGAAGAGGUGGAAGAAGCCCUUCUAGCCAUCCAUGUUGCAUCAAACGUCUCACAUGAGUCGACUGACCCAAAUUGCUCCUUCAGAUUGCAGGAUCCACGUGGCAUUCAAGGUCCCGAAGGUAGAUUCUGCAUCCGCACUCUGUUUGCGGGCUCGACGCGCGCGCGACCAGCUUCCGCCGCGACAGCCACCAUGCGCGCCUCCUCCACGUGGGCGGAGACGACAAUGACACGCUAGUUCCUCCUCGUCGGCGUGCUGGAGCACACGCUCGUCCUCCUCUUCAUACGCUGCGUGCAUAGACGCGGCUCCACCAGCUGCUCGCGUGCUUGGUAGCGCGGCGGCAUCGCGAGGAGGGACUGCAGACGACGUGAGCGGGUGAGCCUUCGGCUUCAUGGCACAGGGAUGGCGGCCACGGCGGUGAUGGGCGAGAAAUUGUUGGCCGGAGCAGGCGGGCGCCGGCAUGCGCAACGGCGGCGGCGGCAUAUUGAUGAGUGCGCGUGUGGGAUCUUACUUUAGUUUUAUAUAUAAGGUUGGUCAAACUUAAAAGAAAACCGUACUAGUACACGUAAACAUUAGACUUAGGCAGUGCUUUUAUUAGUUAGUACCACAGCCACGAUAUGGAAUCAUGUGCAAGCGCGUGAACCGCGGCCGCGCGGUCGAUCGAACGGUGCGUCACCAUGUCGCGCUCGAAGGACAUCCACCGAACCUUUUUGUGUGUGUGAAAACAAUCCUCGAAUAUUACUCAACUUUUUUUUCUUGUGAAAUUUCUUGACGCUGCAAUAUUUCCAUAUAUUUGAAUUUAGCUCCAGUUCGUGUUUAUUUGGAUUUGGACGUUUUAGGUGUGUCCUAGUUUUUUUUAAUACUGAUUUUGUGUGUGUGACUGAGAGAGAACGUGUGUAUGUGUCCAUAUGUGUGUUGUGGCGGAAGGGCAAUGUGGAGACGGUGUGCAUGUGAUAGAGACAUAGAGAGGUGUGAAUGUGCAAAUGAUCAUGCAUGAGUGAGACAUAGACAGAUGCCGAUACGUUGUGUAUACAUGAGAGAAUGGUCUUCUAGUUUACUUGUGUGUGUGUGAGAGAGAGAGAGAGACAGAGAGAGGGAGAGAGAGAGACAGAGAGAGGAGCAUCCGUAACACAACAACCAUCUCUCUCGAUUCGCCCGUCCCUCGCACGGUCGCAUGCAACACAUGCAUCAACGCGCACAUUUUGACACCCUCACCCGGCCCCUGCCCACCUCAAGGCCCGCACAAUCUCUUCGUGAAUACCCAUUUCUCUCCUUAGGUUUGUUUUCUCUCAAUAUCUGACACACACAGACACACACAGAGAGAGAGAGACACACGCAGCACAACACACACACACACACACUCCCCCGAGCACACAAUUCAUCCCCAUCCAAGGUUAUACGGCGACCACUCUUGCUUGUGCUUCUUUGCACCGCAACAUGCACAACACCUCAAUCUUCAAAGAGGGCAUCGAGCAGAUCAAAGACGGCGACCACACCGCGCUAGAGAAUGCGGGGUCAUUUGGAAGCAAGGUGAUGUGACGACGGCUGACUGACUCCUCCCCCACCCUCUCUCUCUCUCUCUCUUGCACAAAAUUACCAAUCCCUCUCUCCCCCGCACAAAAUAGUCAAUCCCUCAACCCACGAGAUCCUUCCCCUCUCGUCCAUGUUUUUCCAGCUCUCCCAUCAAACAUGUUGUCUCUUCUCCUUCCACGUAUACAGAAUCCAGAUGCACACGCAUCUCAUGUAUAUUACAUGUAUCCAUCUUUCUCACAGACCUAACUUCUUCCUCUCUCUUUCUCUCUCUAUCUCUCUCUCUGUCUCGUUAGGUUUGUCUCCUACUCUCUCGUCCACAUACAUACAAUCUUUCCUGCCCUAUCUGCUCCAUCUUCAAAAGCUCUCUCUGCACGUUUCAUUCACACAUUGGGACAUGUCAAAAUGUUGCUUCUAUAAUGGCUGAUGUAGAGUUAUCGUUGUUUUUGUUGCAUCCUACAAAGUAAUAACUAUGAAAUGCAUUUAGAUUCUCAUUUGACUGGGAUUAUGUGAGUUUUAGCAUGUUGUGAAGUACUAUAGACCUUGUAUACAUCUUGGGAUUUGACAAUGAUUGUAACUAUUGAAUUGUAUAGACCAUUACAUUCGAAGUCAAUAGCCUAAUAUAUUUAUUUCACAAUUUCAACAAAUGAUUAGUUCACUACAAACUAAGAAAACAAAUGUGUACUCCCUCCGUUUUUAUUUAAGUCCACGUAUUAGCAUUGGUCAAAGUCAAGUUUUGUAAAUUCUCAGAAAGCUUAUAACAAAAAAUAUUAACAUAUACAAUAACAAAUAAAUACCAUUAGAUUCAUUAUUGAAUGUACUUCCACAUCAUACAUAUUUGUUAUGGUAAAUGUUUAUAUUUUUCUAUAAACUUGGUCAAACUUUAGGAAGUUUGACUUCGGUCAAACCUAAUAUGCAGAGUUUACUACUACUACUCGCUAGUUGCUUAGCCGAAUCACUCAACAUGCCACACGGGGAGUCCAGUGUCACAAAAUUUUGAGGUCGGCGGGAAAAUCUCCCGCGACCCUGAUUCGAGUAGUGGGAAGUUACCAUCAUAGCCUUCGGAACAGCCCUACGGAUGACGCUUGGUAGGGGGCUGUUUUCGUAAGUUCAGGUUCACCCUACCCAGCCAACCCCACCCCGGCACCCACAGUAGUACACCUGAAUACUCUCCAUUUUCUAUCCCCACCGCAAAAUAGACAUCUCCACGGCACCGCAGCCUUCGUGCUCCUCCCCUUUACAUCAGCGCACUCGUCCACCGCAGCGCAUCUGCCUCAUCGACGACCUCGUACGCCGCACUGGAGCCGGUCCACCGUCGUCUUCAUACACGGAGCCUCUUCCCCGGCAUCGUCUUCCACGGUCCCGGAUCUACUUCCCGGAAGCCGACGCCAAGCGCAGAAGUACCACCGUCGUGGAUAAUGAACUGACUCCCGUUGCUGACCAUGACUCACAGAGGCCGCCGCAACCAUCUUUCUCCUCCUCGAUUGGUAAUGUGUGUAUUGAAUCACUUAGCAGUACAUGUGUCGUUCCAAUUUUGUUCAUACCUACCCUUCAAAUUUCCUGGGUGCUAUUGUUCCCGUAAAAGUAAUUGGUUAUAGCCCCCAUUCUCCAACAGAAUAUCAGCUUGUAAUUGUGCGUCGCUCCUGUAUCGCGCUGUGCUUGGGUAGGUUUUUCAUCCGCAACCAGUAGUGUGGCAAAUGAUGGAAAGGUUUUUAGAACUAGCAAGAUGCCCAUGCGUUGCACGCAUCAAGAUGCAUUUGUAUGAGUAGUUUAUCUUGUGGGAGAAAAGGAUGAACGAGGGAAGGCCUUAUUUGCAAAUCUGGAGAGGGGUAUGGGUAUCAUUUUGCAAAAUUCCCAUUUGUUUCCUUCCUAUCUGUCAGAUAUAAAUCGGACGGCCUAUAUUGCAAGAAAAAAAGUAUAGAGAAAAAAAGUCGACAGUAAAGGAAGUAGAGAUAAAUAUUAAAUAUAAAAUAUAAAAUAAAAAUAACAGUAGAGAAGAGAGUAGAGAUAGCAGAGACGUCGGGAAAGGAUCGUGCGCGCGCGGGAAAAAGCGGCCGGGCGUGCGCUAGUUUUGGCGUGCGGCGUCCGGCGCGCUAUAUAAAAUCCAACGCCCUCCCACCGCUCUGUGCCUUGCCACCGCACUCUCCCCGCUCUUUGCCUCGCCACCGCUCUCUCCCCGCUCUGUUUCGCCUUGCCGCCGCUGCGCCACCAUGCCGCCGCGUCGCCGGGAAACUUGGGGAUACCGCGGCGUCCGCGCGCGCCCCUCCGGCGGCUUCUCCGCUAAGAUCCGGUUCCGCGGGAUGCGCCUCGGCCUCGGCAAUUUCGACACCGCCAACGAGGCCGCCCGCGUGUACGACGCGGCGGUGUGGCGCCUUCGGUGGCCUCAUAGAACAUUGAACUUCCCCAGCGUGCCGACGCGGGAGCGGGCGCAGGAGCUCGCGCCUCUGCCGCGGCUUAGCACCGACGAGGAUCGUCCCGACAACCGGAGGCGGGAGCACCGUCUCGGCAUCACUGAGAUGGACGAGGAAGCCAUGGCGCUGUGGCGCCAACACUUCCCGCAGGACAUCAUCAAAGAGCGCGAGUUCUACGCGCAAAGGAGGGUGGAGAGGGAUAAGAGGAGGGCCGAGCGAGCCGCCUAUCGCGAGGACAAGCGUAGGCGAAAAGCGGACGCUCAAUUCAACAUGAGGCUAGGAGCAGCGUCGCCCUGGGAAUCCGACGACGAUCUGUAUCUUCACGCCUACAGUUAGACGUCGGAGGAGGACAUCACCGAGGAGGAGUCGGACGACGUGGAGUAGUUGAAUUAUCUUUUUUUAUCUAUGUAUGCUGAGAACUAUCCUCUACUCUCUAGUAUCUACUUCUCGAUCUCAGCACUGUAAACGCUUUUUUAAAGCGUCGCGCGUUGCGAUUCUGUUGGAGAUGCUCUAACAUGGCAGACGAGUGCUUUAAUGUUGCCCACAAGAUGCGCGAGUAUUACUAGUAGUAUAUUUUUCUUGCCAUGUUGAGAUUUUAAAACCACGAGUGCGAACAUGCAGAGGACCAAUGAAGACCAAACACGGGAUAUUCGGGACAUCUUCAAGGAGCGUGGCAAGUUAAAGAGGAGCUGCACCGAACCUGUAAAAUGAGCUUUGGUAAGUAACACCCUUUCAAUUACUUUCGUGUAGCCUCGUGUUCUUCGAUGUGUAUAUGUUUUAGUUUAUGUUUCUCUUAAGCGUGGUGUUCUUCGAUGUGUAAUAAGAAGAGUCUUAAUCGUCCUAAUGCUUUCGUUUUUAGCUUGAUGUAGGAAGUGGGGGUUCUCACCUUGUAGUCUGUUUUUAUUUUUUAUUUCCUUUUGAAUUCACUUCUCCGAGUUCUGUUUAUCUGGCUUCUACUAAAUGGAUCUAGGUUGCUCUGAGUAUUGAUCUAAAAAAGAAGUAACUUCAUGUCAGGAUGCAGUUCCUGCGAGGAGGGUAGUAUGGUCAACCUCGAGAUCAUGUUUCCAAAAUGAGGCUGGAUUACACAUAAGGUGUCAGUUCCCUAAUGAUGCUGGAUUAGACACAAGGUGCAAAUUCCUAGAUGAUGCUGGAUUACACACAAGCCAGGUAGAGUCGUCAGCUGUUCGUGUCCUCGUGGCAUUAGUAAAGGCUGAAAGAAAGCGUGCAGCAGCCCUUGAGAAUGUAGCAGAGUUCCUAAAGAAGCGAAAAGAGCAAUCAGAUGCUCCCUUCACCCAAGCCAAAGAAGAGAUGGAAGAAGCCAGAAAUAAGCUAGCAGAGCAGGCUAGGCGUCUCCUGCUAUCUAAAACUGUUGUCAAUACAAAAUUUCCUUCAUAAUAACUAGGUUCAAAUGUUUAUCCAGUCAGCAUGCCUGUUGUGAUGUCCGUGCAUCUACUGAUGUGGCACAAAAUGUUUUUUCUGGGUCAUGUAAUAACAGCAAUUACUUUCCAAACAAUAACAGACGAAGCAUUAGACAUGGUAUAGUUCACGCGCAAGCCCGACAUUCCAAGUUCAACUUCCACAUCAAACUCAUGUUCACAGAUAUCUGCACAUUCAUACAUAAUGUCCACAACCAUGAUUCACUUCAAAGCCAAAAAAAUGUGAGGAGAGUUAUAAAUAAAGAAAAUCCUCCACUAGUUCCUGCUACCAGUGCGAGCACAACAACUUAAGACCAUGCGUAAAUUAAUUAUAUUUUAGUCAUUUUUUGUGUUCUAAAAUGCCAGCCGGCUCGCGGAAGGACGUGUUGCCGGCACACACGUGGAUUCAAUGAAGGCAGGCAGGGCAGUCUUAAGCUGAUUGCACGCGGCGAGGAGGCGUGCUCAGCCGGGCCUGCAGCGAGUGCGGCCCUCUUGGCCGGUGCGCCGGUUCAAUGCCUGCGCUAUGAGAGGUCGCGUCCGUGUCAGAGCAAUCACUCCCUCCAGUCCUUUUUUGUUUGGGUAUAACAAAAUCUCGUUUUCCAUUCACAUUUAACAAGUAAAAUUCAUGGACAAACUUUGACCCAAAGUACGAUGGGGACUAGUAAACCAGAAUGGAGGUAGUAGUUUUUUUAAUCAAAGAAGGGUUUCCCCUUCCGAUUUUCAUUACUGAAAACCAGCAUCUAAAUCUAAACCAUAGUAUUUGCCCUAGAACUACCAGGUUCAACAUCUCGCAACAUAAACCCAUACAACCUCCAUCGCAAAAAGAAAAACCAUACGCCAAGGAGGUAUGUAGUAAUAUGAAUUCCAUUUUCGCUCCAUACCAAUCGUUCUAAAAACUACUUACUACUUAUAACGCACCAUUGAAAAUCGGAACUCUUAACCCCACUAAAAAAACGAUAUUUUAAACGUGGCUACUCGAUCUGUGGCAACUGGCGAGCCACCGUGCUCCAAGUCGUUCACCUGUGGUCCCGACCAUCAACUCCUACGGAUCAAAUUAUCACGCGAGCUGACUAUUCCUACAAAGGUGCUCCACCGCGUACCCGGUACCCGCGAAUGCAGCAAUCGUGCACCUAGGGUUUUAGGGUUUAUUUGUUAACGUCGCCUUUACGUAACACUCAUGUGUGCGAGACAGCGAGAGGCCGGCUGCGUGCGUGCACCUCUUCUCUUCGUAUAUGUACUCCACCGUUUGUCUGGUGUCCAAAAAAUUAUAAUAACUACUAGCAAUGUGCCAAUGCGUUGCCACACGAUCAAAGUAGAUUAAUACAUAUUCACUGAUUUGAUAGAAAAAAAGUCUAGUUUUCAAAUACGUAUAUCACUAAAAAUAUGUUAUUUUUCACUCAAAAUAUAUUCCUUCGGCGGUUUUGAUGAGAUAAGGGAGGAAUGUUGUUGGUUUCAAGAUUCGAGAAGUGGUAUAUGUCUAAUUUCUACUCUUACUAGCAAGAUGCCCGUGCGUUGCACGGAACAUCAAGAUCUUGUGGGAGAAAAGGAUGAACGAGGGAAGGCCUUAUCUGCAAAUGUGGUGAAGAGUGCGGGUAAAUUGCCAUAUUUUCCUUCCUAUCCGUCAUAUAUAAAUCGGACGACCUACAUUGCAGGAUGGCAGGCCCACCAUCAUCACCAACUCUAUUUUUUAUCCCUACUCUUAUAAAAAGCAUUGUCGGUGAUUAUCGUGUGCCUGCCAUCCUGCAAUAUAGGCCGUCCGAUCUAUAUCUGACGGAUAGGAAGGAAACUAUGGCAAUUUUGCAAAAAGAUACCCACACCCCUCUCCACAUUUGCAAAUAACGCCUUCCCUCGUUCAUCCUUUUCCCCCACAAGAUAAACUACUCAUACAAAUGCAUCUUGAUGUUCCGUGCAACGCAUGGGCAUCUUGCUAGUUGUUGCAAAAAGCCCAUGUAUGUGUGAGAGAGAGGGAGAGUGGAGGAGGACGGAGUGCAUGUGUGACAAAGACACAAGGAGUGUGUGUGCGAUAGGUAUCAGCUUAAAAUGAGGCGAUAGUGUGUGUGUGCACGAUCGAGAGGGCGUGUCUCAAGAAGGGAAAAAAUCUACAUAGAUACAAGGAGCGGGAGAGAGACAUGUAUGCGAUGGUGGAAGCACGAGUGUGUGGGUGUAUAAACCUAUCUAGAGGCUAGCUAGUCGAUAAAUUUUUGUGAGAGAAAUAUGAGUCGGGGUGCGAAAGCGAGAGUUUUGUGUGUGUGAGAGAGAGACGGUAGUCGGGAAGGGGACUGGAAGCAGGAUUUGUGUGUGUAUGUGUCUGUGAGAGAGAGAGAGAGAGGAGACGGUAGUCGGGGUUGUCUGAUCGGUAAACAAAUGAAUAAUGUCAGUCUGGGAUGGAGACGAAAAGGAGACUGCAACAAAUGUUGUGUCUACAGGAGAGAGAGAGAGAGAGAGAGAGAGAGAGAGUAAUUUUAGUGGUAUGAGUCAUAUGUAGAGACAUAUAGGGUGUGUGAGAGAAUCCCAUAGAGAGAAAGACAAAGUGAAAGACGAGUGGAGACUGUGUGUGUGGCGGUGAAAAAGAAAGCUUAGGUACCGAGUGAUACCAGAGAACAGUAGAGACGUGAGAGAUAAUGAAAACCGUGUAAUGUAUAAUGAUAGGGAGAGUAUGACACUUUUCAAGGGAGACGUCGAGAGACCAUGUUUGCGAGGAUAGGAGAAACAUGAAGUGAGCGUGCGGGUGAGCUGGAGAAAAGAGAGUGAUAGCUACCUGAGGGAGCAUGCAUGCGAGAGAGAUGGGCGUGAAAGGAGUGAACAAAAAAGGGAUUCAAAUAUUUGAAUUCAAGAUGAUGAUACAUGUAAUCCAUACUCGAACCAAAAUUGAUCUAUCAAACAUGCAUACUGAUAUGAAUUCACGCACAUCUAUGUUAUUUAAUAUGUAGAUAUUACUGAUCCAUACAUUUUAGUGGAACGUAAUUUGGUUAAAAAAAUCGAAUUCAACCUUAAGAUUUCGAGAUCGUUGUAUUUGUAAAUCAUAUUAUACAUAUAAAGGAGCAGAAUUCUUUGUUGUGCUUUUGAAAGUAUAUAUAAAAAAAUGAUGUAUAUAGAAUGUAAUUCCAAUUGAAAAUGGAUCCCGCCCGGAAAAAAAUAGAAUACAAAUGAGAUUCGAAUUGAGUUGGCAUGGUAAACGUGCACUCUGCAAAAUUUGAACGAAGCGGGGAAAGUCGCAGUAACCGCCCGAAACCAAAAUCUGCGAGAUGGAAAUCACUAUUUCCUAUCCCUGCCACGCAAAGCCUAUCUGCUGGAUUUCUAUAGGUUUCGAUAGGGGUAGGUUUGUAAUUUCACCCAUACGUGACGUAACCGCCUCUCACCCGGAUUCAUACACGGUGGGCGCCAAAACACAGUGUGUCCUCGGCCGAAAUCGACUCCCUCCCCGAUUCAUAUUCAUACACGGUGGGCGCCAAAAACAAACUCUCGUCGGCAAAUAUUCGGUGUAUGCGAGAUUACCGUCUUAUCCCCAACCGACUAAUGUUGCUGUGAUGUAGUAGAAAUUUGAAAUGGGGGCUAAGUUUGUAAAUUUCCUCGCAUUUGAGACAAGCGCGCUCUGAAUACAUGGUUCCCCCCCUUCCUCUCUACCUCCCUUUUCCCCAUUCGUACUCCGUGGGCGCCAAAACACCCUCUCCACCCCACCCUCCUCCGUCCGCCGCCGUCCGCCGCCCCAUCCACCGCCGUCCUCCUCCACCAUGCCGGAGCUGAUACCCCGAUGCCGCCGUCCAUUACAAGAGAUCGACCUCUCUCAUCCACGGCUUCGGACCGGGAUCCUUGCAUCCCGUCCUCUCGCUUCAUCCCCGCCGUCGUCCACCUUGCCGGCGCCGCUCCUACGACCGUCUCGUCCACCGCGCCCCGCCGCCACUGUCUACCUCCUAGAUCUACUUCCACGCCGCCGACAGCCAUCGCUACCACAGCACCGUCAAAUUCUCAGCAGAUGCGUACACGGCGCCGCACGAGGUACUCUUUCGUAUCUGCUCAACUUAUUUAUCGCAGCAAGAAAAUAGAUCGCCACUGCUUUACUCUGAUUUCUUGUCUUGGUUGCGAAGUUGCCUUUGUCCGGUUUGCACCUUCAGAUCCGCCAUGGCACGCUCAACACUAUACUCCCAAUGCUUAUGGUUUUCCCCUUUUAUAUUUCACACUAGUUAAAUCACAGUAGACUAAAUUUCAAAAUUGGGUCAGUCGAUUUUNNNNNNNNNNNNNNNNNNNNNNNNNNNNNNNNNNNNNNNNNNNNNNNNNNNNNNNNNNNNNNNNNNNNNNNNNNNNNNNNNNNNNNNNNNNNNNNNNNNNNNNNNNNNNNNNNNNNNNNNNNNNNNNNNNNNNNNNNNNNNNNNNNNNNNNNNNNNNNNNNNNNNNNNNNNNNNNNNNNNNNNNNNNNNNNNNNNNNNNNNNNNNAUACUCCCAAUGCUUAUGGUUUUCCCCUUUUAUAUUUCACACUAGUUAAAUCACAGUAGACUAAAUUUCAAAAUUGGGUCAGUCAAUUUUUCAGAGCUCGCCGGAGUUCGCCAGUGCGAUCGAAGGGGCUCGGGUGGUUGUGGGGCCUCGCCGAACAAAGAAAACUCGACGCGGGUGGGGGUUGGGGCGGGGGUGGGGGUGGGGGUGGCGGAGGAACACAGGCGGUGGGGGCCGGUGGUCCGGCCGGUGGCCCAUGCAGUGUUCUGUAUGGGAAGAAUCAGAGACGAGGAAGAAGAAGGGUUAGGAGACGUAGGAUCUUCAUCCAACCGCCUGAAAUGGUCGAGAGACAGUUGGGAGUUGCAUUCUUAAUGCGCUCUGGUUCAUCAUGUGUGGGCACUGCGCAACCAACAUUUUAUUAUCCAAAAUCUGCUUGCUCUUCUUUACCAUGUUCCUCUUCCGUUCUUCUUUAAUAUGUACUCUCUCCGUUCCUAAAUACAAAUCUUUGUAUAGAUUCCACCAUGGACUACAUAUGGAGCAAAAUGAGUGAAUCUACACUCUAAAAUGUAUCUGGAUACAUCUGUAUGUGAUCCAUAGUGGAAAUCUCUACCAAGACUUAUAUUUUGGAACGGAGGGAGUAUGAUAGUAGUACAGUAUGUUCCUUGUACUGAAGAUGAGCAGGGACAUUUGAAGUGUAGAGGUCUAUACGGUCGGUUGUGAUGGACACUUUGAGCCUCUUUGAUUCAUAGGAUCUUGUAAACAUAGGAAUAGGAUUUGUAGUGGCCUGCCCACUUGAAUCCUAUAAGAGUGGCAAGGAAAUGCGGGGAGCUGUGUCGCCUUUGAGAGUUACGCUGAUAUUAACAGUACCGCACCUUCACUUGAAGAGAGCUGGUAUCCGAAGCCUUUCUAGCCGUACCGGCAAUACUAGCACAUAUAUUCCAGCAAGUUCCACUUUGCUGAUUUUACUCUGAUGCUUAAGGUUUUCUCGUUACAUCUACACUAUGAUGUGUGUAGCUGCUUUUUGUCGCACUACCAGCAGUCCACUCUUGAAGCUAAACACUGCAAUGACUUACAAAAUUGGCACCAAGGCAUUGAGUGCCAUUCUGGAUGCAAUGAAACUCAUACGCUCCCCACCUGUUGAUUCUUGUUCAGAAUAUGAUCCUAAUGACUAUUCUAACCUCGAGGAGUCAAAGGCAGAUGGCAUGUCCUGUUCACCCAUCAAGGUGCCUGUUCUAAUUUGGCAAUGUUUUAUUGAUUGCGGGUAUCUUGCAUAUGUUGUCUUGCAUUUCUUCUACUUUAUUGCAUCGCCAUUUGCACCGCCAUCUGCUUAGUUUACUCAACAUAUAUGUCGAGAUGCCAUGCCCAUCCAUUAUCAAUACAUAUUCCAUCUGUCAUCAUACCAUGUUUUUCCACUCAAAUGUUGUUCUUGUGCAUCAGACAUCAAAAAGGAAGAGGGUGAUUUCCGAACCUGAAGGAGCACCAGCAAAGUCCUUGAAAAACGUGGUGGUGCCGAAGAAAUCAGACAGCACCCCACUUAUAUUGGUUGUACAACCAGUGACACAAAAUUUAGGACCGACUCCAGCAGACUGUACCCAUAGUUCACUGGCCACACCACUAGCCCCACCACACAGGACCUGCACUCUAGCAAAAGGUAUACCGAUUUCAUUUGCCAUAGCACCAGCUGUACCACAGAAAAAUCCCACUCCAGCAAAAAGUACAGCAAGUCCACCGGCCGAAGACCUAUCCCAACUGCAGAGACGGCCAAUUCCUACAGAUUGGAACCCCAUUCCAUUUAUUCCCAGUUUAAAAGACAAUGCUUUCAAUGUUGUUAGGGACUACGUGCAUAUAUUCCCAUCAUGGGAAGAUUAUUGUGAAGACAAACACCAUUUUCACAUCUUCCUGUCCAACUUACGUGUAAGUGCUAUAAUUCAUGGUUAUUAUUUUCCUGUUUUCUGCUGAUUGAACACAUCAAUGAUUUACAUUACAUUGUUGUAACUAGGCGAGGGUCAAUCUGGAUAGUCAUGAUGAGCAAAGCUUGCUUGUGCUUUUCAAGGAAGCAUUGCAUCAGUAUCGGUGUUACCUGAGGAAAUCACACUUUGAUGGCAAGUCUAUAAAUGAAUUUCCGGUGAAGUCUCAUGUGCUAAAUUUAGAAGACAUUGAAUGGAAAAACCAUGUUAUGAACUGGUCUCGUUCCCAGGAUGAGGUACUGUCUAUGAAAUCACAUGACAAUUUGAACUUCUACUUUUCCGCAUGUGCCUUACGGAUCUUUUUUGCAGGAAAUCUGCUCGAAGAAGAAUUCCGGUUUGACAAGAACGACAGGAUAUCGCAAAUAUGCUGCCCGCUGCUUUGCUCUUGUUAGUACCUGUUGUCCUGUAUCACUGUACUUGCAUACAUACCUGGUUCAUUAUGUGACAGCAGUAUGCAUGAUAGCUUGCUUAUCAAUUGUUCGCUCAAAUUAUCUGAUCUGCGUGAAUGGUUACAUUAGUGUAGAAUAUAUCCAAUGCCAAUGGUUUUUCUAGCUCUGCAUUGUUCUUGUAAGUACAUGUUGUCCUUUAUCAGUGUACUUAUAAUGACAGGUAGUUGUUCAUGUACCAUCACUCUGCAGCUUAUUUUCCUUUGCCCUCCAUUUUCUACACAUCAGAUCUAUAUUUACUCUUACCAUAAGGUUGGUACUGAAGAAGUUUAGCUGUGCAUUGCUCUUGGCUUUACCUUUUGCUUGUAUCGCUGCACUUACAUUUAUAGCUAUUUGGUUAUGUAGCAUCACUCUUCAUCUUAUCUUAAAUAUUCUCCAUUUUUUUGUAUAUUAUCACAUCUAUAUUUACUCUUAACAAAAUGUAGAAUAAAGGCAAUGCUUUUGAAGAAGAUUCUGUGGUAAACUUCUUGAAUUGCCCCCCCCCCCUCCCAUCAGCAUGGACAAGGCCUUUAUAGAGCCUGUCUUCACCAAUAAUGUAAGUUUGUCCAUCUCAAGCCUUCAAACUUUGUNNNNNNNNNNNNNNNNNNNNNNNNNNNNNNNNNNNNNNNNNNNNNNNNNNNNNNNNNNNNNNNNNNNNNNNNNNNNNNNNNNNNNNNNNNNNNNNNNNNNNNNNNNNNNNNNNNNNNNNNNNNNNNNNNNNNNNNNNNNNNNNNNNNNNNNNNNNNNNNNNNNNNNNNNNNNNNNNNNNNNNNNNNNNNNNNNNNNNNNNNNNNNNNNNNNNNNNNNNNNNNNNNNNNNNNNNNNNNNNNNNNNNNNNNNNNNNNNNNNNNNNNNNCCCCCCCCAUCAGCAUGGACAAGGCCUUUAUAGAGCCUGUCUUCACCAAUAAUGUAAGUUUGUCCAUCUCAAGCCUUCAAACUUUGUUGUAUAUAUUUGGUUAGGCAUGACUGCAACAGCUGUUUAUUUUUGGUGUUUGCAUCAAAUUGCUUGUUUAAAGUUUAUUAUGUAGUUCAUAAACAAAAUUUUGUCCUUUCUCAAUUUAAGUUUUCAGUUGUACAACCAAGUUCCUUCUUCAUACCAUGUAAAUUAAACUAUACAGAGCAAGUGAUCUUCUUUUGCACUGCAUGCAUGCUUCUGUUCUUCAUCCGUAAUCCAGUGGUGUGGUGAACCUACCCACUACAGCACAAUGUCAUAUUCUGCAAUGUCUUAACUAUGAACAAUGUCAUAUCAUUCUACUAUUAUUUAAACCGUCUCUUUAUUUGCCAAUCUGAAAUGGUAUAAAUUGACAGAACACUAACCAUUGAUACUUAUGAGUUCUUGAUCUGUAAUCCAGUGGUGUCGUGAAGCUGCCAACUCCUUCACAAUGUCAUUUCCUGCCAUGUCUUGACCUGAACAAUACCAUAUUGUGUUCAUGCAAUUUUAAACUGUGUCACUUUAUUCGUCAGUAAGAAAUGUGAAGAAUUGUCAGCACAGAUACUUUUAUGUGCAAAACCUGUCAUCUGUCUGCUUGUUUAUCUUUCAGAGUGAGGAAGAUAUAAGUGUUGAACAAGCGCAGUCUCAUCAUCUUGCUCAGCUGCUUGCGCUGCAGCUCCCCAGCAGGGCUAACCUUUCUUGAACUCUAUUGAAGUGUUGUCGGUUUUGUAUAUUAUUUUGUCGGCGUGUUUAUUUGCACUGGUGGCAAUCUUUGAUGCCCAGUGUAUGUAAUCUGCUGUCUGCUUGUGCUUUAUUAUCAUAGUGGCGAACUUUCAUGCCCAGUGGAUGUAAUAUGCCGUAAUUUCUUUAUUAUAUAGUCUAGGUUUUUUCUUAUUCACGAUGCUGCAGUUAUUUUACUGUAUAUAUAUAUAUAUCCUGUCUUCGCAGUAAACCGGCCAUACCGUAAAAUUACGGUACAUAAUCGGGCCGUCAUGCAAUCACGAUGUAGGUUGGCCUGAAAUGUGCCGAACAGCUCACGGGUCGGCAGCAGCCCGAAAUGAACCCCGGCCCAUGAUUGUGCGAAUCAAAUCACGGGCUUUUAACAGGCCAAAAAUGUCUCGGUCCUUGUUUGGCCCAAUCAGAUACCGGCUGCGAGCAGGCCGGAUGCAAACCGGGCCGUAGUUAGGCCCAACUAUAUGACGGGCUUUUAACAGUCCGAAAUUAAUAUAGUGCCGAAAUGUUAAACGGGCCCUUAACAGGCCAAAACUAAUAUCAGGCCGAAUUACUAAGUGGGCCUUUAGCAAGUGGGCCUAAAAGCAUAGUGUCCAGUUGACGGGCCGAAUCUGAUAUGGGCCAUAAUUGAGCCCAAAGCCUCUUAAAGGGCCGGACCUCAUCCGGGCCGUAAUUUGGCCCAGAACGUGGUAGACUUUUAACAGGACGGAUGGGCCACUAUUAGGCCCGGAGCGUGGCAGGCCAUUAAUGGACCGGAUCAAAUAUGGGCCGGCAUUUGGCCCAAAACAUGGCAGCUAGUUAAUGGGCCGGCCUACUAGGGUCCUCAAAAUCUUGUGGGCCUACAGCUGGGCCGGCCCAUUAAUGUCGGCGAAAUCUCGUGGGCCUUUAGCUGGGCUGGCCCAUUAUGAUCCGCAAGAAUCUUAUGGGCCUUUACCUGGGCCGGCCCAUUAUGGCACACAAAAAUCUUGUGGGCCUUUACCUGGGCCGGCCCAUUAUGGCCCGCAAAAUCUUGUGGGCCUUUAGCUGGGCCAGCCCAUUAUGGUCCGCAAAAUCUCGUGGGCCUUUAGCUGGGCCGGCCCAUUAUGGUCCGCAAAAUCUUGUGGGCCUUCAGUUGGGCCGGCCCAUUUAAACUUGAUGGGCCGGUCCACGUGUCAACAUAUCAUAGGCGCGUCUCGCCCAUUGGAUGAGUGACACCUGUGCCAACGCGGACCUGACACGUGUCUCCUCCAACCAAUGAUGAUUCUACACGUGGAAAAUCCCCAUUGGUCGGGGCUGUUAACGGGUUAUCGGAUCCAAAACCCGACCCGAUAGCUUAACGGCGUUCCGUUACGGUGGAUGCCACGUGUCGGUCACCCUUGACGAAAGCACUUCUGUGACGCGCGAUUUAUCGUCAUGGAAGUGGGCACUUCCGUGAUGGUAAUUUUGGUAAUGUCAUGGAACACUUCUACGACAGCACAGGUAUGACUAUCUUGAUUCUGUCAUAAAUUUGUCAUGGAUGUACAUGCAUGACAAAAAACGCGACCUACUGUGACAAACACGUAUCAUCACGGAAGUGUACUUUUUUUGUAGUGCACCCUCUUAGUUUUAUUUGAGGGGUGGGUUGUGCUGGACACCAUUAUUGUGACUAGCCUUUUUAAUAGUACUAUAUGCAUAAUUUGGCGACGAGCGCUCUCUAUAUGUACCACCUUUUUUUAAUUUCAAGUUUUGCUCCAUGGCGCAAUCCAUCGAUACUACUGUUGUACAAAAGUAUACAUUUUUUAAAAGGCUAGAGGGCGGGGCAGUCUAGCUUGGUCGGUUUCAUGAGAGGCGAGGGCCUUUGUGAUUUGAUGGCUCAUUACUACUGGAAGGCGGGGCCUUGUGAUUUGACUGCUCGUAUAAAUGCGUCGACGACCUGAUCGAGGAGGAGCAAAGAACCGUGCGGUAUACUCAAGUUUUCCACUGGAGUAGUACUGCGACGGAGGAGCACGAGACACGGCAGCCCAGUGCCAUAUGGCGAUAAAAAUGAUCUAAUUUGCUAGUCAUCUCAUUGUUAGCAUUGUUCUAUUCAUUCCCUCAAAAAAACCAUUGUUCUAUUCAUGCCUCGCAGAGAACGUGACACAUGUGGCGAAACACCCGAAGCAAAAGAUGAAACACAGGAGCAAAAGAAGAAGGAAGAUUAUCACCCCAAAUGAUCUAAUUCGCCGCGGAGUCGUAACUGCUUCUUCAUCGCCUCCACGACCUCCAUCUCCUUGCGCGUCUCGUCCGCCAUCUUCUUCAUUCUGUCCAUGACGCGGGAUUUCUCGACGCGAGCCUUCAUCAUCUGUUCCACGGCCGCAUUACGUACCUUGAUAGCAGCCGGGUGCUCGAUGCGGAGCUUCGCGAACUCCUCCUUCUGUUCCAUGACGAGGGCCUGCAGCAUCUUCAUCGAGGAACUACUAUUCUCAUGCAGCUUCUUCCAGCCGGUGUUCUUCUCCUUCAACAGGUCGAUCUCGUGGCAGAGCUUCGCCUUGUCCUCCUAAAGUCGCAGGAUUUUGCCGGUCGCCUUCUUCUCCGAGGCAAUGCUCUUCUUCAGCAGCAUCACCAAGCCGGCGGUCAACUCCCCCUGCUGAUUGAGCUCAGCGGGCAUGUCGUCGAGGCUCUCCUUCAGCAACUCCAUCAAGCCUUGGAUGAACUCCUUCUGCUUAUUGAGCUGAUCGGGCAUGCCGUCGAGGGAUAACGACUCCAGCUCCGCCGGCUCGGCAUGUUCGCCUCCGUGGCUAGGGCGCUCCUGGGAGCCAUUGCCUGCCCGUGAGAGAUCUUUCGAGGUCUCUGCGUGGCGGCGAGCCCUCUCUUUUUUUCCGCAGCCUUGGUUGCCGCUCCCUUGUUACAAGUAGUUCUCGACCUGGAGCUCUGCUCACCGGCCAUGGCAACGACGGACGAAGAAGAAGAACUUAUGAGGACGAAAGGUAGAGUAAUUUUCGGUUAGGUAGUUCCCCUUUUUAUAACCUAAGUACUAGCAAUAGUACUAAUACCUGCAUAGUGGGAACACGUUCAGGUUUGGUACGUACUAGUACCUGUGAGCAGGCUUUCGAAUGUGAUGGGAACAAGGUAAAGAUUAAUUGAUGGUUUUGGUUUCGAGGCCCGAAAUGGCUCCCGAUGAGUUUAGCGGAACAUAAAUUUCAAGUACUACACUGCUCAAAUGUGUAAAUAUUAUGUUACUGUCAAAAAUUGGCACAAAAUACGAAGGAGACCAAUCGAAGUACUACUAGCAACCCACGAUUUAACUACUCGCAUGCGCGCAGUGGAGUAAUAAUGUCUUUCUUCCGCCCUCACGUCCACUCAAUUUGCAUGCGCUGUAUUAAUUGACCAUCAAUGAAGUGAACGACUUUACACGCGUCAAAUUAUCACAUGGGGUGGAUCUUGGUACAAAAUUGUGUCCGCCCGUGUACCCGCGGGUGCGUGCGAGGGAAUGAGUGUGUGCGUGGCGUGCGUGCACAUCUUCGCUUCGUGCAUGUACCGCCAGUAUGGCUCAGGGAGGACGAGUACAUUCUUCUAGAACCAGCAGCACGUCACUGUGAUCAAUCCACGCAAGGAUGUCGCGACAACGCCUCCACAUGUGCCACGUGGCUUCAUGAACUAUAAGAGAGACACUGUGUAGCGUGCCAUUGGUAUUCUAAUUUAUGUGUUUUGCACAUACUCGAAGUACUAGUAAGGUACACGUGCAUUGCGCGCAUCAGAUUUUGCAACCAAAUUAUGAAUAAAUACCACACUAUAGCAUGUAAGCUCUGAGUCAUAUAUGCCUGAUGUAGCCCUUCGUUUAAUUCUUAUAGUUCAUCUCAUUCAAAAUCAAUUAGUUUUUAUAAAAAAGCUAAGAACGCGGGAAUAGGAAAAACAUGGGAUUAUAGUGGAAAGUCGUCUUGAAUCCUACAGGAUUGUACGAGUGUUUGAUUGUGCAUAGAAAAAACGCAGAAUUCUUUCAAAGAGGUUUGAGUGGAUGGGAUGUUUCCUAUGAAAUCUAGUGCAAAUGAAUCAUAUGGAAAAAUUCCUAUGGUUUACAAUCCUACGAAUCAAACAACCAAGAUAGGAAAAAUUCCUAAUGAUUAGAAUCCUCCAAAAUUCCUUUGAGAAUCCUUUGAAUCAAAGAAGCCCUUAAUCUAUUUUAUGAUUCAUGGAAUUGUGCGUUGUAAAGCAUAAAGUAAAAACAAAUAAUGGCAAUUCAACUAGAAAAAAAGUUUGGGCAGUUAUGAUACGGAAGAUUCUAGAACAAAAGAGAACCACUGUUGUUUUGAGGUUUGUGCAUUAUGCUUAAGUUCAACCAUGGAGUCUGCUAGAUUGUACAUGUGGCAAAAUCCGGUGGGGGGCUAGAAGAUGGUGCGAGGGGCCGAGUGGAGGGAGACUAUGAAGGAAUGCACAAGUGCGAGAUCGAUAUUUAGAGAGAGGGGGCGAACACAUGCGCUGUUGCGCGCAGUGGCGGAGCCAUGAAAAAUAAAUGAGCUAGGGGACCAAGCAUUGCUAAUCCUUUAUGAGGAGGGUCAAUUCAUGAACUUAAACCAUUUUUAGCAGCAAUUUUCUAAUGAUCACAUUCAUAUUAGCCUCGAUAUAUAGUGAUGUUAGGGGGGGAGGGGGGCAGGGCCCUUACUGCCCCCUGUCUUCGCCAUUAUGCACGCGUCUGAGAGAUGAAGCGGAAGGCAUGGAUGAUGAGAGGGGGACGUUGCAUAUAUAAUUAAUGUGGGUGUAUUAGCUAUAUAUGUUAAUCCUAUAUAGAGAGGUAUAGAUUGAUCGAUGUGGACGUGGGAAAGAGGGUGAGACCUCACUGGAUAUAUCGAUUGAUCGGUUUGUGUGGAAAACUAUGAAAGACCUAGCUAUAUACACACAUACAUAGAGGAACAUCGAUCGUUGCGCAUGCACGCGUGAGAGAUAAAGAAUGCCCGAUAUGAUGGAGAGGGGGGGGUGUGUGGGUGUGUGCCUUCAUGGGAGACCGACCUGAAGAAAAAGAUUGCAUGCAUGCGAUGGAUAAUGCCGACUGGUAGUGUGUGUGCAUGCAUGCACGAGAGAAAGUUAGUGGUUCAAUUAUAAAGAGAAGACUACUGUGUGGGUGUAAAAGAAUAGGUGAGGUCAUAAUCAAUGUAAAGUUGAAUUCAAAUAUUUGAAUAAGAGAUCCUGAUGUUUGAAACCCAUGCAUGCAUGAAUAUAACGGAGAUCUGCGUGGUGUGGUUUGGAAACGAGCAUGUUGUAAUGUAUACACAUUGAACAAGGUCAGACUGAUUUGAAUUCGAGAUACCGAUGGCAGACAUCAUUUGGCCACGUCGCAUCCGUGCAUGGACACACUAUUCUAAUUAGAGAUGAUGGGCGGCUUUCGCAUCACAUAUCUAUAUCUAUACCCCUAUAUAUAUAUUAUAUAUUAUAUUUUUUUAUUGUGUGCGGGUAACUUUAACUUUGAAAGAUGGUCGUUGGAUGAGGCGAAUCCGAUGGUCCAAAGAUGGCAAAUUUGAGCACUACUGGCCGUUGGAUAUCAUCUAGAUUCCACCAGAUUUUGCCACAUGUAUAAUCUAGAAGACUCCAUGGUUGAACUUAAGCAUAAUGCACAAACAUCGAAACACAAGCACUUCUUAUUUGUUCUAGAAUCUUCCGUAUCAGAAUUGCCCAAAUGUUUUUCUACAUGAUUUGCCAUUAUUUGUUUUUACUUUAUGUCUUACGACGCACAAUUCCAUGAAUCUUAAAAUAGAUUAGCUUUCUUAUAAAAACUAGAUGAUUUUGAAUGAAAUGGACUAUAAGAAUUAAACGAACAUCUACAUCAUGCAUAUAUGACUCAAAGCUUGCAUGCUAUAAUGUGGUAUUUAUUCAUAAUUUGGUUGCCAAAUCUCAUGCGUGCAAUGCACGUGUACCUUACUCUAGUCUAAAUGGUGUUUGUGUGUGUGUUGUGCGUGUUGAGGUGCAAAUUGUCUUUUUUUGGUACACGUUAAGCUUGUUCUUCUGAAAUUUCAAGCCGCGCCUUGUUAUGCCGAAAAUUCAAGCUAGCGUCUCUAUCUAUCGUGCUGGGAAACUCCCGCCUCUUCAACCCGCGCCUUGUUAGCCCGAAAUAUUUAAGAUAUAUCUUUGUCUCGUUGUGCUCCGACAACUCCCUCCAUCUCAACUCGCGCCUUCCUAUUCCGAAAUUACAACGCGCGCGAAAACUCCCACCUCCUGUGAAAUCCUGACACGCGAAAUGCCCGUGGUACCCCUGAACCGAAAGAACCGCCUCAAAUCGGUGGGGGUACUUUCAUAACUUACCCCACAUUUCGGACAAGCGCGUCUCUAAGCCAUAGUUCCCCACUGCCAUCCCAUCCGCCCAACCAUUCGUACACCGAGGCCGCGAAAACCCGCGACGAAACCCCACACCCUGCUCCGUCCGGCACCCAGCCAGAGCCUCUUCCCCGACGACGUCGUCCACAGCAACACCUCGACGUCCCUCAUCCACCGUACCGGAUGAGGAUCCGUCGUCGAUCUCAUCGUCCCGCCGGUUCAGCCACCCCGUCCUCCACCUCCAAGGAGUUGCCCCGACGUUCCCCUCAUCUUUCGCGCCACCUCCAUUCCCACACCGUCGUCUUCACCUGCACCACCGGAAGAGCAUCAUCAUCACCGUUUCCUCGGAUGAAGCUGCGGCCUAAUCGGUGCCACCAAAGAGGUUGUACACUAAUUGCCGCAUUUUCUUCUUGAUUCGAUCUCACGGUGCUGCCGGCGCUCGGUCCCGAGCCGACACGGCACGGCUCCAUCCACGGUGGCGUUGCCGGCCACUUCCUCCACGGCGUCGCUCCCUCGGCGGCGACGUCCACAUCAGUAGGAGCUGCUGCUGCUUUAGCUCUCGCUCGCGCUGCUGCUCUGCUCUUGCUCUCGGUCCCCUGCCUGGUCUACUCUUGCUAUUGCUCUUGCUCGCGCUGCUGCUCUCGCUCUUGCUCUUGCUUGCGAUGCUGCUCCGAUUUAGCUACACUUCAGUCGACUGAAUCGACUUUUGGAUCNNNNNNNNNNNNNNNNNNNNNNNNNNNNNNNNNNNNNNNNNNNNNNNNNNNNNNNNNNNNNNNNNNNNNNNNNNNNNNNNNNNNNNNNNNNNNNNNNNNNNNNNNNNNNNNNNNNNNNNNNNNNNNNNNNNNNNNNNNNNNNNNNNNNNNNNNNNNNNNNNNNNNNNNNNNNNNNNNNNNNNNNNNNNNNNNNNNNNNNNNNNNNNNNNNNNNNNNNNNNNNNNNNNNNNNNNNNNNNNNNNNNNNNNNNNNNNNNGCCGGGGUGAAGGAAGAACCAGCCACAGCGGGGAGGGGGGCUCACCGGAGAGGUACCCAACUAUCUAUCUUAGGGUUCAGGAUGGGGGCGGUGGUCGCCGGCGGUGGCGGGAGGGUGGCGUGGGGAUCGCCGGAGAAAAAGCUCGGCACGGGGGGCCUAGAGGGAUGGUCGGGGCAGCGGCGGACCGGCGGUGGGGAGUGUUUUCGGGGCGGGCGGGGCGGCGGGGGGCUGCUGUUUGGCCGGUGGUGGCUGGUGGCUCAGGGGGUGGAGGUUGAAGAUGAACCGCAGGCCCUUGAUUUCGUAUCCAACGGUUGCAAAAUCGACUGACCAGAGAUGAAAAAGUCAGUCAACCGACGUGUAGCCUCACCUUGCUAGUGCGUUCAGUUUCGACAGCAAAAUUCAGUUUCGACAGCAAAAUUCAGUUUCGAUAGUUAAGUUCAGUUCCGACAGUUAAGUUCAGUUUCGACAGUUAAAUUCAGUUUCGACAGUUAAGUUCAGAGAUGAGCGGCUGAUGUAUUUUACAUCUAGCACUUUGUGGUUAUGUAUUUUACGUCAUGUAUUGGAGAUGCUAUUAGAAUUCCACUCAGGUUAACGUUGUUCGUUGUCUCUCUUGUCCUGCUUCAACCUCGGCAUCGUACAACUCACCGGAGCUGCUCCAACGACGAAACCCUCCAUCACAGCGGAGCAGUACCUCGGGCUCCGUCUCCAGACGCCUAAGAUCUUCUUCCCCUCCUCCGACAGCCAUGUCAGCCGGAGCAUCCUCACCGGCCAACCCAAUCACACUGAGAUCGACAUGGCUUCGCCAAAGAGGUUGUACACUUGUUGCAUCUCUUUUUUACUCUACAUGUUAUAUAUAUUGUCCACUGAGCACUCGUAGUAAUGGGAAAUACGAUUAUUUUAUCCUACUAUAUGACAAGUAGUGAGGUACCAGGCAACUUAGCUAUCCAUCAUGGACUCUCUUGAACGGCAUCAUUAUUUAUCUCUGCGCGUUUGAGCUGUGCAUUUGUCGAUGGGCCUGGGAGUUGAGCUAGUAUGGCAGUGGCCUGGGUCCAAAGUAUAAUAGAAGUAGCACAAAAACAUUUUUUAGUGUAGGAUUUUCCUUGCCCAAGCCUGCCUACUAGAAUCGCCAGUGCUUGAAAGGAAAAGUGAAUGGAAAACAUCGGAAUUGGAAAGUUUCCUAUGGUACUACUUUUCAUGAAUUUGGUGCAAAGGAAUGGAGCAAAGGAAAACUGUAGGAUUUGUUCCUUUAGUGUCUCCUUGAAAGAAAAACCGUAGGAAUUCUAAUUUCCACUUCUCCUCCUUUUCAUAUUCCUAUUCAUCAAGCACAAGACUAAGAGAUAGUAGCAUAAUAGCAUUAUAACCAUACAUUUUCUUGUGGUUUGACUUAAUCUCACCAUGCUUUUUUGCAUCCUGUGAUCUUCCAAUUGUUGUGAACCAAACACCCAGAUUGGCAGAAAUCCUGUGUUUUUAAAUACUCUGUUUUGCACAUGCAUUCCUAUCCUAUUCCUGUCUAUUUCCUAUCCCUACAUUGUUAGAAUCCUCAAAUUCAAACAAGCCCUUACUCAAUUACUUCUGUUACAGAUAUGUGUCAAAGAAAACCUUGUGUGGUUUGUCUUGCUCCUGCGGCGCUGUGUUCCACCCCAGCUCAGCUGCUCCAAUGACGGAAGGGUUCACCACAGCAGGGAUCCGCUCUCCAGACUGUCUUUCGCCGCCUCAGAUCUUCUUCCCCGCCGCCGGCAGCCACGGCAACUGCAUUACCAUCAUCAACUGAGCAGAUGACCUUGAGGACUACACAGGUCUGCAAGAGAGGUCGCACUCUUCCAUGUCUGCUUACAUUAUGCGUCGCUUAAUAUGAUGACAUGCUACAUUAUCGUCGUGUUCACCUAUUAGACUCCGAGUCAGGUCCAAAUUAAUGCUGAAACUUGAGUUUUUAAAUGGUUGUGGGGUACAUAUUGAGGCAGCAAUCAGUACUAUCUGUCUACUAUCUGGUUAAUCUCCGGUGUCUACUAUGAGUUUCAUGUUGUGCAAACAAACAUUAAAGGAGCCAUUAUCUGUAUUUUUUAACUAAAGCUAUUAUCUGCCUGCUAUCAUUGGUUUUGGGUCUAUCCAUAGUUUGCUACCAUCACUCUGGAUUUGUGCAUGCACUCCUUACAUAAUCUCACUAUGUUUUAUUCCUAUGCAUGCAAGUUAUUGUACACAAUGGAACUGAUCAUGUAGAGCAAAAGGGCCGAGCCUUGCGUGGCAAUAAAAUUUCAUGCAGACGUCGUUCCAUGGUGGGCGCAAAGGCAGCCCCCCCCCCCCUCCACCCAUUUCGGAUCGUAAUCAAGAGGAACAUAACUGUUCUGAGGGGGGAUUCAGAAGGAGAAGACCACUCCUAUUUACCCCAUGAGGUCUUCGCUCUAACUUGGCAUGCUGAUGUUGUUAAUAUCAUGCAUAUGGUGCCUUGCAUUGCUUACUGUAUACAUUAAAGAUGUCAUCUGCUUAGUUUAGACAUGCUUUGUGUCAAUGCCAUCUGUUUAGUUUCUUUAUCGUAUAUGUGAAUCAUGCAAUGCCAUCUUGUCUAGCCAGGCAUCAUAUAUGUGAAUUUUGCAAUGCCACCCUGGUUAGCCAGUAAUCUUAUAUGUGAAUUAUAUCAUGCCAUCAUUUUUUUAUUACGUGUUAAAUUUGUCAACAAUUUUAGUACAUUCAAUUACUCUUCCUGUGCAUCAGCCAUUCAGCACGGUCAUGGAAAAAUCUGGAGUGGAAACAAGGUCUUUAGAGCAGACAAUGCUAUCUGACGAAGCGCAUGUCUUGCUGGUUACCGAUAGCUCCUUAGAGGAGGAUUCAAAGACAGAUGACCAUUCAUAUUUCCCCCCCCCCAAGGUGCAUGCCCUAACUUGGCAGGGUUAUGUUGCUCAUAUCGUGUGUAUGGUAUCUUGCAUUGCUAUGUCAUUUGCUUAGUUUAGACAUGCUUUGUGUGAAUGCCACCUGUUUAGUGUCUAAUUACCAUAUAUGUGAAUUAUGCAAUGCCAUCUUGUUGCAAGACAUUAUAUAUGUGAUUAUGCAAUGUUAUCUUGUUGCAAGGCAUUAUGUAUGUGAAUUAUGCAAUGCCAUGCUGUUUAGGCAAGCGUCAUAUAUGUGAAUUAUAUCAUGCCAUCCUUUUUUUUUGUUUUUCUCAUUGCUUUUGUCGACAAUGUUUGUAUAUUCAACUGCUCUUCCUGUGCAUCAGCCAUUUGAAUUGGUGUAUGGAGAAAUCUGGCGUGAAAACAAGGUCUUCAGAGCAGACAAUGCUACCUACUGAAGCAGAUAUCUUGCUGGUUACAGAUAGCUCUUCAGAGGAGGAUUCAGAGGCAGAUGACCAGUCCUAUUAUCCCCUGAGGUGUAUGCUCAAACUUGGCAGGGUUAUAUUACUCAUAUAAUGCAUAUGUUGUAUUAGAAUGCUUAGUUUUUACAUCAUAUACACAAUAUUGAAUGUCAUCUCCUUAGUUGACACAUCAUAUAUGCGAUUGCCCUCUGCUCACUUCCUUAGUAUAUAAAUCAUAUAUUUGAAUUAUGUCAUGCCAUGAUGUUUACAUAGACAGCAUGUAUCUGAAUUAUGGCAUGCCAACCCAUUUUCUAAAGACAUAAUAUAGUUAUAUCAUCUCAUCCUGUUUACAGAGUCAUCAUAUUUUAAAUUAUGUCAUUCUAUCCAUGAAUUAUAUCAUGCCAUCACGUUUCCAUCGACGGCAUGUUUGUGAUUUAUGGCAUGCCCACCACUUUAAUAGACACAUCGUAUAGUUAUAUCAUGUCAUCCUGUUUACAUAGUCAUCAUAUUUUGAAGUAUGUCAUUCUAUCAUGUUUAGUUAGCCAUCAUACAUGUGAAAUUGUGUCAUGCUAUCCUGUUUAAUUAGCCAUCAUAUAUGUGAAAUUAUGUCCUGCUAUUCUGUUUGCUUAGACAACAUAAAUGUGAAUUAUUUCAUGCCCUGUUUUCUUCCCUACUAUCCAUUGCACCUGUCUAUCUUACAAUGUCUAUACAUUCAAUUACUUUUCUUGUUUAUCAGCCAUUUCAAUUGGAGGGAGUGAUGGCAGUAUCUGUGGGAGUAAAAACACGGUCUUCAGAAAAGAUCGUGCUACCUGUCGAUGCAGAUAGAACCACGGUUGUACUUGCCCAAGAACUAGCCCCACCAAACAUAACCCACACUCAUGCAGAUUGUACCCCUACCCAGUUGGACAGAGAACCAGCUAAACCCCUUCUAACCCCAACCCCAGCAGAUAGACACCCAGUUCCCGUUGACACAGCACCGUCUCCACCACAGAGCACCCAAACACGAGCAGUUAGUAAGGCACCUGCAGUGCCCAAAUCACGAGGAGCACCACUCCGAACCCGAAGUCAACGCUUAAAGCAGAAGAAGAAUUGUUCUCAGGUCAGGUUCCGUAGCUAUGGUUCAUACUACUUUGCUCUUGCAUCACUGUAUUUACUGAUACCAACUAAUUUCAAAUUUGAAGGAUGCAAUUGAAACUCCAAUGGCGCAACAGGUAUAUUUUAAACCUGUUUCUUCAACGUGUUUGGCUGCUUGCUGUUGUAACUUGCUCUAUGUUGAUUUCGGUUUCAAUUGAAUAAACAGUUAUGUUCUCAUGCCGUGCACAUUACAAGUGUUGUUAUUGUUGUGUAGUUUCCCACACUUAUAUUCUGUCUAUGCUGCUUUGUCUUAAAUAGAUAUGAUUCGAACUAUAUCUAUCUUGAUUUGGCAACAUAAACUAGAAUGAUAUAGACCAUACAGUGACCAUACUACAUAGAUAUAUGUUUGUUUCAUGCUGUUAUCCUGUCCACCUUACUACUGAACUGGUUUACCAAAAUGAGUUUCAUAUACUACAUUGUAAACCUGAGAUGUGUUUGCUUGUUUCUCUUUUAGAACGCGGAUAAAAUAUUGGAGAAGAGUACCCUGUUAUGCAAUGGUAAAGGAAGUAAUGCAGAUAAGGUUCAAGAUAGUGAGACAUCCCUGUUGGUCUCCAAGAAAGCUGAUAAAAACUAUAUUGAAGACACUGAGACAACCCCAAAGUCAUGUCUUGAUGUAGUGUUCGAGUUACUGGCUACCACUGCUGGCACCAGCUCUUCGAACUCGUUGCCUAAAUCAGUUCGGCUUCUUGAGUCUCAACUUCAAGUUGAAAGACAUCGAUCAGAUGUUAUGCGACAGGAAGCCGAAGGACUGAGGAAGUCCCUGCAGAAUUCAGAUGCAUACUUUCUAGUGCAACAGCAAGCGCUGGAGGACUUAAGCGCCAAACAAGAGAAAGUUAAUAAGCUUGCUAAGCAUCUUGCUAGCAUUAUGGGUACCCAGGAUAUUGUUUCUUGAACUCUUCUGAAGUGGUUUCAGUUCUGGACUUGUUUUGUUGCGGCGUUUAUAUGCUGCUGUGUUCCCUAUAUUUGCACUGGUGGCGAACUUUGAUGCCCAGUGGAUGUAAUAUGUGUAAGAGCCGUGAUAGCCUAGUGUAAGUUGCUUGCUUAUUUAUUUCCUUGUUGUCUUGUUUAUUUGUUUGCUUGUAGUCAGUGCAGUUCUUUUUCUGCGGUUUGCUAGUGGCUGCAAUAACCUAUUUUUAAAAACUAGGCCACAAUAACCAUGGGCUAAUAUUUACUGUAGUGACACUGGGCCUCCUACGGGCCGUAGAAACAGUGGGCCUUCUACGGGCUGUAUAAACAUUGGGCCUUCUACGGGUCAUAGAAACAGUGGGCCUUCUACGGGCCGUAGAAACAAUGGGCCUUCUACGGGCCGUAGAAACAAUGGGCCUUCUACGGGUUGUAUCAUCAAUGGGCCUUAUACGGGCCGUAUGAUCAAUUGGCCAAACAUGGGCCAAACAGACCGCAUUCUGGCCGUAAACGGGCUAGAGUUGGAAUCGUCCGUUCAUGGGCCGACCAUAACGGGCCAUCGUUAAUAGGCCGUAUUUGAUGACGCUAUGAAAACGGCCCAACGUAUUAACGGACCACAAACGGGCCGACUGUAACCACGGGCUGAAUUUGGCCCACAAGCAGAAAAUGACAGUAACGGGCCGUAAGUAAACGAAUGCUGGAAAAUAGCCCAAGAAUAAAUGUGCUCUGAGAAGGCCGAAAGAUAACAUGGGCUGGAAACGACCCAACGGAAUAACGGGCCGUUAAUGGGUAUAAAGUGAUACACUGUUCUUUACGGGCCAGUUUCACCACGGGCUGUUAAUGGGUGUAAAGUGAUACACUGUUCAUUACGGGCCAGUUUCACCACGGGCCGUUAAUAGGCCAAGAGUUACAUAUGGCCUCAUAUGGGCCGAAAGACGUCAUGGGCCAUACAUGGGCCAGAAGUGAAAAUGGGCUGGAAUCAUAUUGGAUGGCCCAGAUGAUGCUACUGGGCCUAAUUUGAAUAGGGCGUAAUGGGCCUUGGGUUAGCGGGCUGUAAAUGGGCUAUAUGCGAACAGGCCGUUAACAGGCUUUCCAAGGGCCGGCCCGCCACCUUUUGACCAAGUCAAACGGGCCGGCCUUUUCAUAGGAAUGGGCCUCUGUUGGGCCGUGCCACGUGUUGACGUACCAUAGACGCCUUCUGUCCAAUGAGUGGAUGACAUCUGUCCCAGCGAUGAGCCGACACGUGUUUCCUCCAGCCAAUGAUGAUUUUACACGUGGAAAAUCCCCAUUGGUCGGGGCUGUUAACGGGUUAUCGGAUCCAAAACCUGACCCGAUAGCUUAACGGCGUUCCGUUACGGUGGAAGCCACGUGUCGGUCACCCUUGACGAAAGCACUUCUAUGACGCGCGAUUUAUCGUCAUGGAAGUGGACACUUCCGUGAUGAUAAUUUUGGUAAUGUCAUGGAACACUUAUACGACAGCACAGGUAUGACUAUCUUGAUUCUGUCAUAAAAUCGUCAUGGAUGUACAUGCAUGACUGAAAACGCGACCUACUGUGACAAACAUGUAUCAUCAUGGAAGUGUAUUUUUUUGUAGUGCGUGUUGCGGUUAUGCUUUAGAGACGGCUGCAUUCACGUUAAAUAGGGUAGCAACUGAAUCCGUUGACAUGACACCUUAUGAACUGUGGUUUGGCAAGAAACCCAAGUUGUCAUUUCUUAAAGUUUGGGGCUGCGAUGCUCAUGUAAAAAAGCUUCAACCAAAUCGGAGAAGUGUGUCUUCAUAGGAUACCCAAAGGAGACUAUUGGGUACACCUUCUAUCACAUAUCUGAAGGCAAGACAUUCAUUUCUAAAAAUGGAACCUUUCUAGAGAAGGAGUUUCUCUCUAAAGAAGUGAGUGCGAGGAAAGUAGAACUUGAUAAGGUAAAUGUACCUGCUCCCUUAUUGGAAAGUAGUUCAUCACAUAAAUCAGUUCCUGUCACUACUACAUCAAUUAGUGAGGAAGCUAAUGAUGAUGAUCGUGUAACUUCAGAUCAAGUUACUACUGAACCUCGUAGGUCAACCAGAGUAAGAUCCGCACCAGAGUGGUACGGUAAUCCCGUUCUGGAGGUCAUGUUACUUGACCAUGACGAACCUAUGAACUAUGAGGAAGCGAUGAUGAGCCCAGAUUCCGUAAAAUGGCUUGAGGCCAUGAAAUCUGAGAUGGGAUCCAUGUAUGAGAACAAAGUGUGGACUUUGGUUGACUUGCCCGAUUAUCGGCAAGCCAUCGAGAAUAAAUGGAUCUUCAAGAAGAAGACUGACGCUGACGGUAAUGUUACUAUCUACAAAGCUCGACUUGUUGCGAAAGGUUUUGACAAGUUCAAGGAGUUGACUACGAUGAGACCUUCUCACCCGUAGCGAUGCGUAAGACUGUCUGAUUCAUGGUAGCAAUUGCUGCAUUUUAUGAUUAUGAAAUUUGGCAAAUGGAUGUAAAGACUGCAUUCCUGAAUGGAUUUCUGGAAGAAGAGUUGUAUAUGAUGCAACCCGAAGGUUUUAUCAAUCCAAAGGAUGCUAACAAAGUGUGCAAGCUCCAGCGAUCCAUUUAUGGACUGGUGCAAGCAUCUUAGAGUUGGAAUAAAUGUUUUGAUAGUGUGAUCAAAGCAUAUGGCUUUAUACAGACUUUUGGAGAAGCCUGUAUUUACAAGAAAGUGAGUGGGAGCUCUAUAGCAUUUCUAAUAUUAUAUGUGGAUGACAUAUUGUUGAUUGGAAAUGAUAUAUAAUUUCUGGAUAGCAUAAAAGGACACUUGAAUAAGAGUUUUUCAAUGAAAGACCUCGGUGAAGCUACUUAUAUAUUGGGCAUCAAGAUCUAUAGAGAUAGAUUAAGACGCUUAAUUGGACUUUCACAAAGCACAUACCUUGAUAAAGUUUUGAAGAAGUUCAAAAUGGAUCAAGCAAAGAAAGGGUUCUUGCCUGUGUUACAAGGUGUGAAAUUGAGUCAGACUCAAUGCCCGACCACUGCAGAAGAUAGAGAGAAAAUGAAGGUCAUUCCCUAUGCUUCAGCCAUAGGUUCUAUCAUGUAUGCAAUGUUGUGUACCAGACCUGAUGUGUGCCUUGCUAUUAGUUUAGCAGGGAGGUACCAAAGUAAUCCAGGGGUGGAUCACUGGACAGCGGUCAAGAAAAUCCUGAAAUACCUGAAAAGGACUAAGGAUAUGUUUCUCGUUUAUGGAGGUGACAAAGAGCUCGUCAUAAAUGGUUACGUCGAUGCAAGCUUUGACACUGAUCCGGAUGACUCUAAAUCACAAACCGGAUAUGUAUUUAUAUUGAACGGUGGAACUGUAAGUUGGUGCAGUUCUAAGCAAAGCGUCGUGGCGGGAUCUACGUGUGAAGCGGAGUACUUAGUUGCUUCGGAAGCAGCAAAUGAAGGAGUCUGGAUGAAGGAGUUCAUAUCCGAUCUAGGUGUCAUACCUAGCGCAUCGGGUCCAAUGAAAAUCUUUUGUGACAAUACUGGUGCAAUUGCCUUGGCAAAGGAAUCCAGAUUUCACAAGAGAACCAAGCACAUCAAGAGACGCUUCAAUUCCAUCCGCGAUCAAGUCAUGGAGGGAGACAUAGAGAUUUGCAAGAUACAUACGGAUCUGAAUGUUGCCGACCCGUUGACUAAGCCUCUCUCACGAGCAAAAACAUGAUCGCACCAAGACUCCAUGGGUGUUAGAAUCAUUACUAUGUAAUCUAGAUUAUUGACUCUAGUGCAAGUGGGAGACUGAAGGAAAUAUGCCCUAGAGGCAAUAAUAAAGUUGUUAUUUAUAUUUCCUUAUAUCAUGAUAAAUGUUUAUUAUUCAUGCUAGAAUUGUAUUAACCGGAAACUUAGUACAUGUGUGAAUACAUAGACAAACAGAGUGUCACUAGUAUACCUCUACUUGACUAGCUCAUUGAAUCAAAGAUGGUUAAGUUUCGUAACCAUAGACAUGAGUUGUCAUUUGAUUAACGGGGUCACAUCAUUAGAGAAUGAUGUGAUUGACUUGACCCAUCCGUUAGCUUAGCAUGAUGAUCAUUUAGUUUGUUGCUAUCUCUUUCUUCAUGACUUAUAGAUGUUCCUACGACUAUGAGAUUAUGCAACUCCCGAAUACCGGAGGAACACUUUGUGUGCUAUCAAACGUCACAACGUAACUGGGUGAUUAUAAAGCUGCUCUACAGGUGUCUCUGAUGGUGUUUGUUGAGUUGGCAUAGAUCGAGAUUAGGAUUUGUCACUCCGACUUUCGGAGAGGUAUCUCUGGGCCCUCUCGGUAAUGCACAUCACUAUAAGCCUUGCAAGCAAUGUAACUAAUGAGUUAGUUGUAGGAUGAUGCAUUACGGAACGAUUAAAGAGACUUGCCGGUAACGAGAUUAAACUAGGUAUUGAGAUACCGACGAUCGAAUCUCGGGCAAGUAACAUACCGAUUACAAAGGGAACAACGUAUGUUGUUAUGCGGUUUGACCGAUAAAGAUCUUCGUAGAAUAUGUAGGAACCAAUAUGAGCAUCCAGGUUCCGCUAUUGGUUAUUGACCGGAGAUGAGUCUCGGUCAUGUCUACAUAGUUCUCGAACCCAUACGGUCCGCACACUUAACGUUCGGUGACGAUCGGUAUUAUGAGUUUAUGUGUUUUUAUGUACUGAAGGUUGUUCAGAGUCCCAGAUGUUAUCACGGACAUGACGAGGAGUCUCAAAAUGGUCGAUACAUAAAGAUCGAUAUAUUGGAUGGCUAUGUUUGGACACCGGAAUGGUUCCGGGUGAGUUCGGGCAUUUACAGGAGUACCGGGAGGUUACCGGAACCCCCCGGGGAGUAUAUGGGCCUUAUUGGGCCUUAGUGGGAGAGAGGAGGAGGCGCCCCCCCCCCAAGCCCAAUCCGAAUUGGGGUGGGGGGCCGGCCCCCCUUUCCUUCUCCCUCUCUCCUCCUUCCUUCCUCUCCUACUCCAAUUAGGGAAGGGGGAAUCCUACUCCCGGUGGGAGUAGGACUCCCCCUUGGGCGCGCCAUAGAGAAGGCCGGCCCUCCCCUCCUCCACUCCUUUAUAUACGGGGGAGGGGGCACCCCAUAGACACACAAGUUGAUUGUUUAGCCGUGUGCCGUGCCCCCCUCCAUAGAUUUCCACCUCGGUCAUAUCGUUGUAGUGCUUAGGCAAAGCCCUGCGUCGGUAACUUCAUCAUCACCGUCAUCACGCCGUCGUGUUGACGAUCCUCUCCCUCGACCUCAGCUGGAUCUAGAGUUCGCGGGACGUCACCGAGCUGAACAUGUGCAGAUCGCGGAGGUGUCGUACUUUCGGUACUAGGAUCGGUCGGAUCGUGAAGACGUGCGACUACAUCAACCGCGUUGUCAUAACUCUUCCGCUUUCGGUCUACGAGGGUACAUGGACAACACUCUCCCCUCUCAUUGGUAUGCAUCACCUAGAUGGAUCUUGCAUGUGCAUAGGAAUUUUUUUUGAAAUUACUGCGUUCCCCAACACAUACACUCAAUAUAAAUGGUUUAUUGAAUCUUGAUCGUAGUGAUACACAUAUUCAUAAUAUUGAAGCCAAAAGAUGCAAAGUUAAUAAUGAUAGUGCAACUUAUUUAUGGCACUGCCGUUUAGGUCAUAUUGGUGUAAAGCGCAUGAGGAAACUCCAUGCUGAUGGGCUUUUGGAAUCACUUGAUUAUGAAUCACUUCAUGCUUGCGAACCAUGCCUCAUGGGCAAGAUGACUAAGACUCCGUUCUCCAAAACAAUGGAGCGAGCAACUGACUUAUAUGAAAUAAUACAUACUGAUGUAUGCGAUCCGAUGAGUGUUGAGGCUCGCGGCGGGUAUCAUUAUUUUCUAACCUUCAUGGAUGAUUUGAGCAGAUAUGGGUAUAUCUACUUGAUGAAACAUAAGUCAGAAACAUUUGAAAAGUUCAAAGAAUUUCAUAGUGAAGAGGAAAAUCAUCGUAACAAGAAAAUAAAGUUUCUACGGUCUAAUCGUGGAGACAAAUAUUUGAGUUACGAGUUUGGUCUUCAAUUAAACAAUGUGGAAUAGUUUCACGAACUCAUGCCACCUGGAACACCACAGCAUAAUGGUGUGUCCGAACGUCAUAACAAUACUUUAUUGGAUAUAGUGCAAUCUAUGAUGUCUCUUACCGAUUUACCACUAUCGUUUUGGGGUUAUGCAUUAGAGACAGCUACAUUCACAUUAAAUAGGGCACCGUCUAAUCCAUUGAGACGACACUGUAUGAACUAUGGUUUGGCAAGAAACCUAAGCUGUCGUUUCUUAAAGUUUGGGGUUGCGAUGCUUAUGUGAAAAAGUUUCAACCUGAUAAGCUCGAACCCAAAUCGGAGAAGUGCGUCUUCAUAGGAUACCCAAAAGAAAAUGUUGGGUACACCUUCUAUCACAGAUCCGAAGGCAAGAUCUUUGUUGCUAAGAAUGGAUUCUUUCUAGAGAAGAAGUUUCUCUCGAAAGAAGUGAGUGGGAGGAAAGUAGAACUUGAUGAGGUAAUUGUACCUUCUCCCGAAUUGGAAAGUAGUUCAUCACAGAAAUCAGUUCCAGUGAUGCCUACACCAAUUAGUGAGGAAGUUAAUGAUGAUGAUCAUGAAACUUCAGAUCAAUUUACUACCGAACCUCGUAGGUCAACUAGAGUACGUUCCGCACCAGAGUGGUACGGUAAUCCGGUUCUGGAAGUCAUGUUACUAGACCAUGACGAACCUACGAACUAUGAGGAAGCGAUGAUGAGCCCUGAUGACCCACAAGUAUAGGGGAUCUAUCAUAGUCCUUUCAAUAAGUAAGAGUGUCGAACCCAACGAGGAGCAGAAGGAAAUGAUAAGCGGUUUUCAGCAAGGUAUUCUCUGCAAGCACUGAAAUAAUAGGUAACAGAUAGUUUUGUGAUAGGAUAAUUGGUAACGAGCAACAAGUAACAAAAGUAAAUAAAGUGCAGCAAGGUGGCCCAAUCCUUUUUGUAGCAAAGGACAAGCCUGGACAAACUCUUAUAUAGAGAAAAGCGCUCCCGAGGACACAUGGGAAUUAUCGUCAAGCUAGUUUUCAUCACGUUCAUAUGAUUCGCGUUCAGUAGUUUGAUAAUUUGAAAUUAACCAAAUCAGCCUCUUACGAAGCAACGCAUAAACUAGGGUUUAAGCUUUUGUCACUCUAGCAACCCAUCAUCUACUUAUUACAUCCCAAUGCCUUCCUCUAGGCCCAAAUAAUGGUGAAGUGUCAUGUAGUCGACGUUCACAUGACACCACUAGAGGAGAGACAACAUACAUCUCAUCAAAAUAUCGAACGAAUACCAAAUCCACAUGACUACUAAUAGCAAGACUUCUCCCAUGUCCUCAGGAACAAACGUAACUACUCACAAAGCAAAUUCAUGUUCAUAAUCAGAGGAGUAUUAAUAUGCAUAUAGGAUCUGAACAUAUGAUCUUCCACCAAAUAAACCAACUAGCAUCAACUACAAGGAGUAAUCAACACUACUAGCAACCUACAGGUACCAAUCCCAGACUUGGAGACAAGAAUUGGAUACAAGAGAUGAACUAGGGUUUGAGAGGAGAUGGUGCUGGUGAUGAUGUUGAUGGAGAUUUCCCUCUCCAGAUGAGAGGAGCGUUGGUGAUGACGAUGGCGAUGAUUUCCCCCUCCCGGAGGGAAGUGUCCCCGGCAGAACAGCUCUGCCGGAGCCCUAGAUUGGUUCUGCCAAGGUUCCGCCUCGUGGCGGCGGAGUCUCGUCCCGAAAGCUUGCUUAUGAUUUUUCUUCGGAUGAAAGACUUCAUAUAGCAGAAAAUGGGCACCGGAGGGCCAAAAGGGGGCCCACGAGGCAGGGGGCACGCCCAGGGGGUAGGGCGCACCCCCCACCCUCGUGGACAGGUGGAUGCCCCCCUGAUGUGGAUUCUUCUUCCAGUAUUUUUUAUUAUUUCCAAAAAUAACUUUCGUGGAGCUUCAGGACUUUUGGAGUUGUGCAGAAUAGGUCUCUAAUAUUUGCUCCUUUUCCAGCCCAGAAUUCCAGCUGCCGGCAUUCUCCCUCCUUAUGUAAACCUUGUAAAAUAAGAGAGAAUAGGCAUAAGUAUUGUGACAUAAUGUGUAAUAACAGCCCAUAAUGCCAUAAAUAUCAAUAUAAAAGCAUGAUGCAAGAUGGACGUAUCAACUCCCCCAAGCUUAGACCUCGCUUGUCCUCAAACGAAAGCCGAUAACGAUAAAUAUGUCCACAUGUUUAGAGGUAGAGGUGUCGAUAAAAUAAAAUACGAACAUGAGGGCAUCAUGAUUAUUCUCAUAACAGCAACAUAUAUGGAUAUUGUCAUAUGAUUUCUUAUUCUCAAGUAAUAAUCUAUUCACAAUGCAAAGUACGAAUCAGAAACUUUAUUGGGAACUAACAAACUAUAAUCUCAGUCAUUGAGGCAAUUGCAAUUUAUCAUAACAUCAGAAAGAGUCUAUGUCAGAGCUUUCUAGCAAGUCCACAUACUCAACUAUCAUUUAGUCUUUCAUAAUUGCUAACACUCACGCAAUACUUGUGGUUACGGAGUUUUAAUCAGACGCAGAGAAAGAUAGGGGCUUAUAGUUUCGCCUCCCAACCUUUUACAUCAAGGGUAAUGUCAACAAUAAUAACUCAUGCUAACCCACAUCCAAUUAGAUAUAUAUAUAUAUAUAUAUAUAUCAGGAUCUUUCCAACAUCUUGUGCUUGCCAAAGGAUAAAAUGUAUAAAGGAAAGGUGAAGAUCACCAUGACUCUUGCAUAAGGUAGAAGAUAAUAAUAAUAGAUAGGCCCUUCGCAGAGGGAAGCAGAGGUUGCCAUGCGGUUUCAGGGUUGGAUGCACAAAAUCUUAAUGCGAAAGAACGUCACUUUAUAUUGCCACUUGUGAUAUGAACCUUUAUUAUGCAGUCCGUCGCUUUUAUUUCUUCCACAUCACAAGAUCGUAUAAAGCUUAUUUCCUCCACACCAAUCAAUCAUACAUUUUUAAAGAGCAAUUUUUAUUGCUUGCACCGAUGAUAACUUACUUGAAGGAUCUUACUCAAUCCAUAGGUAGAUAUGGUGGACUCUCAUGGCAAAACUGGUUUAAGGGUUUUUGGAAGCACAAGUAGUAUCUCUACUUGGUGCAAAGAAUUUGGCUAGCAUGAGGGGGAAAGGCAAGCUCAACAUGUUGGAUGAUCCAUGAUAAUAUACUUUAUCUCAGAUAUAAGAAAACAUAACCCAUUACGUUGUCUUCCUUGUCCAACAUCAACUCUUUAGCAUGUCAUAUUUUAAUGAGUGCUCCCAAUCAUAAAAGAUGUCCAAGAUAGUAUAUUUAUAUGUGAAACGUCUCUUUCUUUAUUACUUCCUAUUAAUUGCAACGAUGACCAAAGCUAUGUUUGCCAACUCUCAACAACUUUUAAUCAUCAUACUCUUUCUAUGUGAAGUCAUUACUAUCCAUAAGAUCAAUAUGAUCUCUUUGUUUCUUUUUAUUCUUUUCUCUUUUCUUUUAUUCACUCAAGAUCAUAGCAAGAUAAUCAAGCCCUUGACUCAACACUAAUCUUUAUUAUAUAUAGCUCACGGACUCGAUUACAUAGAAAGAUCAUAAAGCAAAACUCAAAACUAGAUCAUACCAAAACUUUAUUCUACUAGAUCAAGAUACUACUAAUAGGAUCGAACUAAGAAAAACGGUAAAGAUAGGAGAUGUGGUGAUGAUACGAUACCGGGGAAUAUCCCCCAAGCUUGGCAGUUGCCAAAGGGAGUGCCCAUACCCAUGUGAUUAUGUUUCCUUUGCUGGUGAAGAAGAUGGUGGUGAUGAUGGGUAGUCGCACAUCGAGCGUAAGAGAUCCUCCAACUUGCGGAUAAUGCCCUUGAGUGCAAUGAUACGCUCCUUCAACAAAAUAUGUUCACGUGUGAGAUACUUGUUUUGUAUACGAGCUAACUCAAUCAUCUUGAAAGCUUCGACCUCAGUUGGGGUGAGAAGAUUGUGAUCAAGUUGAAGGAUGUCUUCUGUUGCCGGAACUUGGUCCUCCGUGGCCUUCUUGAUCCCUUCAUCCUUGCUGAUCUCCAUGGGUUCUUCCCUCUUCAGCUCUGUCUUCAUUAGCCAAGCAUCGUUGUCACCAUUGUUGGAGGAGGGGGACGACAUGCCUGGCCUUGACAACCCUGACAGAAAACAGCUCGAAACAAGAACAGAGGAUAAUUGCGUGAUACGGUGGUCAAAACCUUCGGGAGAUUAUAUAGUGAAUUUUUACCGACCAAAAUACGUAUCGUGCAAGAAAACGGAGUCCGGAGAGCGCACGAGGUGCCCACGAGGUAGGGGGACGCACCUAGUAGGGUAGGGCGCGCCCUCCACCCUCGUGGAGGCCUCGUGUCCUUCCCGGACUGCUUCUUAUUUUUCUAUUUUUCUAAAUAUUCCAAAACGGAGAAAAAUUGCCAUUAGAACUGUUUUGGAGUCGGUUUACUUACCGUACCACAUACCUAUUCCUUUUCGGAGUCUGAAACAUUCCGGAAAGUGUCCCUUAUGUAUUCCUCUGGGGUUACGGUUUCAAUAACAUUGGUUUUGACAUUUAUGGGAUUACCUGGGAUAUAAUGUUUAAUUCUUUGACCGUUCACCACCUUCGGAUUUGUGCCUUCGAAGUUGUUGAUUUUUAUGGCACCGGAACGAUAGAGCUCCUCGAUAACGUAAGGGCCUUCCCAUUUAGAGAGAAGUUUUCCUGCAAAAAAUAUUAAACGAGAGUUGUAUAGCAAUACAUAAUAACCUACAUUAAACUCACGCUUUUGUAUCAUUUUGUCAUGCCAUCUUUUAACUUUUUCUUUAAACAAUUUGGCAUUCUCAUAGGCUUGGGUUCUCCAUUCAUCAAGUGAGCUAAUGUCAAAUAACCUCUUCUCACCGGCAAGUUUGAAAUCAUAGUUGAGCUUUAAUAGCCUAAUAAGCCUUAUGUUAUAGUUCGAGAGGUAAAUGACAUGCUUUUCCAUAAACCAUUUUAUACGGAGACAUACCAAUAGGAUUUUUAUAUGCAGUUCUAUAGGCCCAUAAUGCAUCAUCAAGUUUCUUGGACCAAUUCGUUCUAGAUCUUAUUAACAGUCUUUUGCAAAAUUAAUUUGAGUUCUCUAUUGCUCAAUUCUACUUGACCACUAGACUGUGGGUGAUAAGGAGAUGCAAUUCUAUGAUUAACAUCAUACUUAGCAAGCAUUUUACGGAAAGCACCAUGAAUAAAAUGUGAACCACUAUCAGUCAUUAAAUAUCUAGGGACUCCAAACCUCGGAAAAAUAACUUCCUUAAGCAUCUUAAUAGAGGUGUUAUGAUCAGCACUACUAGUUGGAAUAGCUUCUACCCACUUAGUAACGUAAUCAACAACAACUAAAAUAUGUGUGUAUCCAUUAGAGGCAGGAAACGGUCCCAUAUAAUCAAACCCCCAAACAUCGAAUGGUUCAAUAACAAAUGAAUAAUUCAUAGGCAUUUCUUGACGUCUACUAAUAUUACCAAUUCUUUGACAUUCAUCACAAGAUAAGACAAACUUACGGGAAUCCUUGAAGAGAGUAGGCCAAUAAAAACCGAAUUGCAAUACCUUAUGUGCAGUUCUAUCUCCAGCAUGGUGUCCUCCAUAAGCCUCGGAAUGAUACUUGCGUAGGAUCUGUUGCUGUUCCUGCUCAGGUACACAACAUCUAAUAACACCAUCUACUCCUUCUUUAUAAAGAUGUGGGUCAUCCCAAAAGUAAUGUCUCAAAUCAUAGAAAAACUUUUUCUUUUGCUGGUAUGUGAAACUAGGUGGUAUAAAUUUAGCAACAAUGUAAUUAUCAUAAUCAACAUACCAUGGAGUAGUACGAGAAGCAUUUAUGACAUUUAAUUGUUCAUCAGGGAAGCUAUCAUCAAUAGGUAGUGGGUCAUCAAGAACAUUUUCUAACCUAGACAAGUUAUCUGCAACGGAGUUCUCAGCUCCCUUUCUAUCAAUAAUAUGCAAAUCAAAUUCUUGUAACAAGAGAACCCAUCUAAUAAAUCUAGGUUUAGCAUCUUUCUUUUCCAUAAGAUAUUUAAUAACAGCAUGAUCAGUGUGAAUAGUUACUUUAGAAUCAACAAUAUAGGGUCUGAACUUAUCACAAGCAAAUACAACUGCUAAGAAUUCUUUUUCAGUAGUAGCAUAAUUUCUCUGAGCAUUGUCUAGAGUUUUACUAGCGUAUUGAAUAACAUUUAAUUUCUUAUCAACUCUUUGCCCUAGAACAGCACCUACAGCAUAAUCACUAGCAUCACACAUGAUUUCAAAAGGUAAAUUCCAAUCAGGUGGCUGAACAAUAGGUGCAGAUAUCAAUGCUUUCUUAAGUAUUUCAAAUGCUUCUACACAAUCAUCAUCAAAGACAAAUGGUAUAUCUUUUUGUAAUAAAUUAGUCAGAGGCCGAGAAAUUUUUGAGAAAUCAUUAAUGAACCUCCUAUAAAAACCGGCGUGACCGAGGAAACUUCUUAUACCUUUGAUGUCCUUGGGACAUGGCAUCUUUUCAAUAGCAUCAACCUUAGCUUUAUCAACUUCAAUACCUCUAUCAGAAACUUUAUGCCCCAAGACAAUACCUUCAUUAACCAUAAAGUGGCACUUUGUUGGGGAACGUAGUAAUUUCAAAAAAAUUCCUACGCACACGCAAGAUCAUGGCGAUGCAUAGCAACGAGAGGGGAGAGUGUUGUCCACGUACCCUCGUAGACCGAAAGCGGAAGCGUUAACACAACGCGGUUGAUGUAGUCGUACGUCUUCACGAUCCGACCGAUCAAGUACCGAACGCACGGCACCUCCGAGUUCAGCACACGUUCAGCUCGAUGACAUCCCUCGAACUCUGAUCCAGCCGAGUGUUGAGGGAGAGUUUCGUCAGCACGACGGUGUGGUGACGAUGAUGAUGUUCUAACGACGCAGGGCUUCGCCUAAACACCGCUACGAUAUUAUCGAGGUGUAAUAUGGUGGAGGGGGCACCGCACACGGCUAAAAGAUCGUUGAUCAAUUGUGUGUCUAGAGGUGCCCCCCUGCCCCCGUAUAUAAAGGAGCAAGGGGGAGGCCACCGGCCAAGGAGGAGAGGCACGCCAGGAGGAGUCCUACUCCUACCGGGAGUAGGACUCCCCCCCCUUUUCCAUGUUGGACUAGGAGAGAGAGGGGGAAGAGGUGGAGGGGAGGAAGGAAGGGGGGGCGCCGCCCCCCUCUCCUUGUCCUAUUCGGACUGGGGGGAGGGGCGCGCGGCCCUGCCCUGGCCUCCUCUCCUCUCUUCCACCUAGGCCCACUAAGGCCCAUUAAGUUACCGGGGGGGUCUGGUAACCUCCCGGUACUCCGGAAAAAUCCCGAUUUCACCCGGAUCACUUCCGAUGUCCAAACAUAGGUUUCCAAUAUAUCAAUAUUUAUGUCUCGACCAUUUCAAGACUCCUUGUCAUGUCCGUGAUCACAUCCGGGACUCCGAACAACCUUCGGUACAUCAAAACAUAUAAACUCAUAAUAUAACUGUCAUCGUAACGUUAAGCGUGCGGACCCUACGGGUUUGAGAACUAUGUAGACAUGACCGAGACACCUCUCCGGUCAAUAACCAAUAGCGGAACCUGGAUGCUCAUAUUGGUUCCCACAUAUUCUACGAAGAUCUUUAUCGGUCAGACCGCAUAACAACAUACGUUGUUCCCUUUGUCAUCGGUAUGUUACUUGCCCGAGAUUCGAUCGUCGGUAUUUCGAUACCUAGUUCAAUCUCGUUACCGGCAAGUCUCUUUACUCGUUCCGUAAUACAUCAUCCCGCAACUAACUCAUUAGUUACAAUGCUUGCAAGGCUUAUAGUGAUGUGUAUUACUGAGUGGGCCCAGAGAUACCUCUCCGACAAUCGGAGUGACAAAUCCUAAUCUCGAAAUACGCCAACCCAACAAGUACCUUUGGAGACACCUGUAGAGCACCUUUAUAAUCACCCAGUUACGUUGUGACGUUUGGUAGCACACAAAGUGUUCCUCUGGUAAACGGGAGUUGCAUAAUCUCAUAGUCAUAGGAACAUGUAUAAGUCAUGAAGAAAGCAAUAGCAACAUACUAAACGAUCGAGUGCUAAGCUAACGGAAUGGGUCAAGUCAAUCACAUCAUUCUCCUAAUGAUGUGAUCCCGUUAAUCAAAUGACAACUCAUGUCUAUGGCUAGGAAACAUAACCAUCUUUGAUCAACGAGCUAGUCAAGUAGAGGCAUACCAGUGGCACUCUGUUUGUCUAUGUAUUCACACAUGUAUUAUGUUUCCAGUUAAUACAAUUCUAGCAUGAAUAAUAAACAUUUAUCAUGAUAUAAGGAAAUAGAUAAUAACUUUAUUAUUGCCUCUAGGGCAUAUUUCCUUCAGUCUCCCACUUGCACUAGAGUCAAUAAUCUAGAUUACACAGUAAUGAUUCUUACACCCAUGGAGUCUUGGUGCUGAUCGUGAUUUGCUUGUGGAAGAGGCUUAGUCAACGGGUCUGCAACAUUCAGAUCCGUAUGUAUCUUGCAAAUUUCUAUGUCUCCCACCUACCCUAAAUCCCGGAUGGAAUUGAAGCGUCUUUUGAUGUGCUUGGUUCUCUUGUGAAAUCUGGAUUCCUUUGCUAAGGCAAUUGCACCAGUAUUGUCACAAAAGAUUUUCAUUGGUCCCGAUGCACUAGGUAUGACACCUAGAUCGGAUAUGAACUCCUUCAUCCAGACUCCUUCAUUUGUUGCUUCCGAAGCAGCUAUGUAUUCCGCUUCACACGUAGAUCCCGCCACGACACUUUGCUUAGAACUGCACCAACUGACAGCUCCACCGUUCAAUGUAAACACGUAUCCGGUUUGCGAUUUAGAAUCAUCCGGAUCAGUGUCAAAGCUUGCAUCAAUGUAACCAUUUACGAUGAGCUCUUUGUCACCUCCAUAAAUGAGAAACAUAUCCUUAGUCCUUUUCAGGUAUUUCAGGAUGUUCUUGACCGCUGUCCAGUGAUCCACUCCUGGAUUACUUUGGUACCUCCCUGCUAAACUUAUAGCAAGGCACACAUCAGGUCUGGUACACAGCAUUGCAUACAUGAUAGAGCCUAUGGCUGAAGCAUAGGGAACAUCUUUCAUCUUCUCUCUAUCUUCUGCAGUGGUCGGGCAUUGAGUCUUACUCAAUCUCACACCUUGUAGUACAGGCAAGAACCCUUUCUUUGCUUGAUCCCUUUUGAACUUCUUCAAAACUUUGUCAAGGUAUGUGCUUUGUGAAAGUCCAAUUAAGCGUCUUGAUCUAUCUCUAUAGAUCUUGAUGCCCAAUAUAUAUACAGCUUCACCGAGGUCUUUCAUUGAAAAACUCUUAUUCAAGUAUCCCUUUAUGUUAUCCAGAAAUUCUAUAUCAUUUCCAAUUAACAAUAUGUCAUCCACAUAUAAUAUCAGAAAUGCUACUGAGCUCCCACUCACUUUCUUGUAAAUACAGGCUUCUCCAAAAGUCUGUAUAAAACCAAAUGCUUUGAUCACACUAUCAAAGCGUUUAUUCCAACUCCGAGAGGCUUGCACCAGUCCAUAAAUGGAUCGCUGGAGCUUGCACACUUUGUUAGCUCCCUUUGGAUCGACAAAACCUUCUGGUUGCAUCAUAUACAACUCUUCUUCCAGAAAUCCAUUCAGGAAUGCAGUUUUGACAUCCAUUUGCCAAAUUUCAUAAUCAUAAAAUGCGGCAAUUGCUAACAUGAUUCGGACAGACUUAAGCAUCGCUACGGGUGAGAAGGUCUCAUCGUAGUCAAUCCCUUGAACUUGUCGAAAACCUUUCGCAACAAGUCGAGCUUUAUAGACAGUAACAUUACCGUCAGCGUCAGUCUUCUUCUUGAAGAUCCAUUUAUUUUCAAUGGCUUGCCAAUCAUCGGGCAAGUCAACCAAAGUCCAUACUUUGUUCUCAUACAUGGAUCCCAUCUCGGAUUUCAUGGCCUCAAGCCAUUUUGCGGAAUCUAGGCUCACCAUCGCUUCUUCAUAGUUCGUAGGUUCGUCAUGGUCUAGUAACAUAACCUCCAGAACAGGAUUACCGUACCACUCUGGUGCGGAUCUUAAUCUGGUUGACCUAUGAGGUUCAGUAAUAACUUGAUCUGAAGUUUCAUGAUCAUUGUCAUUAACUUCCUCACUAAUUGGUGUAGGUGUCGCAGAAACUGAUUUCUGUGAUAAUUUACUUUCCAAUAAGGGAGCAGGUACAGUUACCUCAUCAGUUCUACUUUCCUCCCACUCACUUCUUUCGAGAGAAACUCCUUCUCUAGAAAGGAUCCAUUCUUAGCAACGAAUGUCUUCCCUUCGGAUCUGUGAUAGAAGGUGUACCCAAUAGUCUCCUUUGGGUAUCCUAUGAAGACACAUUUCUCCGAUUUAGGUUCGAGCUUAUCAGGUUGAAGUUUCUUCACAUAAGCAUCGCAACCCCAAACUUUAAGAUACGACAACUUUGGUUUCUUGCCAAACCAUAGUUCAUAAGGUGUCGUUUCAACGGAUUUUGAUGGUGCCCUAUUUAGAGUGAAUGCAGCCGUCUCUAAAGCAUAACCCCAAAACGAUAGCGGUAAAUCAGUAAGAGACAUCAUAGAUCGCACCAUAUCUAAUAAAGUACGAUUACAACGUUCGGACACACCAUUACGUUGUGGUGUUCCGGGUGGCGUGAGUUGCGAAACUAUUCCGAUUCAAAUGUAGACCAAACUCGUAACUCAAAUAUUCUCCUCCACCAUCUGAUCGUAGAAACUUUAUUUUCUUGUUACGAUGAUUUUCAACUUCGCACUGAAAUUCUUUGAACUUUUCAAAUGUUUCAGACUUAUGUUUCAUUAAGUAGAUAUACCCAUAUCUGCUCAAAUCAUCGGUGAAGGUGAGAAAAUAACGAUAUCCGCCACGAGCCUCAAUAUUCAUCGGACCACAUACAUCUGUAUGUAUGAUUUCCAACAAAUUAGUUGCUCUCUCCAUAGUACCGGAGAACGGUGUUUUAGUCAUCUUGCCCAUGAGACACGGUUCGCAAGUACCAAGUGAUUCAUAAUCAAGUGAUUCCAAAAGUCCAUCAUUAUGGAGUUUCUUCAUGCGCUUUACACCGAUAUGACCUAAACGGCAGUGCCACAAAUAAGUUGCACUAUCAUUAUCAACUCUGCAUCUUUUGGCUUCGACAUUAUGAAUAUGUGUGUCACUAAUACCGAGAUUCAUUAAAAAUAGACCACUCUUCAAGGGUGCAUGACCAUAAAAGAUAUUACUCAUAUAAAUAGAACAACCAUUAUUCUCUGAUUUAAAUGAAUAACCGUCUCGCAUCAAACAAGAUCCAGAUAUAAUGUUCAUGCCCAACGCUGGCACCAAAUAACAAUUAUUUAGGUCUAAUGCUAAUCCCGAAGGUAGAUGUAGAGGUAGCAUGCCGACGGCGAUCACAUCGACUUUGGAACCAUUUCCCACGCGCAUCGUCACCUCGUCCUUAACCAAUCUUCGCUUAAUCCGUAGCCCCUGUUUCGAGUUGCAAAUAUUAGCAACAAAACUAGUAUCAAAUACCCAGGUGCUACUGCGAGCAUUAGUAAGGUACACAUCAAUAACAUGUAUAUCACAUAUACCUUUGUUCACCUUGCCAUCCUUCUUAUCCGCCAAAUACUUGGGGCAGUUCCGCUUCCAGUGACCAGUCUGCUUGCAGUAGAAGCACUCAGUCUCAGGCUUAGGUCCAGACUUGGGUUUCUUCUCCUGAACAGCAACUUGCUUGUUGUUCUUCUUGAAGUUCCCCUUCUUCUUCCCUUUGCCCUUUUUCUUGAAACUAGUGGUCUUAUUGACCAUCAACAUUUGAUGCUCCUUUUUGAUUUCUACCUCCGCUGCCUUUAGCAUUGCGAAGAGCUCGGGAAUUGUCUUAUUCAUCCCUUGCAUGUUAUAGUUCAUCACGAAGCUCUUGUAGCUUGGUGGCAGUGAUUGAAGAAUUCUGUCAAUGACGCUAUCAUCCGGAAGAUUAACUCCCAGUUGAAUCAAGUGAUUAUUAUACCCAGACAUUUUGAGUAUAUGCUCACUGACAAAACUAUUCUCUUCCACCUUGCAGAUGUAGAACUUAUUGGAGACUUCAUAUCUCUCAAUCCGGGCAUUUGCUUGAAAUAUUAACUUCAACUCCUGGAACAUCUCAUAUGCUCCAUGACGUUCAAAACGUCGUUGAAGACCCGGUUCUAAGCCGUAAAGCAUGGCACACUGAACUAUCGAGUAGUCAUCAGCUUUGCUCUGCCAGACGUUCAUAACUUCUGGUGUUGCUCUUGCAGCAGGCCUGUUACCCAGCGGUGCUUCCAGGACGUAAUUCUUCUGUGCAGCAAUGAGGAUAAUCCUCAAGUUACGGACCCAGUCCGUGUAAUUGCUACCAUCAUCUUUCAACUUUGCUUUCUCAAGGAACGCAUUAAAAUUCAACGGAACAACAGCACAGGCCAUCUAUCUACAAUUAACAUAGACAAGCAAGAUACUAUCAGGUACUAAGUUCAUGAUAAAUUCAAGUUCAAUUAAUCAUAUUACUUAAGAACUCCCACUUAGAUAGACAUCCCUCUAAUCCUCUAAGUGAUUACGUGAUCCAUAUCAACUAAACCAUGUCCGAUCAUCACGUGAGAUGGAGUAGUUUCAAUGGUGAACAUCACUAUGUUGAUCAUAUCUACUAUAUAAUUCACGCUCGACCUUUCGGUCUCCGUGUUCCGAGGCCAUAUCUGCAUAUGCUAGGCUCGUCAAGUUUAACCUGAGUAUUCCGCGUGUGCAACUGUUUUGCACCCGUUGUAUUUGAACGUAGAGCCUAUCACACCCGAUCAUCACGUGGUGUCUCAGCAUGAAGAACUUUCGCAACGGUGCAUACUCAGGGAGAACACUUUUAUCUUGAAAUUUUAGUGAGAGAUCAUCUUAAAAUGCUACCGUCAAUCAAAGCAAGAUAAGAUGCAUAAAAGAUAAACAUCACAUGCAAUCAAUAUAAGUGAUAUGAUAUGGCCAUCAUCAUCUUGUGCUUGUGAUCUCCAUCUCCGAAGCACCGUCAUGAUCACCAUCGUCACCAGCGCGACACCUUGAUCUCCAUCGUAGCAUCGUUGUCGUCUCGCCAACUAUUGCUUUUACGACUAUCGCUACCGCUUAGUGAUAAAGUAAAACAAUUACAUGGCGAUUGCAUUUCAUACAAUAAAGCGACAACCAUAUGGCUCCUGCUAGUUGCCGAUAACUCGGUUACAAAACAUGAUCAUCUCAUACAAAUAAAAUAUAGCAUCAUGUCUUGACCAUAUCACAUCACAACAUGCCCUGCAAAAACAAGUUAGACGUCCUCUACUUGGUUGUUGCAAGUUUUACGUGGCUGCUACGGGCUUAGCAAGAACCGUUCUUACCUACGCAUUAAAACCACAAUGAUAGUUUGUCAAGUCGGUGCUGUUUUAACCUUCGCAAGGACCGGGCGUAGCCACACUCGGUUCAACUAAAGUGAGAGAGACAGACACCCGCCAGUCACCUUUAAGCAACGAGUGCUCGCAACGGUGAAACCAGUCUCGCGUAAGCGUACGCGUAAUGUCGGUCCGGGCCGCUUCAUCUCACAAUACCGCCAAACCAAAGUAUGACAUGCUGGUAAGCAGUAUGACUUAUAUCGCCCACAACUCACUUGUGUUCUACUCGUGCAUAACAUCAAAGCAUAAAACCAGGCUCGGAUGCCACUGUUGGGGAACGUACUAAUUUCAAAAAAAAUUCCUACGCACACGCAAGAUCAUGGUGAUGCAUAGCAACAAGAGGGGAGAGUGUUGUCCACGUACCCUCGUAGACCAAAAGCGGAAGCGUUAACACAACGCGGUUGAUGUAGUCGUACGUCUUCACGAUCCGACCGAUCAAGUACCGAACGCACGGCACCUCCGAGUUCAGCACACGUUCAGCUCGAUGACGUCCCUCGAACUCUGAUCCAGCCGAGUGUUGAGGGAGAGUUUCGUCAGCACGACGGCAUGGUGACGAUGAUGAUGUUCUACCGACGCAGGGCUUCAUCUAAGCACCACUACAAUAUUAUCGAGGUGUAAUAUGGUGGAGGGGGGCACCGCACACGGCUAAAAGAUCGUUGAUCAAUUGUGUGUCUAGAGGUGCCCCCCUGCCCCCGUAUAUAAAGGAGCAAGGGGGAGGCCGCCGGCCAAGGAGGAGAGGCGCGCCAGGAGGAGUCCUACUCCUACCGGGAGUAGGACUCCCCCCUUUUCCAUGUUGGACUAGGAGAGAGAGGGGGAAGAGGUGGAGGGGAGGAAGGAAGGGGGCGCCGCCCCCCUCUCCUUGUCCUAUUCGGACUGGGGGGAGGGGCGCGCGGCCCUGCCCUGGCCUCCUCUCCUCUCUUCCACCUAGGCCCACUAAGGCCCAUUAAGUUACCGGGGCGUUCCGGUAACCUCCCGGUACUCCAGAAAAAUCCCGAUUUCACCCGGAUCACUUCCGAUGUCCAAACACAGGUUUCCAAUAUAUCAAUCUUUAUGUCUCGACCAUUUCGAGACUCCUCGUCAUGUCCGUGAUCACAUCCAGGACUCCGAACAACCUUCGGUACAUCAAAACAUAUAAACUCAUAAUAUAACUGUCAUCGUAACGUUAAGCGUGCGGACCCUACGGGUUCGAGAACGAUGUAGACAUGACCGAGACACCUCUCCGGUGAAUAACCAAUAGCGGAACCUGGAUGCUCAUAUUGGUUCCCACAUAUUCUACGAAGAUCUUUAUCGGUCAGACCGCAUAACAACAUACGUUGUUCCCUUUGUCAUCGGUAUGUUACUUGCCCGAGAUUCGAUCGUCGGUAUUUCGAUACAUAGUUCAAUCUCGUUACCGACAAGUCUCUUUACUCGUUCCGUAAUACAUCAUCCCGCAACUAACUCAUUAGUUACAAUGCUUGCAAGGCUUAUAGUGAUGUGUAUUACUGAGUGGGCCCAGAGAUACCCCUCCGACAAUCGGAGUGACAAAUCCUAAUCUCGAAAUACGCCAACCCAACAAGUACCUUUGGAGACACCUGUAGAGCACCUUUAUAAUCACCCAGUUACGUUGUGACGUUUGGUAGCACACAAAGUGUUCCUCUGGUAAACGGGAGUUGCAUAAUCUCAUAGUCAUAGAAACAUGUAUAAGUCAUGAAGAAAGCAAUAGCAACAUACUAAACGAUCGAGUGCUAAGCUAACGGAAUGGGUCAAGUCAAUCACAUCAUUCUCCUAAUGAUGUGAUCCCGUUAAUCAAAUGACAACUCAUGUCUAUGGCUAGGAAACAUAACCAUCUUUGAUCAACGAUCCAGUCAAGUAGAGGCAUACUAGUGACACUCUGUUUGUCUAUGUAUUCACACAUGUAUUAUGUUUCCGGUUAAUACAAUUCUAGCAUGAAUAAUAAACAUUUAUCAUGAUAUAAGGAAAUAAAUAAUAACUUUAUUAUUGCCUCUAGGGCAUAUUUCCUUCACACUUCUCCCAAUUCAAGACAAGGUUAGUUUCUUCACAUCUCUGCAAUCAAGGUUGCUCAAACAAUCAUCAAAAGAGGAUCCAUAGACGGAGAAAUCAUCCAUGAAAACCUCACAAAUCUAUUCACAAAAGUCAGAGAAUAUAGCCAUCAUGCAUCUUUGAAAGGUAGCAGGUGCAUUACAUAAACCAAAAGGCAUACGUCUAUAAGCAAAAGUACCGAAAGGGCAAGUAAAAGUGGUCUUUGAUUGAUCAUCGGCUGACACAGGUAUUUGAGAGAAACCAGAAUAACCAUCUAGAAAGCAAAAAUGUGUAUGUUUAGAUAAUCUUUCUAGAAUUUGAUCGAUAAAAGGUAAGGGGUAAUGAUCCUUUUUAGUAGCUUUAUUUAGUUUGCGGAAAUCAAUUACCAUCCUAUAACCUGUAAUAAUUCUUUGCGGGAUCAAUUCAUCUUUAUCAUUAGGAACGACAGUAAUACCUCCCUUCUUAGGGAAAUAAUGGACAGGACUUACCCACUGACUAUCAGCAACGGGAUAAAUUAUACCUGCCUCAAGGAGCUUUAGUAUUUCCUUUCUUACUUCUUCUUUCAUCUUAGGAUUCAGCCGUCAUUGAUGAUCACGAACUGGUUUGGCAUCUUUCUCCCAAUUUAUUUUAUGUUGGCAUAGAGUGGGGCUAAUGCCCUUAAGAUCAUCAAGAGUAUAUCCAAUAGCAGCACGGUGCUUCUUCGGAGUUUUCAAUAAUCUCUCUUCUUCAUGCUCUGAAAGGUUAGCACUAAUAAUAACAGGAUAUAUCUUCUUUUCAUCAAGAUAAGCAUAUUUAAGAGUAUCAGGUAACGGUUUAAUCUCAAACACGGGAUCACCCUUGGGUGGAGGAGGAUCCCCUAGGAUUUCAACAGGCAAAUUGUGUUUCAGGAUGGGUUCUUGUUUAAAGAAUACUUCAUCUAUUUCCCUUCUUUCAUUCAUAAACAUAUCAUUUUCAUGGUCUAGCAAAUAUUGUUCUAAAGGAUCACUAGGAGGUACGGCAAUAGAAGCAAGACCAAUAAUUUCAUCCUUACUAGGCAAUUCCUCUUCACGGUGUUGUCUACUAAAUUUAGAGAAAUUAAACUCAUGAGACAUAUCACCCAAGCCAAUAGUAAUGACAUCCUUUUCGCAGUCUAUCCUAGCAUUAACAGUGUUCAAGAAGGGUCUACCAAAUAUUAUGGGACAAAAGCUAUCUUGUGGGGAACCAAGAACAAGAAAAUCAACAGGAUAUUAGUUUUCCCACACAAGACUUCAACAUCUCUAACAAUUCCAAUGGGUGAUAUGGUAUCUCUAUUGGCAAGCUUAAUGGUAACAUCAAUAUCUUCUAUCUCAGCAGGUGCAAUAUCAUGCAUAAUUUCUUUGUAUAAGUCAUGAGGUAUAGCACUAGCACCCAUAUCACAUAAGCCAUGAUAACAAUGAUCUCCUAUUUUAACAGAAAUAACAAGCAUGCCUACCACAGGUCUAUGUUUAUCUUUAGCACAAGGUUUGGCAAUUCUAGCAGUUUCAUCUCGGAAAUGAAUAACAUGCCCAUCAAUAUUAUCAGACAAGAGAUCUUUAACAAUAGCAAUAUUAGGUUCAACUUUAACUUGCUCAGGAGGUGUAUAGGUUCUAAUAUUGCUUAUACGAACCACAGUUGAAGCUUUAGCGUGAUCCUUUAUCCUAACAGGAAAAGGUGGUUUCUCAACAUAAGCAGUAGGAACAAUAGGAUCAUUAUAAGUGAUAGUCUUUUCUUCAACUUUAAUAGGUGCAGCUACUUUUACUUCUAUGGGAGGAUGAUAUUUAAACCACUUCUCCUUAGGGAGAUCAACGUGAGCAGCAAAAGAUUCACAAAAGGAAGCUACUAUCUCAGAGUCAAGUCCAUAUUUAGUGCUAAAUUUACGGAAAACGUCGGUAUCCAUAAAAGAUUUAACACAAUCAAACUUAGGUGUCAUACCUGACUCCUUACCUUCGUCGAGAUCCCAAUCUUCAGAGUUGCAUUUAAUUCUUCCCAAUAAGUUCCAUUUUAAUUCAAUAGUCUUCAUCGUAAAAGAGCCAGCACAAGAAGUAUCGAGCAUGGUGCGAUUGUUAUCAGAAAGCCGAGCAUAAAAAUUUUGAAUAAUCAUUUCUCUUGAGAGCUCAUGAUUGGGGCAUGAAUAUAACAUUGAUUUAAGCCUCCCCCAAGCUUGAGCGAUGCUUUCUCCUUCGCGAGGCCAAAAAUUAUAUAUAGAAUUGCGAUCACGAUGAACAAGAUGCAUAGGAUAAAACUUCUGAUGAAAUUCCAAUUUCAAUCGUUUGUAGUUCCAUGACCCCGUAUCAUCACAUAGCCUAUACCAUGUCAAUGCAUCUCCCUUCAAAGAUAAAGGGAAGACCUUCUUCUUAAUAACAUCAUCGGGUAUACCUGCAAGCUUAAAUAAUACACAAACUUCAUCCACAUAGAUUAGGUGCUCAUCAGGAUGCAUUGUUCCGUCUCCUGCAAAAGGAUUAGCCAGCAGUUUUUCUAACAUACCCGAAGGAAUUUCAAAGUAGACAUUUUUAUUUUCAGUAGGUUCAAUAGGUUGAGGAGCAACUCUUUGCUCUACUGGUCGGGGUGAAGAUACCCCGAACAAGCCCCUCAGAGGAUUACUUUCCAUAGUAACAAGUGACAGUAAAUUUCAGCACACUAUAUAAAUUUUUCCUUACCAAAUUCCACCUACCAAAGACGCUUCACUCCCCGGCAACGGCGCCAUAAAAGAGUCUUGAUGACCCACAAGUAUAGGGGAUCUAUCGUAGUCCUUUCAAUAAGUAAGAGUGCCGAACCCAACGAGGAGCAGAAGGAAACGAUAAGCAGUUUUCAGCAAGGUAUUCUCUGCAAGCACUGAAAUAAUAGGUAACAGAUAGUUUUGUGAUAGGAUAAUUGGUAACGAGCAACAAGUAACAAAAGUAAAUAAAGUGCAGCAAGGUGGCCCAAUCCUUUUUGUAGCAAAGGACAAGCCUGGACAAACUCUUAUAUAGAGAAAAGCGCUCCCGAGGACACAUGGGAAUUAUCGUCAAGCUAGUUUUCAUCACGUUCAUAUGAUUCGCGUUCGGUAGUUUGAUAAUUUGAUAUCUGGGUGGACCGGUGCUUGGGUGCUGUCCUUACUUGGACAAGCAUCCCACUUGUGAUUAACCUCUAUUGCAAGCAUCCGCAACUACAACAAAAGUAUUAAGGUAAACCUAACCAUAGCAUGAAAAAUAUGGAUCCAAAUCAGCCCCUUAUGAAGCAACGCAUAAACUAGGGUUUAAGCUUCUGUCACUCUAGCAACCCAUCAUCUACUUAUUACUUCCCAAUGCCUUCCUCUAGGCCCAAAUAAUGGUGAAGUGUCAUGUAGUCGACGUUCACAUAACACCACUAGAGGAGAGACAACAUACAUCUCAUCAAAAUAUCGAACGAAUACCAAAUUCACAUGACUACUAAUAGCAAGACUUAUCCCAUGUCCUCAGGAACAAAUGUAACUACUCACAAAGCAUAUUCAUGUUCAUAAUCAGAGGAGUAUUAAUAUGCAUAUAGGAUCUGAACAUAUGAUCUUCCACCAAAUAAACCAACUAGCAUCAACUACAAGGAGUAAUCAACACUACUAGCAACCUACACGUACCAAUCCCAGACUUGGAGAUAAGAAUUGGAUACAAGAGAUGAACUAGGGUUUGAGAGGAGAUGGUGCUAGUGAAGAUGUUGAUGGAGAUUGCCCUCUCCCGAUGAGAGGAGCAUUGGUGAUGACGAUGGCGAUGAUUUCCCCCUCCCGGAGGGAAGUGUCCCCGGCAGAACAGCUCUGUCGGAGCCCUAGAUUGGUUCCGCCAAGGUUCCACCUCGUGGCGGCGGAGUCUCAUCCCGAAAGCUUGAUUAUGAUUUUUCUUCGGAUGAAAGACUUCAUAUAGCAGAAGAUGGGCACUGGAGGGCCAACAGGGGGCCCACGAGGCAGGGGGGCGUGCCCAGGGGGGUAGGGCGCGCCCCCCACCCUCGUGGACAGGUGGAGGCCCCCCUGACGUGGAUUCUUCUUCCAGUAUUUUUUAUUAUUUCCAAAAAUUAACUUUCGUGGAGUUUCAGGACUUUUGGAGUUGUGCAGAAUAGGUCUCUAAUAUUUGCUCCUUUUCCAGCCCAGAAUUCCAGCUGCCGGCAUUCUCCCUCCUUAUGUAAACCUUGUAAAAUAAGAGAGAAUAUGCAUAAGUAUUGUGACAUAAUGUGUAAUAACAGCCCAUAAUGCCAUAAAUAUCAAUAUAAAAGCAUGAUGCAAAAUGGACGUAUCAAGCCCAGAUUCCGCAAAAUGGUUUAAGGCCAUGAAAUUUGAGAUAGGAUCCAUGUAUGAAUACAAAGUAUGUACUUUGGUGGUAUUGCCCGAUGAUCGGCAAGCCAUUGAGAAUAAAUGGAUCUUAAAGAGGAAGACGGAUGCUGAUGGUAGUGUUACUAUCUACAAAGCUCAAACUGUCGCAAAAGGUUUUCGACAAGUUCAAGGUGUUGACUACGAUGAGAUUUUCUCGCUCGUAUCGAUGCUUAGAGUCUGUCCGGAUCAUGUUAGCAAUUGCCGCAUUUUAUGAAAUUUGGCAAAUGGAUGUCAAAACUGCAUUCCUUAAUGGAUAUCUCAAAGAAGAGUUGUAUAUGAUCCAACCAGAAGGUUUUGUCGAUCCUAAAGGUGCUAACAAAGUGUGCAAGCUCCAGCGAUCCAUUUAUGGACUGGUGCAAGCCUCUCGGAGUUGGAAUAUACACUUUAAUAGUGUGAUCAAAGCAUAUGGUUUUAUACAUACUUGUGGUGAAGCAUGUAUUUACAAGAAAGUGAGUGGGAGCACUACAGCCUUUCUGAUAAGUAUAUGUGAAUGACAUAUUGUUGAUCGGAAAUGAUGUAGAAUUUUAUGGAAAGCAUGAAGGAGUGUUUGAAAGGAGUUUUUCAAAGAAAGACCUCGGUGAAGCUGCUUACAUAUUGAGCAUCAAGACCUAUAGAGAUGGAUCAAUACGCUUGAUAAGAUUUUUCAAUGAAUACAUACCUUGAUAAGAUUUUGAAGUAGUUCAAAAUGGAACAGUCAAAGAAGGAGUUCUUGCCUGUAUUGCAAGGUGUGAAGUUGAGUAAGACUCAAAACCCAACCACGGCAGAAAAUAGAAAGAGAAUGUAAGUCAUUCCCUAUGCCUCAGUCAUAGGUUCUAUAAAGUAUGAUAUGCUGUGUACCAGACCUAUUGUGUACCUCGCCAUGAGUUUGGCAAGAGGGUACAAUAGUGAUCCAGGAGUGGAUCACUGGACAGCGGUCAAAAUUAUCCUUAGUGGAAUAAGGAUAUGUUUCUUGGUUAUGGAGGUGAUAAAGAGUUCGUCGUAAAGAGCUACGUCGAUGUAAGCUUUGACACCGAUCUGGAUAACUCUGAGUCUCGAUCUAGAUACAUAAUGAAAGUGGGAGCAAUUAGCUAGAGUAGCUUCGUGCAGAGCAUUGUAAACAUAGAAAUUUGCAAAAUACAUACAGCUCUGAAUGUGGCAGAUCUGUUGACUAAAUUUAUCUCACAAGCAAAACAUGAUCACACCUUAGUGCUCUUGGGUGUUAAUCACAUAGCGAUGUGAACUAUAUUAUUGACUCUCGUAAACCCUUUGAGUGUUGGUCACAUGGCGAUGUGAACUAUGGGUGUUAAUCACAUGGUGAUGUGAACUAUUGGUGUUAAAUCACAUGGCGAUGUGAACUAGAUUAUUGACUCUAGUGCAAGUGGGAGACUGAAGGAAAUAUGCCCUAGAGGCAAUAAUAAAGUUAUUAUUUUAUUUCCUUAUUUCAUGAUAAAUGUUUAAUAUUCAUGCUAGAAUUGUAUUAACCGGAAACUUAGUACAUGUGUGAAUACAUAGACAAACAGAGUGUCCCUAGUAUGCCUCUACUUGACUAGCUCGUUAAUCAAAGAUGGUUAAGUUUCCUAGCCAUAGACAUGUGUUGUCAUUUGAUGAACGGGAUCACAUCAUUAGAGAAUAAUGUGAUGGACAAGACCCAUUCGUUAGGUUAGCAUUAUGAUCGUUUCAGUUUUCAUUGCUACUGGUUUCUUCAUGACUUAUACAUGUUCCUCUGACUAUGAGAUUAUGCAACUCCCGAAUACCGGAGGAACACUUUGUGUGCUAUCAAACGUCACAACGUAACUGGGUGAUUAUAAAGAUGCUCUACAGGUGUCUCCGAAGGUGUUUGUUGAGUUGGCAUAUAUCGAGAUUAGGAUUUGUCACUCUGUGUAUCGGAGAGGUAUCUCUGGGCCCUCUCGGUAAUGCACAUCAUUAUAAGCCUUGCAAGCAUUGUGACUAAUGAGUUAGUUGCGGGAUGAUGCGUUAUGGAACGAGUAAAGAGACUUGCCGAUAACGAGAUUGAACUAGGUAUGAGAAUACCGACGAUCGAAUCUCGGGCAAGUAACAUACCGAUGACAAAGGGAACAACGUAUGUUGUUAUGCGGUUUGACCGAUAAAGAUCUUCGUACAAUAUGUAGGAGCCAAUAUGAGCAUCCAGGUUCCGCUAUUGGUUAUUGACCGGAGAUGUGUCUCGGUCAUGUCUACAUAGUUCUCGAACCCGUAGGGUCUGCACGCUUAACGUUCGAUGAUGAUUUGUAUUAUGAGUUAUGUGAUUUGAUGUACCGAAGGUUGUUCGGAGUCCCGGAUGAGAUCACGGACAUGACGAGGAGUCUCAAAAUGGUCGAGACGCAAAGAUCGAUAUAUUGGAAGGCUAUAUUCGGACAUCGAAAAGGUUCCGAGUGAUUCGGGUAUUUUUCGGAGUACCGAAGAGUUACGGGAAUUCUCGGGGAGAAGUAAUGGGCCUUAUUGGGCUUUAGUGGAGAGAGGGGAUAAGGGCCAAGAGGUGGCGCGCGCCUCCCCCUCCUGCCCAAACCGAAUUGGACAAGGGGUGGGGGCGCGGCCCCCCUUUUCCUUCUCCCUCUCCCUCUCUUUCCUUCUCUCCAACUCCGAAUAGGAAAGAGGAGGGGAAUCCUACUUGGACUAGGGAGUCCUAGUAGGAUUCCCCACACCUGGCGCACCCCCCUUGGGCCGGCCACCUCUUCCCUCCCCUCCUUUAUAUACGUGGCCAGGGGGCACCCCAAAAGCACUCAAGAUUUGUCUUAGCCGUGUGUGGUGCCCCCCUCCACAGUUACACACCUUGAUCAUAUCGUCGUAGUGCUUAGGCGAAGCCCUGCACCGGUAACAUCAUCAUCACCGUCGCCACGCCGUCGUGCUGACGGAACUCUCCCUCGGCCUCAACUGGAUCAAGAGUACGAGGGACGUCAUCGAGUUGAACGUGUGCUAAACACGGAGGUGUCGUACGUUCGGUGCUAGGAUCGGUCGGAUCGUGAAGACGUAUGACUACAUCAACCGCGUUGAUAUAACGCUUCCGCUUUCGGUCUACGAGGGUAUGUAGAAACGCUCUCCCCUCUUGUUGCUAUGCAUCUCCUAGAUAGAUCUUGCGUGGUCGUAGGAAAUUUUUUUAAAUACUGCGUUCCCCAACAUACAGACCACACCAUCAGGAGCAUAGUACCCCGGUGGUAGCUGCAUAUAAACCUCCUCACGCAACUCGCCAUUGAGAAAGGCGUUCUGGACAUCAAGUUGAGAGAUAGACCAAUGACGAACAGAAGCCACAGCAAAGAGAGUGCGCACAGUGGUCAUGUGGGCUACAGGAGCGAAUGUCUCAUCAUAAUCGCGUCCCUGCUCCUGCUGAAAACCACGGGCCACAAGACGAGCUUUGUAGCGCUCAACAGAACCAUCGGAGCGAGUCUUAAUCUUGUAGACCCACUUGCAGGUGAUGGGACGAACACCAGAAGGGAGGGAAACCAGAUCCCAGGUGCCAGAGCGCUCAAGGGCAGCAAGCUCUUCGGCCAUCGCAAGCUGCCAUUCAGGCUGAGUCAUGGCAGUCCGAUAGGAAGUGGGCUCGGCAAUAACGGAGAGACCAUACCGGUUAGGAGAAUAACGAUCAGGCGGGGGCGAGGCCGAGCACGGAGGUUAUGAACCAGGGGAGGCAUGAACGGAGGUGCACCAGAGGUGGAAGGCGAGUCAGGGGAAGCAUCCUCAGUAUGAGGGCGGCGAGUAUAGUGGAGAGGAAACGGUGAGAGAGGGCGACGAACAGGAGAAGAUGGCAGAGAGGUGGAGGAGGAGGAUGGGGAAGAUGGUGUCGGUGGUGAAUGAGAAUGAGUGAGAGGUGCAGGAGGAAGAGGUGAAACAUGAGGCACAUAGCAGAGUGUAUCGGGAAGGGGAAGAAAGGAAAUAUCGUCCACAGAGAAACUCGAGGAAGAAGGACGUGGGUAGUAAGAGCGAUACUCGUCAAAGGUCACAUCACGUGAGAUGCGCAAACGACGACCAACAGGGUCCCAACAGCGAUAGCCCUUUGUUGACACCUGAUUUUGGCAAGAUACAGAGUGAAAGGGUUUUCAGCAUGAGAAAGUUUCACAUCGUCGAGUGGAACAACUUUGAUGUUUUGGCUAUCGCCAUUCGACCUCAUCUCAGUGGCCGAAGUUGUACUCCGAGUGACAAAAUUUAGUGUUCUGAGUGCUUUUCGGCCGAUUACGCCCUCAAUAUCACCUCAGAUGAAGGAGUGCUCUAAAGUAAUUGUCUUCGUCUCGUCGAGACAAUCGAUUUUCAUAUAUAAAUCAUCUCAAUCCGAGUUCGUGUGCAAAAGUUACAGUCAAUAUGGUGCGGACCAGCUAGGAAUCAAAAUAUUACGCUGGACUUCAGACACAUGUUGAUGGGUGUCUGGUACAAUGCGUGCGCAAUUAUCCCUUGAAGCUGACCUCGGAUCUAAAAGUGUUCAACAUGAAAGUUUUUCAUCCCGUCAAGCCGAUCGAUUUUCAUAUAUAAAUUGUCUCGAUCCAAGUUAGUAUGCGACCUGGGGAGGCAAGACAAGAUCAGGCUGUGUUUUCAGUCGGAAAUCCGAGUGAAAAAGUUUACCAUCCGAGUGAAAAUUUACCGGUCGAGUGAAAGUUUGCUGACCGGAUGAACUUAUUAUUAUCCGAGUAAAAAUAUAGUCAUCCAAGUGAAAUUUUCCUCCAGGUAAAAAUAUUCCGAGUGAAAAGAUUGCCAUCGGAACGAAAACUUGCCGAUCGAGUAAGAUAUUGCCUUCCGAGUGGAAAUAUAGUCAUCCGAGUGAAAGAUUGUCUUCCGAGUGAAAAAGUCCAGUCGGACGAUCCGAGCGUAAGUCUCUAAUAUCCGAGUGGAUGAGCUCGAAUCCGAGUGAAACUGAACAUGUGCCCGAAAGUUUAUCAAGAUGACCUCGGAUGAAGAAGUGUUCAAUACAGAAGUUGUGCGUAUCAUCAAGACGGUAAACUUUGGUUUUGGAGUCAUCAUCAUCAAAGAUAGUAUAUGGCCUGCAAAUUCACUACAAAACUGGAUAAUCCAGUCUACUGCAAGACCGAGUCCGACUGGAAGGUAAAGAUGACCUCGAGAAAUAUUCAAGAUGGCCUUAUUUGAAAAAGUGAUCAACAUGAGAGUUGUUCAUAUCAUCGAGGCGCACAAGUUUGAUAUUUGGGCCGUCUUGAUCGGAGAUCAUAUGCAAACUCAAUGGCCCGCGCAAGGAGGAAGACAGAAGUUGGGCCAGAUUCAGACUGAAUCCGAGUUGGAAUAGAACUAGGACUCUAGGACGUGAAUUGAUGUAAUUUUUCGUGUAAGGAAAGCCUAGAUGAAUCCUUUACUUGUACGGGAAGUCCAGCCGCCUCUUAUAUAUGUUGGGGAUGACGGCCGAUUGAACAACACACAAUCGAACAAAUCAAUAUACUACUUUUUCAUCUACGUUUUAUCUCUCCACCGUUUUUCUCUCUCGUUCUUCGCUGUUCCUCGAAUUUGAGAGCUGCGAAUCCUGAGGCUCUAGGGGCGAGCGAAUCGACCUAGGGCAGCCCAUAGCCGCCGCACUCCCUGACGGGGUCCCUCCCGGGGGUGUGGGGUUUCGGGUCUGCAAAAGCGCCCACCGACUGUCCUGCGUAUCGCGCUGUCGGUUGGGUCUCCUUCGACGUGAGCUGCGGUGCAUCACCCCCGGCGUCGAGGGUACACGUGACGUGUUCAUGUGUCAACACCCUUGUGCUCAUCACUAUAGCCAAGGAAAACACACUCAACCGACUGAGCAGUCAGUUUGGUGCGUUCUCGCGGGGCAAGAAGGACAUAGCACACACAUCCAAACAUACGAAGGGCGGAGUAGUCAGGAGAACGACCAGUGAGACACUCCAUAGGAAUACCACCCUGCAGGGUAGUCGAUGGCUGAAUGUUGAUGAGGUAGGUUGAUGCAGAAACAGCCUCAGCUCAAAAGGGAAGCGGCAAUCAUCAGCGCAUGAGCCGUCUCAAGCAAAUGACGAUGCUUAUGUUCCGCAACGCCAUUCUAAGCAUGAGCACCAGGAUAAGAGAACUGGGCAAGAGUACCCUGUUCUGCGAGAAAACCACGCAAUAGCUGGGAGAUAUACUCUCCAGCGGAGUCAGUACGAAAAGUAUGAAUAGGUGUGGAAAACUGGGUGUGAACCAUGGCAGCAAAUCGUUUGUAUGUAGAGAGAACCUCGCUACGAGAUUUCAUGAAGUAGAGCCAAGUGUAGCGAGAGAAAUCAUCAAUAAACAAAACAUAGUAGCGAUGACCACCUUUCGAAUCAAAGGGAGCAGGACCCAGACAUCCGAAUGAACUAAGUCAAAGGGAUGCUGGGAUACCGACUCAUUGAUAGAAUAAGGUAACUGGGUUUGUUUGCCAAGUCUACAACCAUUACAAUGUAAAAAAAACAUCUCCAGAUACAGACCCUAAGAGGCCCUGACGCACUAAUGAUGAUAAGCGAGAGCCACAGAUGUGACCAAGGCGAUGAUGCCACUGCUGAAAGGACGCAAACGAGGAGGCAGCAAGUGCAUGAGAACUGGCAGAAGUGGUGGCAGCAGAAGGAACACAAAGCCAGUCAACCUCCCAAAGGCCAUCUGACUCACGGCGCCGGGGGCCAGCACCAACCAAAACCUUGGUGCGACGAUCCUGAAUGGAGCAAGAGUCGGUAUCAAGAAUAACACGACAACCAGAAUCGGUAAGUUGGGCAGCGGGAAAAAGAUUCAUGGUAAGGCGAGGAACAUGAGAAACACUAGGAACCGAAAAGGACGGAGUGGAAAGAAUACCACGACUAGCAACAGGAAGAGAUGUGUCAUCGGCAGUAAGAACAUUAAUAGGAGAAUCAAGAGGGCGAAGAGAAGACAACGUUGAAGAAUCAGAGGACAUAUGAAAGUAAGCUCCAGAGUCCAGAACCCACGAAGAUGUACCUGACGGUGUAGAUGCUGGUGGUGAUGAGCUGGUGAAAGCAGUCACAGCAGCAGCAGAACCCAUCGAUGAAGAACCGGAGGAAGCCAGAAGGCGCUUGAGCCGCACAAUGUCCUGGUCAGUGAGUGACUGAGUCGGGGAAGAUCCAGGAGUCCCACUGGAAGAGGAGCGACUCUGGUCUCGCUUCUUCUCACGGCAAUCAGACUCUUGGUGACCUGGCCGCGAGCAGUAGCCACAGAAGGUGUCACGGCGCGACCGGCCCUUCUCAACAUNNNNNNNNNNNNNNNNNNNNNNNNNNNNNNNNNNNNNNNNNNNNNNNNNNNNNNNNNNNNNNNNNNNNNNNNNNNNNNNNNNNNNNNNNNNNNNNNNNNNNNNNNNNNNNNNNNNNNNNNNNNNNNNNNNNNNNNNNNNNNNNNNNNNNNNNNNNNNNNNNNNNNNNNNNNNNNNNNNNNNNNNNNNNNNNNNNNNNNNNNNNNNNNNNNNNNNNNNCAGGAGCUCGGGCAGCCAACACCGAUGGAACCACAAGCAACCCAGCAGAGCGAAGGCGGGUCUCCUCAGCACAAAGCUCGUCAAGCACCUCCGAGAUAGGCACACGACCACAAGCAAGCAAGUGAGCACGUCGAGGCUCGAACUCAGAACGAAGAUGAGAUAAGAACUCAUGGACUCUCUGAAACUCCAAAUCAGACCGCGUAGUCUGACAGCAACGGCAAGUUCCACAAACAACUGUCCGAAGAGAGUCAAGCUGGCGUCAGAUGGCAGAGCACUGUGAAUAAAACUCAUCAACAGAGGAAUCACCUUGCUGGAGUGCGUGCUCCUGACGCACCACCGAUAGGUAGAGAGCAUCACCAGAGGGCUGAUAGCGCUGACAGAGAUAAGACCACAUUGCUGCAACUGUGCCGAGUCCCAUGAACUCCGAAGCAGACUGAGGGAGAACACUCGUAGUGAGAACAGCAGCAGCUUGAGCAUCAUCAUUGCACCACUGAGUGUAAGCAGACAGAUCAUCCCGAUAGACGAAAAGAGCAUCAGAAUAGGCGGAGACCUGCUGAUCAUAAGCAUCAACCGCAGCAUCAUCAAGAGCCUUGGCUGCAUCCUGAUUAGCGUGAGAAGCAUCAGCAGCAAGCACCGGCGGUACCGGCGGGGUAGGAGCCACCGGAGCAAAAGGGCAGGGCGGACAGGGAACCUCGCCAGAGAGAACGCCCCACAGCAGAAGGCCACGCAUAUGGAUACGCAUGAAACCCGCAAACUCAGCAUAGUUGGUGCCAUCAAAGAUCACUGAGCACUGAGGGACAGCGACAUAGCCCGAAGAAGACAUGAGGAAGUCUCCCUUCUGCUUCUCUGCUUCUCCUUUUUUUUAGUCAAGGACGAGAAAGACUCGAUCUGGAUCGGAUCGAGCAAGAUUGAGGCAAAGGAGUGCUCGCUCGCGCCUGCGGCCGGGCCAACCGAGCGCCGCUCGUUCGGGAAGCAGGGACGAGCCCCGCUCGCGCCUGCUGCAAAGCCCCAGCAGCAAGUCGACCGGAAGGGAGCCAGGAGGUCGGCGGAGCUGGACCGGAAGGGGGCAGCGACGACCAGGCCGGGACGACGGCGGACGGACGAGAAAGAGGCGGCGACGGCGCGACCACCGGGCCGGGACGACGGCGGCCGAGCAGGUCGGAGGCAGCGGCGACCCGACGGGGCAGCGGGCGAACAGCUGCUAUGGCAGCAGGAGCGGGUAGGAGGCCCGAACGAGCCGAAGACAGCUCUUGCCGGACGGAGAAGGCAACAGCGCAACGAUUCUGGGCCGGGGACUGAAGGGGAGACGACCGGAGACGGUCCACGGCAGGCCAAGACGGGCAGGCUAGGCACAAUGCGCACGGAGUUGCAGCGUGCGAGAAGAAGAGGCUAACCUGGCAUCUGAUACCGUGUUGGAGAAUCAGCAACUAAUAUUCACUGAGGGCCAAAGACCAUUACAUAUGGUAAAGUGCAAGAAACUCCUCAUACAAUGGGGAUAUACCGAAAAGGGACUAUAUACAUCUAACAAUAUUUUGGCGUUCAUGUAUGGGGUACCUCAUUUGGAGCUUUGCAAGGUUUGCACUGGAAAGCAUACAGACAUAGGCUCUGUUUGGAUGUAGAUACUCAAGCCACGGAAUUGAAAGGGGGUGUUUAUCGGAAUUUGCUUAUCAGUACUACUAUAUGUCAGAGUCGAAAAUUUCUAGUACACUGAUUCUGGACGAUCGCACUUUCUCUUUUGUCUGACCGAAUUUAAAAUGUUGUACCAACAUUGGCCAUACCCGUAUUCUGCAUGAAUUUCCUCUGGACAAUUUGCUUUCCUAGUUGCUUUACUUUCUAAACAUGCUACCAGGAUCUCGGAAUCACGACCGUUAAGAGCUCCCUCAUAACUGCAGGUCGCGGUACAUGGCCUCUGUUUGAUGAAAUCAGAAUAGUCGAGAACAAAGUGGCUAACUGGUGCGUAACUGUGGGAAUCUGACAAACAGUUCAGCCAAAUUCUGAAGAAUAUAGAAGUGAUUCGAUAGAACACACAGAACAUGUUGCUAUUACAAUACGGCAACAAAUAAUAAAGCUCUGGCUUCAUACGUUAGUCAGCAUUGUAUUUAUUUCAACAAAGAGAGAAAAACAAAGCACUUACCUAAGCUUGCAGUAGUUCUAGUUCUCAAAACACCAUUAUGGAUGGAGAAUAUAUGCAUAAAAGUCCACGAGAACAACAUAGGGCAACUCGAGCAGAGCUCGUACUAACUUCCUACACGGCGCUCUUCUACCAGUGUUCUCUACUGGUAGUUCCUCCCUGGCCCGUCCCUUCCCUCAUAUGGAGGGGCCGCGUUGUUGUAGUUACCACCACCUUGGUAGCCUGGGUUACCACCUGGUUGGCCCUGGUAGUCUGGUGCACCACCACCAUAGCUAGGACCACCGCCUUGGUAGGGAGGAGGCUGGUUGCCACCUGCGAAAGGCGGCGGCGGGUUGCCUCCUGGCGCUCCACCCUGGUAUCCAGGGUUGUUGCUAUGGUAGGCUGGGCCUGGUCCAUUGUGCAUGUUGCCACCAGGAUUACCCUGGUAACCUUGGUUGCCAGCUGGGUAGCCAGGGGCUGAGGCACCUCGGUAUCCAGGGGGUGGUGGUGCAUUUGGAUAGUUUGGUCCACCUCCUGCAGCAUAGCCUGCCUGUGGGUUUGGUGCAUGGGGCUGGUAAUUUGGUGGAGCACCUGAAAGCGGCGGCGGGCCCUGUGCACCGCGACUUGGAGGAGCAGCAUCAUGGGGUGGCAUUUGGUUUGGAGGACCACUCUGGUAGGCCUGUGUGUUCUCCCUUCUCCUUUCAAAGUUCCUCGACCUGUCAAAGUUGCGAGGCCUGUCAUUGCGCCGGGAUCUAUCAUUGGCACGGGCAUUGUUUCUCACCCACUCCUCAUGGUAUUUGGGGUCGUAAGGAACAGCUUGUCCAUCUAUAAAUGGUUCUCCUGAAAUACAAGAACAGGCAUCAAAUACACUCUCUUUACAUAUGGACACAGAUGAAAACUGGAAAAAGUGCACAAGCUCAAAUAAUCCAGGGAAGAAACGGCAGGUUAAAAUGUUAAAAGCUGCCACCUCAAGGGGAUCAAAUUGCCAGGACAGAAUGACAAACACUUGAUACUAUAAAUCGUCUUGCACAAAGCACUCGACAGGCUAGAUAGUCAUACAGAUUUGCAUUUUUAUCUUAGGAUAUAGCCCUUAUCUUAUACUGUACUAGGAUAUAUAGUUCUAGCAGGACGAUGUAUACUUUAAACAAAAGCUGGAAACUACAGAAGCACUACCAUAUAGCUCUCAUAUCAAUUUUGAGUUGUACUCUGUUAUAUUCAGGUUUCAUCAGAAGACAGAAGUUUGUAGUUUGUAGCGUUACCAAAAAGUUACAGGGGCCAACAUAAGCUCAUACUUCAAUUAAAAAUUAACGAAGUUGUCAACAAACACCAUUUCUUUCAGUUGAAAAGAUAUUUUACAUACUGGUUACAUCCUUUACUAUAUACUGUAGGAAUGAAGAUACAGAGAGCAGUCAAGAUUUAACUCAGAUACUAGAAAACUCCACGAUAACAACAAUGAGACAUUCAUCACUAAACAGAUAAAUGCUUAACUACAAAUCAACGGGGUACAGAAGCAAAUCAGCAGAACAAAUAAGAUAACAAUGAUGAUCAUUGUUUAAUAAAUGGAAAAAUAUUCUGACAGGAUAACAAUAUUAACCUUUUGAGUAAAAAUACAAUUCCUAAAAUGCAUGUGCUACAGGAAAUUACAACAUCUAGGAAAAGUAUUAUAUAGGGAUUCUGAAAAUUCCUAGAUCUGGAAUUAAGAUAAUCAUAACACACAACAUCAUAGUAGCAGCACAGAGUGGUAAAUCUAUUACCUAGUCAGGGAAAGAGCAACAGGCAUUUAAAAUUAUUAUACUGUAGUCAAUAUUCAGUCAGAUAGUACAUAAUCAUUACCUCCAUAGUCCUUAUUUCUGACAUCCAGGUAUGAAUCAGGAAGAACCCAACGGACUUUAGGCAACUCUGAAAACAAUAAUUUAGGGGCAUUUAACACAAGAUCAUUUUAAGUCACCUUCAUAAAAAGAUCACAUACAAGACUUUUCAUGUAAUGAUCAAUACCUUUGAGUUUGUAGGAGAGUUCCUCAGAUACUAGGGCACCAAAAGCAAAAUAAUGCCUAGUUGACACAGAGUAGAUCUUCAUCCUUGCUUCGUCUUCACUGGAACAUAGGAAAGAUCCAAGAUACAGAUAUGUUAUGAAUAGCACAUAGAUGACUGAAAACACGUUUCAUGUUAAGACUGGAGACAAUUAAAACAUAAAGAAGAAUUAUGUUCUAUUCUCAUCAAACCAAUAAGUUGUUAUGGUCCAGAGGCAAACAAAAAUACUAAGAAAUGGUUAAACUGCAACAGAUGUCCAUGAACAAAGUUAAUGAACUCACAGUUGUCUAGGUACCAAAACAGAUAGUAAGCAUGAUCCCCAAGUAAGAAUCACAAAUGAUAAAUGUGAAAGGAGCAUUAAAAUGAUAAAAUUGCACAAAAAUGAGAUAGGAACAAUGGACACAUUAUCACACUUCUCCAAUUCCGACUCAUAACCCAUGGAAUCGAUAAAAAUACCUCCAUCAGUAAAUCUACAAAAUAACCAAACUUCAACGACCCCUCUCUAACUGAGUCUCUACACCCACUAAUUUCCAAACACCCUGAAACAUGUCGGUGCAUCAGAACAAUACCCCACCCAGAUAGACCAUACAAAUGAAUCCCCACUCUGUCAUAACCAUACUACCAUAGUCAAUAUUGCAUAUAAAAGACUAAGAACAACGAGCAUGAUCUCUAAAACAGUGAUCAGAGCAUCAAACAGUCGUCUCUAUUCAACUAACAUAGCAAUUUCAUACAUCCAUGAGGUCAUUAUUGCUGCAUAAUAAAUUAAAAAAGCCCUGGUCAGGAACUGGUAAAAUCUAUGUACACACAAAUUGGAGGCUAGUAUCACAACAGACGCUAGCACGCCAUCAACUACACCACCUUAACAACGAUCGCCAUUCCCCACCCCGAAUCCCCUCCACAGAAUCCAGAUCCAAACAUACGCACCAUAAAACUACCCUGAUGUGAGGAGCGCGUCAGUGCGGGAGGGGGAUGUGGCACGGGGAGCCAUACCUUCCGACGACCUGGGCGAGGGUCUUGAUGUACCCGUCGAUGAUCUCAUCGCGGGUGACAUCGGGGUUGGCGCCGUCUCCUGGGGGCGGCUCCAUGACGACAAGCCAGUGCUCGAAGUCGCACCCGUCGAGGAGGAUCGUCUCCUUGGGCGGGCGGUUGCUCCAGUUCGGGGACGAGUCCCGCAGCGACGAGUUCGCCGGCUGCGUCGCGAAUCGCCUCGCCGCCGCCCAGGGCGCCGCGGCGGGGGACGGGACCAGCGCCGCCGGGAGGAGGCUCCCCGCGGCCGCGACCGGGCGGAGGAAGCGGGAGGCGGCGGCGUGGAGGGGCGAGGCCCUGGAGAGGAGGAGCGCGCGCGACGCCGACGCCAUGGUGGAAAACCCUAGCGGGGAUGGGGGAUGGGGGAAUGGGACGGGGAGUUACCACGGGGGUUUAAGGCUUCAGCGAGAGUGCGAUUUAUAGAGGGGCCCGUGUUCUGUUGCGGCCGAGAAAUAUCUUCAUUCCCUGGGCUUGGGCUGUGAAGAGUGUGAUCUGUUGUAUUAGGAAUAUGGGCCUCCAUGUGUGAUGGGCCGCAAAAAAAGCUCGAUGCGAUUCGAUUUCGGCCUAGGAUCUAAGCCUUUUUUCACGUGUUUACGUGCCAAUCAAAAAAUAACACAGCUGUCUCAAAAAGAAAAAGGAAAAACAGCUCUGGCACCAUAGUCAGCAGUCAGCACUGUGUUUAUUUCGAUAUAAAGUGAACAAACAAUGAGGACAUACGAAAACAUAGUCAGCAUUGUGUUUAUUUCGACAGUGGGAAUACAAUGAGCACUUAGCUAAGCUUCUAGUAAUUCUAGUUCUCAAAACACCACUAGGGAGAGAGAAUAGUAUACAUGCAUAAAAGUCCAUGAGAGCAACAAACGAGAGUACAAGACACGAGCAGAGCAUGUACGAACUUCCUACGCGGUGCUCUUCUAGCAGUGUUUCUCUAUUGGUAAUGCCUCCCUGGCCCGUCCCUGCCCUCAUAGGGCGGUGGUGCGGCAUUGUUGUAGUUGCCACUGCCCUCCUGGUAGCUUAUGUUUUGGUAUCCUUGUGCACCACCACCAUAGCUAUGACCAACGCCUUGGUAGGGAGGAUUGCUGCCAUCUGCAGAAGGGGGCGGCGGAUUGCCACCUGGCCCUCCACCAUGGUAUCCAGGGUUGUUGCUCGGAUAGGCAAGGCUUGGACCACCGUGCAUGUUGCCACCAUGGUUACCAUCUUGGUUACCCAGGAGUUGGGGCACCUUGGUAUCCAGGGUGUGAUGUGUUCUGAUAGUUUGGUCCCCCUGCUGGAACAUAGCCUGAUUGUCGGUUUGCUGCAUGGGGCUGGUAAUUUGGUGGUGGCGGCCCCUCUGUAGGGCGCACUGGAGAAUCAUCGCGGGGUGGCAUUUGGUUCUGGUCGGGAGACUGCUAACUUGGUGGAGCAGGCCUGCUUUGAUAUGUGUUCUCCCUUCUCUUGUCAAAGUUGCGAGUUCUGUCGCCGCGGUUGUGCUGGGGUUCAUUAGCACGACGAUUGUUAAUCACCCAUUCCUCAUGGUAUUUGGGAUCGUAAGGAACAGCUUGCCCAUCAAUAAAUGGUUCCCCUGAAAUGCAAGAAAAGGCAUCAGAUACACCCAGAUAUCUUUACCACGUGAAGAAGAUGAAAAAUGAAUAUGUUGCACAAUCUCAAAUCAUCCAGGGAAACGCAACAGGUUAAGAUGUUAAAGCUGCCACCUCAAGGAGCUUAGAAGGCCAAGACAGAACGACAAACACUUGAUAUGUUAAUAAGAGAGACAGCUUGCAGCCAAAAACGCAUACCACUAGGAGGACUAUAUAUAUAAUUAUAUUUUAAACAAACACUAGCAACUAGAGAAGCGGUUCGGUGCCGUAUACUUAGCUUGAAAAACGUUCUUGUAUUAUGGAACGGAGGGAGUAGCUCCCAAUUAAUUUUAAAUGAACUGUGUAAUAUUCAGGUUUCAUCAAAAACAAAAGUUUGUGGUUGGUAACAGUGGCCAACGUAACCUCCUAGUUACGUACCAGUUAAUCAAGUUGUCACCAAUGCAUAUGUAUUGGUGACAUCCUUUACUACAUACUGUAGAAAUGAAGAUACAGAGAGCAGUGAAGAGUAUACUCAAAUACUAGAAAAUUCCACAUGAUACCGAUGAUGAGAUGUUCACCACUAUAGUUUACUGCUAAACUAUAAUGCAAAGGGCUACAGGAAUUGCAGCACAAAUUGGAUUCCAACAGUGAUCAUUAAUCAAUAAAUGGAAAAAUAAUCUGAAGGUAAAGCAUGUCCUAAGACUUUGAGUAAAAAUACAAUUCCUAAAAGCAUGUGCUAGACGAAAUUACAACCUCAAACAGAAGUAUUAUAUAGGGAUUCUCAAAAUUCCUAGGUCUGGAACAUGCAAUUAAGAUAGAUGCUCAUAACACAACAUAAUAAAUAGCAGCAGAGUGGUAAAUCUAUUAACUAAUCAGGGGGUAAGCAGCAACCAUUUCAAAUUAUUAUAGUGGACAAGUAAGGUAGGAAGCACAUAAUCAUUUACCUCCGUAGUCCUUGUUUCUGACAUCCAGAUAUGAAUCAGGAAGGACCCAGCGGACCUUAGGCAACUCUGGAGAUAAAAAUUUAGAGGCAUGAGGUUACACGAAGACCAUGUGAAGUCACCUUCAAAAAAAGUUGCCAUACAAAAAAUUUCAUGUAAUGAUCAAUACCUUUGAGUUUAUAGGAGAGUUCGUCAGAUAUUAGGGCUCCAAAGCAAAAUAAUGCCGAGUUGACACAGAGUAGAUCUUCAUCCUUGCUUCUUCUUCACUGGAACAUAUAGGAAAGAUUAUUCAAGAUACAGAUAUGUUAUGAAGCACAAAGAUGAUUUAAAACACAUUUCAUGUUAGGACUGGAGAGAACCAAGACAUCAGGGAGAACUCUGUUCUGUUCUCGAAGCAAUGAGUUGUUAUGGUUCAGAGAGGCAAACAAAAUUACUAAGAAAUGGUGAAAGGAAGUUAGUGCACUGAUAGUCGUCUAUGUACAUACAAAUAACUGAUACCAAGCAUGCUCCUCAAGCCAGAAUCACCAUCAGCACAAAUGAUUGAGUGUGAUUCUUGAAUGAAUAUGCAUAGAAAUCAUCAUGUAAUUAAAUGAUUAAGUGACACAAAAACAGCUAGGUAAGGUAAACUUAUCGCACUUCAACAACUCCGAGCCAUUACACAUCAAAUCGAUAAAUCACCUCCAUAAGUAAUAAAUCUACAAAAUAACCAAACUUCAUCUACCAAUCUUCAACCCAGUUCCUUGCCCGCUAAAACACUUACAAAUAUAGCUGUGCCUCAAAAUGAGACCUUGAAACACAGACCGGCAAUAUGAACUUGCCAUUCUGUCAUAAGAUUCCCAUAGUCAAUAACAUCAAAAUGAGACCUCGCAAUACAGACCGACGAUAUGAACUUCCCAUUCUGUCAUAAGAUUCCCAUAGUCAAUAACAUCAAAAUGAGACCUCACUACAGACCAACUAAAUCAAUUCCCCAUUCUGUCAUAAACAGACUGCCAUGGUCAGUAAUGAACAUGAUAGACUGGAACUACUAGCACAAUCUCUAAUAUGGUGAUCAGAGAAACCCUGCUAACAGAAACCGGUACUCCUCUUUUCACUUCUCUGUACACACAGUGGAGGCUAGUAUCACUUCUCUGUACAACAUACCCCGCACCAACUUACUAAUCCCUCGACAUUCCCCACCCCGAAUUCCCCAGACAAAUUGGAAGUUUGGAACAUACGCUCCAGAGUCCAGAACCUCGAGGAUGUGAGGCGUGCGUCAGUGCGGGAGGGAAAUGUGGUACUGGGAUCCAUACCUUCCGAUGACCUGAGCGAGGGUCUUGAUGUAGCUGUCGAUGAUCUCGUCGCCGGGGAUGUCGUUGGCGCCGUCGCCUGGGGGCGGCUCCAUGAGGACGAGCCAGUGCUCGAAGUCGCACCCGUCGAGGAGGAUCGUCUCCUUAGGCGGGCGGUUGCUCCAGUUCGCCCGCAGUGACGAGUGAGCGGGCUGCGUCGCGAAUCGCCUGGCCGCCGCGGCCGAAAACGGGACCGGCGCCGCCGGGAGGAGGCUCCCCGCGGCGGCGAGCGGGGAGGCGGGAAAUGGGGUGGAGUUAGAGACGAUGGGGUUUAAGGCUUUAGCUGAGAGUGCGCGAAGCUAACCAACGUACAGCCCUAGUCGAGUAAAUAGCAUAAAACUACUAUUUUACACGUUAGGGUUCCAAAAAACUACCGGUUUUUAAUUUUUCUUAGAUAACUAUCAAAUAAGUGGUCCGCUGUUUCAAAAAACCUAAAUCACCGAGUCUUUAUAAGUUGAUCGUGAUUAUGACAGUUCGGGCCCACAUGUAAGAUAACCGUUUGUUUGACCGUUUACUUUGACCGUUAACUUACAUCUGGGUCCCACAUGUAAGUUUUUAAAAAAGCAUCCGGGUCCCUGUAAGUUUUCUGAAAAAAGCAAUCAGGUCCCUGUGACUUUUCUGAAAAAGCAAUCGGGUCCCCAUGCAGCCACGAGCUCGAUCCCGCUUGGCAGGGCAGCGAUGCUUCCUCCGGCCGGCGAGCCGCGCCUACAGCGGCGGAAUCCAUGUCGUGCACCACCUGAGGCCGGUCAGCCGCGCCCGCAGCGGCUGGAUCCACGCUGGUCAUCGCCUGAGGCUGGUGAGCCUCACCCGCAGCGGCCGCCAUGCCGUGCCUCUCCUGCGACCGCCGCCAUGCCAUGACUCCCCUGUCGCCUUGCCGUGCCUCGCCUGCGGCCACGCCAUGACUUGCGAGUCACCUGCCGCCACGCCGCGCCUUGCCUGCGUCGGCCCCCAUCCCCUGCCGCGAGCUCCUCAAGCUCGACGCGACGGCCUGCGCCGCUGUGGAGUACGCACCUCCCGUCGCCGCGGACGAGGUCGGCCUCGUCGCCACCGUCGCCACCAGGAGCUCCGGCGAGCACCUGCCACGACUGUUGGGACGCUGGUGUGACGCCCGGAUAAUUAAGCUACAGUAAUCCCUCGUUAACGAUGCCACGUCACCCCGUUACUAUUGAUAAACUCUUGAUGGUUCAGAACCGAAACAAAUUCAAAAUUUAAAUAAAAGCAAACAACAAAAAUUUUCAGAUGUUAAAACUAAAAUGUUCGGAUCGUGACAAAUAUUGCGUAGGUAGUUAUGGUGAAGAAACAACAUUUUUAUAAAAAGUUUAAAUGCACUUAAAUGAUUAAAACAGUAGUUAAAACUAUUAAAUAAAUGCCUUUGAUAUUUUAUAAAAUCAUAAACUAUUUUAUCUUGAGGUAAAACUUUUUAGGGUAGUGGGUUGUUUUGGCACAUUAAUUUGGAGCUAUUGUCAUAUUUUACUGAACUAAGAAUAAAGUGUAACUAAAAUAAAACAGAAAAGGAAAAAGAACUAAAACUAAAACAAACAAAAAAGGAAAAGAAAAACAACUGCCCCCCUGACUGGGCCUUGGCCCAGUUGGCCGUGUGGCCGAGCGGCCUGCCGGCCCACCCUCACCCCCGCAACCCUAUCCACCCCGUCGCCCCCANNNNNNNNNNNNNNNNNNNNNNNNNNNNNNNNNNNNNNNNNNNNNNNNNNNNNNNNNNNNNNNNNNNNNNNNNNNNNNNNNNNNNNNNNNNNNNNNNNNNNNNNNNNNNNNNNNNNNNNNNNNNNNNNNNNNNNNNNNNNNNNNNNNNNNNNNNNNNNNNNNNNNNNNNNNNNNNNNNNNNNNNNNNNNNNNNNNNNNNNNNNNNNNNNNNNNNNNNNNNNNNNNNNNNNNNNNNNNNNNNNNNNNNNNNNNNNNNNNNNNNNNNNNNNNNNNNNNNNNNNNNNNNNNNNNNNNNNNNNNNNNNNNNNNNNNNNNNNNNNNNNNNNNNNNNNNNNNNNNNNNNNNNNNNNNNNNNNNNNNNNNNNNNNNNNNNNNNNNNNNNNNNNNNNNNNNNNNNNNNNNNNNNNNNNNNNNNNNNNNNNNNNNNNNNNNNNNNNNNNNNNNNNNNNNNNNNNNNNNNNNNNNNNNNNNNNNNNNGCCUCCCCGUCCUCCUCCCCGCACACGUUGCCUGUACCCUACAUUCGUCGUGAGCCGCCACCUCCCUCCUCCUCCCUCUCCUCCUCUGUACGUGUGCGCGUCCGCCGUCAUCGCGCUCCCCGCGCGGGCUCCCGCUGCCCCAUCCGCCGACCACCUCUUCCCCUGCCCGUCACCCACCUCCGGCCAACCCGCCGCCCGCGCCUUGCCUCCCUCCCGUGUGCCUGCUGCUGCUACUGCCUCGCGCCAGGCCCAGUCCCCCUUCCACUGCCGACGACGUCUGCGUGCGCGCCUCGCCGCGCCCGCCGGAGACCGCCCUUGCCUGCACGCCUCCUCGCCCACGCUCACCCCCUACGCAUGUGGCCGCGCCCCCAGUCGCCCGCCUCAGCCGGCGGCGCCCACCUCCGCCCGGGCCUGCUCGCGCCCCCUGUGCCGAGCCUUCCCACGGCCAACACCAUGGCCGCCGGCGUCGUACUCUACGAGUACGUACGUACGGGCACAGCCACACCAGAGGCCGAUUUGGGCCACUGGCACAUGGGCCUGACCCCCCUGUUAAUUAGGGAGGCCCUAAUUAGUUUAGCCCCAAACCCCCUAAUUAAGCUAAGUAAACUUAGUCAAAAACCUGUUAAUUAAAAUGAGUCAAUGACAAUUGGGACCCACAUACGCUGUUCACAUUGGACUAGUCAAAAUAUUGACUGGGUCAACCCAGCCCCUGGCCCCACAUGUCAUACAGAUGCACACAUUGCUGGGCACACUCCUGUGUACCCAUAGCAAUUUGUCUUUUUAUUAUUUCGAAUUAAAUUAAAUGCAGAAAUCCCAGGAUUUGUUUAAAUCUUUGAAAAAUCUUAGAAAAUAAACCGUAACUCGGAUGAAAAAGUUUUAUACAUGAAAGUUGCUCAGAACGACGAGACGAAUCCGGAUACGCAGCCCGUUCGUCCACCACACAUCCCUAACCUAUUGAACCUGCAACAUUUCACCUCCGGUUCGUCUGUCCGAAAACGUGAAACACCGGGGAUAUUUUCCCGGAUGUUUCCCCCCUUCACCGGUAUCACCUCAUACCGCGUUAGAACACGUCUAGCUCUGCCUGUUGUCCUGUUAUGCACUUGCUUGCUAUGUAUUUACUGUUUCUCCCCCCUCUUCUCUUCGGUAGACCCCGUGACGAUGCUGAUGCCCCUGUGGUCGACUACGUCACCGAUGACCCCUCCUUCUUGUCUGAGCAACCAGGCAAGCCCCCCCCCCUUGAUCACCAGAUAUCACCUAUUCUUCUCUAUACUGCUUGCAUUAGAGUAGUGUAGCAUGUUACUGCUUUCCGUUAAUCCUAUACUGAUGCAUAGCCUGCCCUUGCUUCUACUGUUGAUACCUUUACCUGCAAUCCUACUAUUUAGUAUAGGAUGCUAGUGUUCCAUCAGUGGCCCUACACUCUUGUCCGUCUGCCAUGCUAUACUACUGGGCCGUGAUCACUUCGGGAGGUGAUCACGGGUAUAUACUAUAUACUUUAUAUACAUGACACAUGUGGUGACUAAAGUCGGGUCGGCUCAAGGAGUACCCGCAAGUGAUUCUGAUGAGGGGGCUGAAAGGACAGGUGGCUCCACCCCGGUAGAGGUGGGCCUGGGUUCCUAACGGCCCCCGACUGUUGCUUUGUGGCGGAGCGACAGGGCAGGUUGAGACCACCCGGGAGAGGGGUGGGCCUGGCCCUGGUCGGCGUUCGCGGAUACUUAACACGCUUAACGAGAUCUUGGUAUUUGAUCUGAGUCUGGCCAUUUGGUCUAUACGCACUAACCAUCUACGCGGGAGUAGUUAUGGGUAUCCCGGCGUCGUGGUAUCAGCCGAAGCCUUCUUGACGUCAGCGACUGAGUGGCGCGCGCCGGAUUGGACUGGAACGCCACUAGGCUAGGUCUGCUUCCGGCCGCGUACGCAACGUGCAGGAGUGCAUAGGGCGAUGGGCCCAGACCCCUGCACGCAUAGGGUUAGACCGGCGUGCUGACCGCUCUGUUGUGCUUAGGUGGGGCUGCGGCGCGUUGAUCUUACGAGGCCGGGCAUGACCCAGAAAAGUGUGUCCGGCCAAAUGGGAUCGAGCGUGUUGGGUUAUGUGGUGCACCCCUGCAGGGAAGUUUAUCUAUUCGAAUAGCCGUGUCCCUCGGUAAAAGGACGACCCGGAGUUGUACCUUGACCUUAUGACAACUAGAACUGGAUACUGAAUAAAAUACACCCUUCCAAGUGCCAGAUACAACCCGGUGAUCGCUCUCUAACAGGGCGACGAGGAGGGGAUCGCCGGGUAGGAUUAUGCUAUGCGAUACUACUGGGAGGACUUCAAUCUACUCUCUUCUACAUGCUGCAAGAUGGAGAUGGCCAGAAGCGUAGUCUUCGACAGGACUAGCUAUCCCCCUUUUAUUCUGGCAUUCUGCAGUUCAGUCCACUGAUAUGCCCCUUUACACAUAUACCCAUGCAUAUGUAGUGUAGCUCCUUGCUUGCGAGUACUUUGGAUGAGUACUCACGGUUGCUUUUCCCCCUCUUUCCCCCUUUUCUUUUCUAUCUGGUUGUCACAACCAGAUGCUGGAGUCCAGGAGCCAGACGCCACCGUCGACGACGACACCUACGACACUGGAGGUGCCUACUACUACGUGCAGGCCGCUGACGACGACCAGGAGUAGUUAGGAGGAUCCCAGGCAGGAGGCCUGCGCCUCGUUCGAUCUGUAUCCCAGUUUGUGCUAGCCUUCUUAAGGCAUACUUGUUUAACUUAUGUCUGUACUCAGAUAUUGUUGCUUCCGCUGACUCGUCUGUGAUCGAGCAAUUGUAUUCGAGCCCUCGAGGCCCCUGGCUUGUAUUAUGAUGCUUGUAUGACUUAUUUAUGUUGUAGAGUUGUGUUGUGAUAUCUUCCCGUGAGUCCCUGAUCUUGGUCGUACACAUUUGCGUGCAUGAUUAGUGUACGGUCAAAUCGGGGGCGUCACAAGUUGGUAUCAGAGCCGACUGCCUGUAGGAAUCCCCCUUUCCACACUCCUUGGCCGAAGUCGAGUCUAGACAUUACAAAACUUUUACUAACAUGGCUGUGUGUCUUACGGGCCCACGUCGCCAUUGGGUGGUAUUAGUAUCUUUACUCCUUGCCUAUACUCUGGGACUCUGAUCUCUCUUCUAUUCGGGUUAAGUGAAUUUUACUAAAUCUAACAGUAGGAUCUCGUUAUCACUUUCACCCGGAGAGCCCCUUGUUACUGAUGAUCGUCGGCUGCACGUGAAGACCCCGAAGAUACUCUCUGAUGAUAACCCGAGGACUUGUGUUCAUCGCUUUUGCAAUUCCCUUUCAUCGAUGAACUCCUAUGAAUAACCACGUAUACUCGCCAUUCAUACAAUGUUUCCCAGUUGAUCUUGUUAUUACAAGAUACCCCGAAAUUCUCUUUGUUGUUCCGAGAAUCCUAUGAGCUUACUGCCUUGCUGUUCUUUGUCACCUGAAUACCCCUACGAAUAAUUCUCGCACUUACCGAGUAUCCAGUCAUCCCCAGUUGAUUCAAGUAUUCCACAAUAGUCUUCAAAAUACUAUUCGAUCUUCCGAAAAUCCUCAGGAGCCUAUUGCUCUUGAAAUUCUUGUUUGCUUGCAUUAUGGUUAAUCCCAAAAUUCUCGUAAUCUUAUUGGCAUCUCUUGUCAUUAUCAUUUUGAGUCCGUUGAUUCAAUUUGUUGCGAAUGCUCGCAAUCCUCAAUCAUAUCCUAGAAUUCAUUCUUCCGGCUCAGACGUCAUGUUAAACGUGAGCUGGAUCUCGACCUAUCAAAUUGCCAUCGAUUGUACCCCUAAGCCUACUCAACUUAUCCAUCCUUGAUCAGAGCGUUGCUUCUGACCCCAUGAUUUGGAAAUCAUAAUUCUUUUGCAUUUGAACUUUGAGUUAGUCAGUUGUUUCUAUAAUCAGAUCUCCUUGCAUUCUUCUUACUCUGGUUGAGUACCGAUGCUCACAUCAGAUCCCUAGUGGACCAUCGGUUCCUUUGUUGGAUUUUAUCCGACAGUGUCCUUCAUAUUGAACAACCUUGUGAGCCUUUCCAUGGGUUUAUAAUGCAUUUGGUAAAUUGUAUCAUCUGUUUUUGAACAAUGCUCUUCUUUCGAGCUUGUAAUAUUUACUCCGAAGUUUGUGGUAUAUGUUCCUAAGAUGCCUUGAUGGGUUGAACCUAUGCCUUCCUUAAUAUGUGUGAACUCGAAAGUUUUCACGAGUCAUACUCUCCUGGUAUUUUGCCAUAUAAAAUUUCAACACUACAACUUCAUCGAACGCGAGAAGUAAAUGAAAAGGAUAUGCAUUGGAGAAGUGGGAGUCGACCUUGAACUUUGUGUUCAUGCCCAUGGACACGAUGUAGAUCUUAUCAUUAAAAGCUUCUCUUAAAUUAAUUAUUCCCUUGGUAUAAGUUCAUCUUAUAUCUGGGAUCUGGCCUUUUGCAAUCGUGGUUCCGACCAUGUUCUCCUUUAAAUACCAUUUCUCCUGCAAGUUUAAGCACUUGUCUUCUGCAGAGCAAUACCCUAGUCCAACCUCUACUUUGAUCUGUCGUCGAGCAUUACCCCUUGGUAUCUCGAGAUUAUCACGGAACCGCAUAACUUCUUAUGAGUUCUUCAUCAAGUACUACAUUCUCACGGGUUACUAUUCUUCCUGAGUUUUGAGUGGUUAAUCACUCGAGUACCCCGAUAAUUGAAUCGAGUCCGCACUACGGUUCAACAACUUUUAGUAAUUUUCCUUACCUACGAGUUUGUACCCGAUCGCGUCAUUCCUAGCCUGUUUGGCUAUAUCAUUAUCUUGAUGAUUUUAACUGUGCUACCUGGUCCUUAUUCCCGGAGCACCACUUUCGACGAUAAUGCUAAGCUUACGUCGAUUUUCCUCGUCAUAUCGUUUCACCUCGAACAACAAACUUGACCCCGAGUUUGUGUGCUACUCGUGGUUCCAAUAACCUUUCGCUUUCAUCAUUCCUUUGACUUAAUGUCAUCGUCGAUCAAUUACAUCUUCUUGAAAACCUCUCGAAAAAUUUGUCGUGAUCAUUGUCAACAAAUUUGACUUCUUCCAAGUUGUGUGUCGAAAAUUCAGGAUGAGAAAUACCAUCCUUGCCCCUCGAUGAAUUAUGUUAUCAUCGACAACAUCCUUACCUCCCCCCCAACACGAACUUGUUCAUAUUUUGUGUUGUAUCUUGAUUUCCCCUACUAUCCAACUUAUGUUAUGUUCUACCGUGGAGUAUUACCAUCUUUGAUGUCAAGAAUGUCGUGAACAUUACUCCACCUCUUAAGAAUUCUUGGUACAGUGAUACUUCUCACCAUCACCAUUCUUUCUUGGUCCCCGUGUUGUUUCUAAACGAAAUACCGACAAAUGGUCUGUGAUGUGUAGAUUCUAAACUUCUAGCAACCCUAUUGCUUUGAAGUUAUUGGUCUAUAGUUUCAUUCUACGUCUAUGGCUUAAUGAAUCAUCAUUCGGACAUUGAUCGUGCUACCUAGCCCAUAUUUCGGGUGCACAUUUCAACCAAUGUUUAACUGUGUAUGUUUUCCUCGAGCAUACAUCAUUAAGUCAUUCGAUCUAGCUAAUGUUAUCUCCUUGUUCACAUAGUGGUGGAAAUCCAUCUUUUGGUAAUCUCAAUGGAUUGUCGCUGAGUCAAGCAGUCACCUCCUCACCUCUCCUUGAUUUAAUUAUGAACCCUUGUUCGGAACUCGCUUCCAUGGUUCAUUUCCCGAGAAUCUUACAAUGUCAUCCCAUCAAUUUGUGUUGCACCUUUCUUCUCAGGCCUCCUAUGUCUGAGUUAUCCUGACACCAAUCAGAUCUGAAUCUCGGUAAGAUAUGAUGGUUGGAACAUAUUUCCAAGAGUUAUAACAUUGGCCUAUUUAUGACCCGGUAAGGUGAUGAUACCCAGCACACCUGGCGGGAGGACCUAUUGUUAUAAGUUUUCCCUUUUAGCAAGGUUAGCUGUUCUUCCAUGAGGAAAUUGUAAGACUUAUUCUAUAAGUUGUUCCUGAUGGAUCCUUUUUGUUUCCAAAGUCUGAUCUUCACCUGUUGACCAUGUCAAUGCUAUCUCGAAGCAUGUCUAUGGUACUCCGAUUUUCAACAGGAACAUUUGAAGCCCAAUGCUAAAUGUUUCCUGCUCAAUUAUCCAAACACCGUUGUAUGGGUAAUGUCAUGAAAUUUCUCUCCCCUACCUAAAGAGUUUUCUACAUUAUAUCCUGUCAUGAAUAUCAUGCUCAGCUUGUCCUUGGGAAGGAUAUAACCUUGAAAUGUGUGUUUAAACACAUUUUCCUUUCCAUUCUUCUGUUUAAUCUGAUAAUCAUAUUUUCCUUUCCAUUGUGUGGUUUAACCUUUCUGGUGAACUAUAUGAUCUAAGCAGUAAUAUUCUCCUGCUUAUGUAAACACCUCGGUGUACAACUCUGUCAGUAAGACCUUGUUAUUAUUGUUGGUGACAUUUCGGUAACCACCGAUGGACAAGAACUUUGCCUAAUGGUCCGCGUCGCUUCAACGAGCAGGAAAAUGGUUCUCUUCGUCCCUCGCCCUUGGUACCGACGAUGUUGCUGACAUAUAACUGACAGGUUACCCUCUGCCAUGCCUUGCUAUCAUGAUCGUGCAGUUAUCACCGCCCUUCCUACUUUUAACCCACAUGGUGGGCCCAUAACCCACUGUUCCACAGGAUCGAAACCUGACUCUCCUGUGCACCCCCUGUUCCCAAAUUUAUUCAUCGCGCGUGGCCUCGUAUGUAAUUCACGGACCAUCGUCCUACUGAUCUAUACUGGCAUCAGACACAAUACUUAUUCCCGUUGCUCUGAACCCCUUUUCACUCUGUUUCAGGCAAUGAACGAUUGCCUAUCCGCUCGAAACUUCUUAUUGCACUGUCCUACUCUGCUCUCGAUGUGUUUCAUUUGUUCAACUCGAGAGAUACUCAUAUGUUCAUUCUUGGGAUAACCCCCCAGAUGAUUUUCCCUUAUAACAUCCUAUCGUUGAAGAGCUGCCCCUUACCUAUUCGUAAGUACGAUGGAGUUCCCCGAAGGAAGGACGACAACAUCAUCAUGAUGCAUAGGAAUAAAGAAUUGAAGACAUCAAUGAAAGGGAUUAACUUCUUCGAGAAGAUCCGUUAUAAUUUCGUAACCAGAACUUUCCCCCUUACCUCACCUCCUAAAUCUCGGGACGAUAUUUCUUGUAGUGGAGGAGAAUUGUGACGCCCGGAUAAUUAAGCUACAGUAAUCCCUCGUUAACGAUGCCACGUCACCCCGUUACUAUUGAUAAACUCUCGAUGGUUCAGAACCGAAACAAAUUCAAAAUUUAAAUAAAAGCAAACAACAAAAGUUUUCAGAUGUUAAAACUAAAAUGUUCGGAUCGUGACAAAUAUUGCGUAGGUAGUUAUGGUGAAGAAACAACAUUUUUAUAAAAAGUUUAAAUGCACUUAAAUGAUUAAAACAGUAGUUAAAACUAUUAAAUAAAUGCCUUUGAUAUUUUAUAAAAUCAUAAACUAUUUUAUCUUGAGGUAAAACUUUUUAGGGUAGUGGGUUGUUUUGGCACACUAAUUUGGAGCUAUUGUCAUAUUUUACUGAACUAAGAAUAAAGUGUAACUAAAAUAAAACAGAAAAGGAAAAAGAACUAAAACUAAAACAAACAAAAAAGGAAAAGAAAAACAACUGCCCCCCCGACUGGGCCUUGGCCCAGUUGGCCGUGUGGCCGAGCGGCCUGCCGGCCCACCCUCACCCCCGCAACCCUAUCCACCCCGUCGCCCCCACUACCCCACUCCCCUCUCUCCCUCGCUCCCCCCCCCGCCGCCCCCGCGAUCUGGAUCGGGGCGCCUUGCCCCUGUGCCCACCGCCGGCGCCCCGUCGCCCCUGUCCCCCGUCUCCGACCACCGCCGCCUGAGGCCCCGACGUCGGCGCCGCUCCCCCUGUCGCCCGCCUCGCAGGACGCCGUGNNNNNNNNNNNNNNNNNNNNNNNNNNNNNNNNNNNNNNNNNNNNNNNNNNNNNNNNNNNNNNNNNNNNNNNNNNNNNNNNNNNNNNNNNNNNNNNNNNNNNNNNNNNNNNNNNNNNNNNNNNNNNNNNNNNNNNNNNNNNNNNNNNNNNNNNNNNNNNNNNNNNNNNNNNNNNNNNNNNNNNNNNNNNNNNNNNNNNNNNNNNNNNNNNNNNNNNNNNNNNNNNNNNNNNNNNNNNNNNNNNNNNNNNNNNNNNNNNNNNNNNNNNNNNNNNNNNNNNNNNNNNNNNNNNNNNNNNNNNNNNNNNNNNNNNNNNNNNNNNNNNNNNNNNNNNNNNNNNNNNNNNNNNNNNNNNNNNNNNNNNNNNNNNNNNNNNNNNNNNNNNNNNNNNNNNNNNNNNNNNNNNNNNNNNNNNNNNNNNNNNNNNNNNNNNNNNNNNNNNNNNNNNNNNNNNNNNNNNNNNNNNNNNNNNNNNNNNNNNNNNNNNNNNNNNNNNNNNNNNNNNNNNNNNNNNNNNNNNNNNNNNNNNNNNNNNNNNNNNNNNNNNNNNNNNNNNNNNNNNNNNNNNNNNNNNNNNNNNNNNNNNNNNNNNNNNNNNNNNNNNNNNNNNNNNNNNNNNNNNNNNNNNNNNNNNNNNNNNNNNNNNNNNNNNNNNNNNNNNNNNNNNNNNNNNNNNNNNNNNNNNNNNNNNNNNNNNNNNNNNNNNNNNNNNNNNNNNNNNNNNNNNNNNNNNNNNNNNNNNNNNNNNNNNNNNNNNNNNNNNNNNNNNNNNNNNNNNNNNNNGCCAACACCAUGGCCGCCGGCGUCGUACUCUACGAGUACGUACGUACGGGCACAGCCACACCAGAGGCCGAUUUGGGCCACUGGCACAUGGGCCCGACCCCCCUGUUAAUUAGGGAGGCCCUAAUUAGUUUAGCCCCAAACCCCCUAAUUAAGCUAAGUAAACUUAGUCAAAAACCUGUUAAUUAAAAUGAGUCAAUGACAAUUGGGACCCACAUACGCUGUUCACAUUGGACUAGUCAAAAUAUUGACUGGGUCAACCCAGCCCCUGGCCCCACAUGUCAUACAGAUGCACACAUUGCUGGGCACACUCCUGUGUACCCAUAGCAAUUUGUCUUUUUAUUAUUUCGAAUUAAAUUAAAUGCAGAAAUCCCAGGAUUUGUUUAAAUCUUUGAAAAAUCUUAGAAAAUAAACCGUAACUCGGAUGAAAAAGUUUUAUACAUGAAAGUUGCUCAGAACGACGAGACGAAUCCGGAUACGCAGCCCGUUCGUCCACCACACAUCCCUAACCUAUUGAACCUGCAACAUUUCACCUCCGGUUCGUCUGUCCGAAAAUGUGAAACACCGGGGAUAUUUUCCCGGAUGUUUCCCCCCUUCACCGGUAUCACCUCAUACCGCGUUAGAACACGUCUAGCUCUGCCUGUUGUCCUGUUAUGCACUUGCUUGCUAUGUAUUUACUGUUUCUCCCUCCUCUUCUCUUCGGUAGACCCCGUGACGAUGCUGAUGCCCCUGUGGUCGACUACGUCACCGAUGACCCCUCCUUCUUGUCUGAGCAACCAGGCAAGCCCCCCCCCCCUUGAUCACCAGAUAUCGCCUAUUCUUCUCUAUACUGCUUGCAUUAGAGUAGUGUAGCAUGUUACUGCUUUCCGUUAAUCCUAUACUGAUGCAUAGCCUGCACUUGCUUCUACUGUUGAUACCUUUACCUGCAAUCCUACUGUUUAGUAUAGGAUGCUAGUGUUCCAUCAGUGGCCCUACACUCUUGUCCGUCUGCCAUGCUAUACUACUGGGCCGUGAUCACUUCGGGAGGUGAUCACGGGUAUAUACUAUAUACUUUAUAUACAUGACACAUGUGGUGACUAAAGUCGGGUCGGCUCAAGGAGUACCCGCAAGUGAUUCUGAUGAGGGGGCUGAAAGGACAGGUGGCUCCACCCCGGUAGAGGUGGGCCUGGGUUCCUGACGGCCCCCGACUGUUGCUUUGUGGCGGAGCGACAGGGCAGGUUGAGACCACCCGGGAGAGGGGUGGGCCUGGCCCUGGUCGGCGUUCGCGGAUACUUAACACGCUUAACGAGAUCUUGGUAUUUGAUCUGAGUCUGGCCAUUUGGUCUAUACGCACUAACCAUCUACGCGGGAGUAGUUAUGGGUAUCCCGGCGUCGUGGUAUCAGCCGAAGCCUUCUUGACGUCAGCGACUGAGUGGCGCGCGCCGGAUUGGACUGGAACGCCACUAGGCUAGGUCCGCUUCCGGCCGCGUACGCAACGUGCAGGAGUGCAUAGGGCGAUGGGCCCAGACCCCUGCGCGCAUAGGGUUAGACCGGCGUGUUGACCGCUCUGUUGUGCUUAGGUGGGGCUGCGACGCGUUGAUCUUACGAGGCCGGGCAUGACCCAGAAAAGUGUGUCCGGCCAAAUGGGAUCGAGCGUGUUGGGUUAUGUGGUGCACCCCUGCAGGGAAGUUUAUCUAUUCGAAUAGCCGUGUCCCUCGGUAAAAGGACGACCCGGAGUUGUACCUUGACCUUAUGACAACUAGAACUGGAUACUGAAUAAAAUACACCCUUCCAAGUGCCAGAUACAACCCGGUGAUCGCUCUCUAACAGGGCGACGAGGAGGGGAUCGCCGGGUAGGAUUAUGCUAUGCGAUACUACUGGGAGGACUUCAAUCUACUCUCUUCUACAUGCUGCAAGAUGGAGAUGGCCAGAAGCGUAGUCUUCGACAGGACUAGCUAUCCCCCUUUUAUUCUGGCAUUCUGCAGUUCAGUCCACUGAUAUGCCCCUUUACACAUAUACCCAUGCAUAUGUAGUGUAGCUCCUUGCUUGCGAGUACUUUGGAUGAGUACUCACGGUUGCUUUUCUCCCUCUUUCCCCCUUUUCUUUUCUAUCUGGUUGUCACAACCAGAUCCUGGAGUCCAGGAGCCAGACGCCACCGUCGACGACGACACCUACGACACUGGAGGUGCCUACUACUACGUGCAGGCCGCUGACGACGACCAGGAGUAGUUAGGAGGAUCCCAGGCAGGAGGCCUGCGCCUCGUUCGAUCUGUAUCCCAGUUUGUGCUAGCCUUCUUAAGGCAUACUUGUUUAACUUAUGUCUGUACUCAGAUAUUGUUGCUUCCGCUGACUCGUCUGUGAUCGAGCAAUUGUAUUCGAGCCCUCGAGGCCCCUGGCUUGUAUUAUGAUGCUUGUAUGACUUAUUUAUGUUGUAGAGUUGUGUUGUGAUAUCUUCCCGUGAGUCCCUGAUCUUGGUCGUACACAUUUGCGUGCAUGAUUAGUGUACGGUCAAAUCGGGGGCGUCACAGCUGGGGAGGGUCGUCGCCGGCUUGGGAUGGGCGGAGGGGCGCCGGCUUGGGGGGAGGGUCGCCGGCUUGGGGGGUGGGAAGGAUCGCCGGCUUGGGAGGGGGAGGUGGGUCGCUAGCUCGGGAGGGGAGAGGGCCAGCACGGGAGGCAGAGAGGAGGGAACAGAAGAGAUAGAGAGGAGGAAGAAAGAGAAGAGGAAGAGAAAACUUACAUGUGGGCUCCACAUGUAAGCUAACGGUCGAACUAAGGUCAAACUAACGGUUUGUUUUAGGUGCGGGCCCAACCUGUCAUAAUCAGGAUCAACUGAUAAAGACUCGGUGAUUUGGGUUUUUUGAAACAGCGGACCACACGAUUGGUAGGUUUCUGAGAAAAAUUAAAAGUUGGUAGUUUUUUGGAACCCUAGCCUGUAAACUGAUAGUUUUUUGCUAUUUACUCGCCCAAGUCAUAUCAUAACUAAGUCGGCCUUUCUCUAUUAAAAAAAACAAGUCGGCGUCCAAUUUUUUGUUCAUACUAUCUAUCUGUCAAAAGCAAUAGACAGAUUAAACUACAUCUUUAUUUUUAUUGCAAAAUACUCCCUCCGUGACUCCGUCCAUGUAAGACGCUUUUGCAAGCUAACGACUAACGGACGGAUUUCAUACAAUAUGUCCAAGCCAAUCUACUUUUUUAAAAUUUCAUCAUCGAAAAUACAACCAUGUAAACAAUUAUUUAGAGCUAAUAUAAAUUCUAAUUUCUUUUGAAACAAGCUCGUGCAGUCAUACAUCAAAGAAGAAACAACGCAUAGGAUGCAAGCCAAGUGUGAUGUGUGGCUUCUCGUCAAUGGCGGUGAUCUACAAAUCUCCCGUUUUUCUAGUGUAAAAAGCCGCAGUGUAAAAAGCGGCAGUGAUUAGGCUAACAUCGUCUUAGUAGCUAAGGGAUACACAUCCCUCACGCUUGAGUCCACAUCAACUUACUUACACUAUCUCUCCAUCACUCUACCAUACAUUGGUCCCCGUAGACUCGGCUCUCUCCUGCUCUAUUGCCUGUAGUCGUAUGUCCAUGCUCUGAAUUCGGGAUUCGAACGGAGAGAACCGAGUGGAAAUUGUUGUCUCAAAGUCCUUCAACUGUGCACUGAUUCUGGCUUCAACACCUUGAAUCAAAGCCCUCAGCUCCUUGACUCCCGCUGAGUUCUCCUCCUCCAACCCACGUGACAGCCGCUCGCUCUCACCAGAAGUAGUUGCCGAGCCAACAUUCAUCUACAAUCAAAGAUAAAAUGAUCAGAAUGUUUCUCAGACGAGUACAUUUUCAAUAAAACUUAACUUAUAGAUUGUCUAAACUUAUGUUGCCUAUUUCUUUUAGUCAGUCACUGGUGUCUACACUUUUUAUUUGCUAUCAACUGAACAUGGACGGGCCCUCUGUACGAUGUGUAUAAAAGGCCAGCCCAUAGAACCACCACAGAAAACAACAAAAUCAACAUAUCACAGGCGAAAGAGAAAUAAAAAUAAUGCUGACACAAAAUUUAUCAAUAAUAGAUAAAAAAAUCUAGAGUGAGUUCAAAGGAAAAAGUUCAAAGCAACAACAAAACACUCCACAUAAAUUUUCAACACUGUACAAAAGUUCCUUCUCGGUUGAACUCACGAGAGAUUACACUUCAAACCUUCAGGCCUCCCACAAGCACCAUCAUGACUUGGCAUCCUUGGAUGAACCUUUUACUGAGGAAGUCUAGGCAACCAUUAGGAACCUACCUUUGGACAAGCCACUGGGGCCAGAUGGGUUUACUAGUCGUUCCNNNNNNNNNNNNNNNNNNNNNNNNNNNNNNNNNNNNNNNNNNNNNNNNNNNNNNNNNNNNNNNNNNNNNNNNNNNNNNNNNNNNNNNNNNNNNNNNNNNNNNNNNNNNNNNNNNNNNNNNNNNNNNNNNNNNNNNNNNNNNNNNNNNNNNNNNNNNNNNNNNNNNNNNNNNNNNNNNNNNNNNNNNNNNNNNNNNNNNNNNNNNNNNNNNNNNNNNNNNNNNNNNNNNNNNNNNNNNNNNNNNNNNNNNNNNNCCAUGAGUCUUAUUCACAGUUUUGCUAAGUUAGUUGCAAAGCUCAUGCCCAAUCACCACUGCUGCCUGGCAUAGUGUCCUAUCAACCAAGGUGGUUUUAUCAAGGGGACGAGAGCAUACAUGAUAAUUUUCCCCUUGUCCAGCAAAUGGCAAGAAGUUUACAAUAGAAAUGGAACCACACAUCCUCCUUGAGUUGGAUAUUUCUAAAGCUUUUGGUUCCGUUUCAUGUCCCUUCAUACCUCCUUUUGAUUCGUAGGAUUGGAUCCUGUUGGAAUUUUCCUAAGGAAUCAUUUUUACUACAUUCCAUAGGAAAUCUAGCAUCCACUCCAACCUGCUUUUACAAUUCCUUUAUUUUUCAUAUGGCAUCAAACACUGUCUGCUAAUCAUAUUACGAGUCAAGUGGGCAUGCCACUUCAAUCCUGUAUUCUUCUUGUUCUUGUGUUUUGAAAUUCCUUGUGAAGCAAAGAGGCCAUUUAUGUGAAAUAAAAGAUUUCCCUUGAACCACCCUUGGCCUUCCACCUUCCACUUACUAUUCAGAAGCCCACUAAGGCUGAAUUACACCCGCUUAUUGACAAGAUGGCAGAUAAUCUCCCAGGUUGAAAGUGUCCCUCAUGAACUGUGAUGGCCGUCUCAUUACAGUACGAGUGGCACUCACCGCUAUUCCCAUCUACAAUAUGGUUGCUUUGGAUCUGCCAAAAUGGGUGAUAGCCAUUGAUAAGCUGCACAGGGGCUUUCUUUGGAAAGGCUAAUAGUGAUAAUUGUCAUGUCUCAUGGGAGCGGGUAAACUGACCAAUCCAAUAUGGAGGACUGGGCAUACAUAACUGGAAAUAUUAGGGUGGGCACUCUGAAUCCGAUGGAUGCAGAAAAGGACGCCUUGCAGCCCUUGCAGCCAUGGGCUGGUACCCAUCCAAGUCCCGCGAAAUGCCCAAGCUUUGUACAGUGUUGCGGUGGAAACUUUUGAAGGGAAUGGACAGAACACCAUGUUCUGGUCUGAUUGAUGGUUACAGGAUAGAACAGUUGCUGAAUUGGCCCCAAACUUAUUCAAGUUGAUCUCUAAAGGAGCUGUCAAGCAGCCAUAGCAGAUGGGUUACAGACAUUAAGGAGCUCUCACUGUCCAAGUCCUAAUAGACCUACAUAUAUGGGACUUUGUGGAUGGUCCAAUCCUACAACAAGACACUCCUGAUCAGCAUCGACAGCGGCUUACAUGGUCAGGCUCAUAUACCAGCAAGUCAGCUUACAAUGCAUUCUUCCGCGGGUCAAUCGGAUUUGCGCCAUGGAAAAGAAUUUGGAAAGGCUGGCUCCAUUGCGCUGCAAGUUUUUCGUUUGGCUUGCCAUCAAUGAUACUCGUUGGACUCCUAGCCUCGCCAAGAGGGGACAAUCGCACUCUGUGGCCUGCCCUCUUUAUUAUCAGGCGGAAGAGUCAAUCCAGCACAUACUUUUUCGUGUGUUUUCGCUCGGCAAGUAUGGACGUACAUUCUGCAAAAGGUUGGGCUUAGCUACCAAUACCAUUGUGCCCUAGCCUACUACGCCAUUUGUUUCUCAAGCUGGUUGUGCGGCUAAAGAAUUCCAGAGAAGGCUCAAUUCUCUGAUCAUCUUAGUUGCUUGUGAGAUGUGGAAACAUAGGAAACGGUUGUGUGCUUAACGGAACUAGCCCGUGUUUCACUGGUCUUACAGAAAGUGUACCCGUAAAAAAAGGUCUUACAAAAAGUGGCAACUGAGAGCGCUCUGUGAUGUUUGGCUGGUGGCUGAGGACUCCAUGAGCUGCUCCUAAGGUCGCUCACCCCAGACACUUGGUCCUUCCCCUGGGCCAGCUGGUCAUGUGCAUGUGUGUGUGAGUGGCGAUCCUGUACUAGCUUAUAUCUGUGUGUGUGCGCGGUCACGUGGAGCAUGUUUGGGGUGAGGGUCUUUACGCUCUCUCCCUUCUAUCUUUAUUCCUUCUUCCUAAUGAAAUGGUACACAGCUCUCCAGCGUGCUCAUAUAAAGAAGUUGCACAAAACUUGCAUCACUUCAUAAGAUGCAAGAACCAUUAUAAAGUAGUGCUACCUUUAAUAAUGAUGUAUUCAUCUCCAAAUGAUAUAUUCUAGUUACUCAUAGUAGUAGUUAAUUAAGGAUCAUGCCUGUACAGACGCCCUCUCUCUCUCUCACACACACACACACGCGCGCGCGGAUAGGCACGGGAACCAAAAAGAGAAACAAAAAAGAAACUAUGCACCUUUCUUGUUUUGUGUUGUUUCCAUUGCAGCACAUGGAACGCACCAUCACUUCCUGUCAGAACAAGCCUUCGACGAGUCCAUGCUUUUCCUCUUACUUCGAACCUAUCUAUUUUGACAUCCUUUUCCUGCAUUUUAACAUAUGCAGCAUUAGUGCAAAACAACAAUAAAAUCAACCGAGUAAAGAUAUAAAUAUUUUAUUUAAUUAAGAAAUUUAAGAUAGAGACAGUGAAGCACUAGUAAUCAAAAGUUGACUAAGGGUGUGUAUGGGACAGUUCCAUUCCACAUGUUCAGUAGUGAAUAUGGUGGAGUAGUGCUACAGACAUCCACAGCUCCAUAUUUUGGGGGGAGCGGAUUGUCCACCUGGCCCUGUAGUUGAUAGAGAAUUAACCACAACUGCCACUGGAUACACCCCUAGAUUCAGCACCCUUCACGCCACCGUUGCCUCUCUUCUCCUCGACCGUGGCCAUGGUAAUUUUCCACUCCUCUCCCCGGUGGCAUAGCUGCCCACGCCGGGCCUCCUCUCCCCCCCAUCUCUCCCCAACAGACCGCGCCUCAAGUAAGCUGCCCCUCCCUAAUUCCCCGUUCUUUCUAAAUCAGUGUUGCCCAUCUAUGUGGAUCUGGAGCCAACCUUCCCCAAAACAGUGUUGUGUGGCUCCAGAGUUUAAAGGCGGAGCAAAGUUUAGGUGAAGCAAAGAUCUCUCAAACACACCCUAAGACUAAAGGCACUAUCUUACUCCCAGUCUUCAAACCACUAAGAAUCAGAAUUUAACUAAGAUUCAGAUCACUAUCCUAUCCCCAGUCUUCGAACCAUUAGUUAUCAAACAAGGCUUACAGAAACAUAUAUAUCUAAAAGACAAAUAGUGUUGUAUUGUACCUUCAUAGUACUAAUGAAAUGUUCUGUCGACUCUUCAUCUGAUGCAGCCUUACAACCUUUAACUGAACUGGAUAUGCGAGACUUGGUUGAGUUAAUAACCCAAACUAACCCAUCUUGCUUUUCACCUUCUUGGACAUCAUGAUCAAUUGAAAACAUUGCUCCAUUAUAUAGUAACGCUAGGGCAUGAUUCUUCUUAAUCCACCCUGGUGGCCCCACGUUUAUGUCACUUAACAAUUCAUUCACGAUAUUGAAACCAUGAAUAUCACUAUUGGACAGUAGUUGAUCUACAAUGAAAACAAAAGAGCUGGUAAGAAAAAGUCCCUUUGCAACCUAGACAACCUACAAAAGGGAAAGCUUUUCCACCUGGCCACGAAAGAAGUCCACAUAACCCCCUGAGGUUUCCGAAACCGGCUAAUUCACCCCCUCAACUCUAAAACCGGUUAAUUAGCCCCCUGAGGUCUCUAAUACCAGCCAGGACACACCCUAAUCCCAAUUAGAGUGGUUUUUGCCGGUGGUUUUGCUUGCGUGGCCCUGGACCAUUGCCACGUCGGCUUGGUGGAAGGCGCGAAGAGAUACGAGGACGCGCGUGAAGUUUUACUCAAUCCCCAAUCCGGUAUGCGCAAUCCCUAGUUCCCCUCUUCCUUCUCCCCUGUUCGCCGCCAUGGCCGCCAGAUGAGUCUCGUCCUCCUCUGUUCUGUAGUUCCUCCCUUUCCCUGUGUGUCUCCAUGGCCGCCCCACCUACGUAAUUCCUCCUCCCUCGAUCCCCCAUUCUCCAGCGCCCUGGACGAGGACCGCCCUCGUCAUGGCUCAAUGGAGCAGCGGCUGCUUGUCUUGGAGUUCCUGUUUGACUCGUCGUCUAGCCGUAGCGGGCCGCCGAUCCCCUAUAGUUCUUGUUCAUCUCUUCCUGUUCUUCAGGUAAGAAGUGGAUGCUGGUUUCGUGAGAAAAGAAAAAUGGAUGUUGGUGUACAGGUUAUCUUUUUACCCAGAAUAUGUACCGAUUAUUAUCAAUUUGCCAACACAAUUGAUUCUUUGAUUCACUUGUUGUUGCUACUGUACGUAGCUUAGCAUCAGACUGAAUUUUUAGUAUAGCCAAGACAACUUCAGAGCUCCAAACUGAAUAUCGUUGUGAAGUAAUACUCGCAAGUUAAUAUAAAUUUCUCAUUCACCCAGUUAAUUUCGCAUUCCUAACCUAUUCUAUUAUAUAUUUUGGGACAUGCUAAUGACUUAAUUUUGUAUUGGUGCAUAUGAAUUUUUUCUGACUUCAAUCGGAGGCUCUAAGCACCAAACUUGCAGGAGGCACUACAUUUGCGAACGAUGACACCAGGUUAAUGAAGUUCUUCCUUCUCAUUCGGUAUUUAUUUUGCUGCUUGUUAAUGUGGUGUCUUUCUGCAUUUUUUUGGACUAGAGGAAUGAACAACUUCAUCAUCUUAUAAGAGCAUUGGAGCAAGAGAGAGCAAUGCACAAGAAAGAGCAAGAUAGAUCAAUGUUGCAGUUGCAUUGGAGAUUGUCAGCUGUAUAUGAAGAUAUGAAAGUGAAGAAAAAAAAGGGACAUGUGCCUUUAUCAUGAUAUUGUGGGUUGUUUCUUUAGUUUUAGAUUUUGUUGCUGGUAUGGUCGUCUCAGUCUAGUUGAGAAGAGAGAAUUCAGAUAAUGCAAUUUUUUAAGGGAAUGUACUUGUAGCUCUGCAAUCUAUUGCAUACGCAAAGAUAUAUGUAAUCUGAAAGCAAGCUUUUCUUGCUGUCAUGAAUGAAAGCUUUUAUUAACUGAAAGUACUAUGUUAUUGCAACUAUCAUGGUUGCAAAUUUGCAGCAUUUUGUUUACAUCAGCAUCACUCUUACAAAUUGGCAAUAGCAUAAUUAAGAAACAAGACAUGCCCAGAAUUCUCUGUACAGUUUCAGCUUAACUUCGAAGGAACACAUUUUUCUGAAUGCAAUAAGGAACAUAUCACAGAAUACCCAGUCAUGCCCCACAUCAGAAAACAGUACAUGUAUCAGAUAAUAGGGAAGAAGUACUAGCUUUACAUAAUAUAGCAUGACCAGAAAAUGCAUAACAGUCAGCCAUGCACCACAAGUUUAUUUAUAUCUCAUUGUAGCUAAAUAACUAGAAGUUUAGUUAUUGCCAUGUAACCACCACUAGAAUCUUGAUUGGUUUGGCAUUGGCUGAGAUGUCGCCCUAGGUGCUGGUUGAUAAGAAGAUGUUCCAGAUGUUGGUUGAGAUGAUUGUAUCAGUGAUUUCCUUCUGUUCUUUGCUCUCUCAUAGAAAGGUGCAGUGGAAGGACUAUUUUGCGCACCAGAGGCCUUCUUCUUCCUCUUUGGUGGCUUAGAUGCUGGAGGAACUUCUUGUGUUGAUGGGCCAGGAGCCGAACUUUGUUGUGCUGAUGGAACAUGAGCUUGCUGUAUUAAAAACAGUUAAGAUUAGCAAAUUUGCACAUGUCAGGAAAAAAUAUGCAAAAAAAAGAAGAUAGAAAGGGGCACCUCUGUUCUUGCUUGCUUGGCCUUUCUCCUUGUAGCUGCUCUUGUGAAGUUGGCAUGCUCUUUAUUACCAGCAGUAUUGUUAUUCGUACAUUUUCUUUUGUUGUGACCCUGAGUUCCACAACUUGAACAUGUCACCUGAGUGCCUGCUCUUGACAUUUUUGAUGGGUUCCUAGGUUUCUCUCCUUCCUCCUGCCUUCUCUUUGUCUGGGGCCUGCCAGUCUGUGUUCUUUUCUUAGGUGGAAGAGGUCUAGGUUUUUCAGAAAUUGGCCAAUCUUCUGGUCCAUUGAUAGGCUGAAGAACAUGAUCAUAAAUUCUGUUGUACUCAGCAAUAGAGUAGCAAGGUGAAAUGUAGAGAUCCAAAUCUCUAGAGCAGGUGUAGAUUGCACUAACCGCAUGACAACAAGGUAAUCCGGAAAGUUGCCAAUAUCUACAUGAACAUGUCCAGUUUUCUAGAUUGACUGUGUAUCUCCUAUGCUCACCUUCCGGUACUUCAAACCCAUCCUUUCCAUUCCACAACACUUGACACCUAGCAGAUCUUUCAAUGUUGACCUUCAACUUCUUGAAAAUAUUUGGACAAAUGGUUCCAUACCACUUCUCAGACUUUGCUCUGUUUUGUUGGAUCCUCACAGUGACCUUCUUUCUAAUGAUUUCCAUUGCAGUUAAUACCGGAUAGAACCUAGAUCUCAUGAUGGCAUUAUUAAAUGACUCACACAUGUUGUUCUCAACUGAGUCACAAAAAGACCCAAUCCUAAAGUAGGCCCUACACCAAUACUCUGGUGUAGUUUUCAUCAUGUCUUUCGCACCCUCUACUGUCUUUUGUGCAAGCUUAGCCCUAUUGUAAUUGAACUGGCUUCUAUCCGAUGACUUGGCACAUGCCCAAAACAUUUUCUGAAAGACCUUGUCCCUAUGCUAUUUUCUCCAGUUAGCGUAAAUGUGUCUUGCGCACAUCCUAUGCUCUGCUUGGGGCACAAGCUCAUUGACUGCCCUGAUGAGACCCUACAUAAGAGAAGCAAAAAAACCACAUUAGCAAACAAUCUCACAUACAAAACCAUACCUACACUAGCCGCCACCACCUCCUUCGACGCCUUCCUAACAUAGGACUAGAUCCAUAACAACAGUACGAGUAAAAAAAGUAUUUAGCUCACCUUUUGCUGAUCGAAGAUGAACACCCAUCCUUCACCAUUGUUGUUUAUCUGGAGAUCUUUUUGAAGAAACCCAAUGAACCAAUACCAAGAAUCAUAGCUCUCAACCUCUACUAUAGCCCAGGCUAUUGGAUACAUCUGGUUAUUGGCAUCUCUACCAAUUGCACAAAGCAAUUGCCCCUUGAAUGCACCCUUCAGAAAGCAUCCAUCUAGCCCCACAACUCUUCUACAUCCUGCUAGAAAUCCUUUCUUGCAACCAUCUAAACACAUAUACAUUCUUUCAAACACAUUGCUCUCAAGAAUUUCUGGAUUUAAUGUCACUGCAAUAGUGCUACCUGGGUUGCUUCUAAGCAACUCAAGUUGAUAAUCAUAAACUCUAGCAUACUCACCAUCUGAUAGAUCAAUUAUCUUCUCCAUAACAAGUUUCUUUGCUCUUUUGCAUUUGGAUAUGGACACAUCAGCCACUAGAUCCUGAAGAACAGCUUGUUGAAUGUGCUCUGCCUUCCAUGAUGGAUUGUCCCUGAUUUGCCUAAAGUACUUUUUUGCAAUGACACCACAUGUGACCAACUUGUUGUCCCUUCUUGGAAUACAUGUGUGCUCAUUGUUGUAUCUCCCUACUAGCAACCAAUCAGACCUGCUGGUAAUGGAUCCAUAAAUACUCCAAGGACAGCCUGGCCACUACAUUUUGCACUUACUCUCUUCUUCUCGUCUUUUAGAAAUAACAAGUGGUGAUACGUUUUCAGUCCAUACUUCACCAAUGCAUUCUUGAACUUCCUACUGUCAUGGAAGGCCAUACCAACAGAGAAUAAAGGAAUUUCAGAAGUACUAUCAUAAACUUUGUGCUCUGUCUUCUUCCUCUUAAGCAUGUCAUCCCCAUCACUUGCUUCAUCAUAAGAGAAAUCAUCUGCACUGUCAAAAUACGGUGUCACAUCACCAUCACCAUCAUCAAGCUUGCAAUCCUCCGGGACAAGGAAAUCCUCUGGCACAUCAACACCUUUCUCAUCCUCUUCCCCAAGCAUCUUGUUCGUGAUCUUGUUCUUAAGUUCCCUUGCAUAUUUUCUGAAUUCAAUUGUUUCUUCAUCUUCAGCAGAACUAUUGUCUUCAUCUUCUAAACCAACCUCAUAGUCGCUAUCACUGCUUGUGGAUUCAUCUUCACCGCCUUUGUUUCUUUUCCCUUCAGCCACCUUUAGUUUUCCUAUGGAGCUACUACCCUUAACAAUCUUCCUAAAAACUGGCAACUUUUAGGGCUGAUGAAACGCACGUGCAUCUUCAGCUGUCUCUUGCAUCUCCUCUGCACCUCCUUUGCAUUCCUCUGAAUUUUUCUGCUGAUCUACACAUUGUUUUUGUUGUUCUUCUCCCCAUUGUCCCUCUCCCUGUUCUACCUCCCAAUCACUAGUCUUGGCACUAGGCUCUUUUGGCAUGUUAGCAUAAAGAUCUAUAACACCAACAUCAGUUACACAUUUGACCAUUUGAAGGACCGAUUCUUCAUCAUCCAUAAUAACCAGAGCACCUUUGCCAUUUAAAGGAAACAUCCAAUGCAAAGUUGUGGCAUUUAGUACCUCAUCAGAACAAGAAACAUGAUCUGCAAGGUGUUUCUUCAAAUCUUGUAGACACAAUUUGUCAUACUCAAUUGUGGACAUUCCUGACCUUCCAUCCAAAUAUUUCCACUGAAUUCCAUCAUGAUGUAAUUCGCCUCGGAAAUGAAACCGAACGGAUAGGUAAUUGAGUGGUUUCAUAUCUGAAAAAUAAUAACAAAAAAACAUAUAUAAGCGAUCUGCACAUAUAUAAGAUUGAACCUCUAUGCAAUCAAACCAUCACAAACUAGGAUUUGCUUCUGAAUGUUUACAAAUUACUGAACUCACAUAACAAUGUUAAUAUGAAGAGUUCAUUAUAUUUAAAAAUUUAAAAUGCCCAGGUCCUGUUAAUGCUAAAGGUAUGCAACCUGGAAUACACAUGACCUUUAGCAAAAGUUGUUUAGUUCCAGCAGGUGUCCGAAAGGGCCCUACUGAUUGUGGUGCAGCUAAUUAAUGGCUACUACACUCUAAAAAAAAUUAAUGGCUACUGUAGUCGGCAGGCCAGUUGUUUAAUUAUGAUGAUCACACAAGUAAAAGAAAGCUAGGAUGUAAUACUACGACUAGUGCUGCGGGUAAGCUGUAUUAACAUCCUAGCUGUAUUCUUACUCCAAUCAAAAUCGUUGGAUUUCAGUUCGAUCUUCUGAAUUUGACUAGAACUACUAAAAAAAUCUUUACAACCUGGACUUUUCAAACGUAUAAGGAUAACACCAUACGCACGGUAUGCACAUUAACUGAACAGCCACUUGUCCGGUGCAGGUGUGGUGCGUUAGUACUAAUAAUGGUCGGCCUGUUUCAAUGAGUAAGUGCAAUCGUGCUGCUCGUCAGUCAAAAGGAAGGAAAAGUGCAUCAUUGCACUGCAGGCGUGCAAGCUUCAACACAUGGUCCUCAUAGAGAAGGACGUGUGUACUGGCAUGGACGAGCAGAGCGCCUCAGCUGGAGUAAUCGGGGAGAUUGGUAUUCACCUGCUUGUCGUCAAGCCGCCUCCUGCAAGCGUGAUCACCCUAACAAACAAGAACAAAGGAUCUCAAACCUAGCGCCAAACCCCUCUCCGAUCUUAAAAAAAACCCGACUUUGACACACAAGCACUAGAGUCGUCGAAAGGGACUGACCUGCUCGUCACCCGCCGCCUCCCGUCAAGCGCCGAUCAUAACGUCUUGCCCUGCCGCCGCGUCGUCGAAAGGAAAGAACGGAGAAUGAGGCCAAAACAAUAGGACGAGCAGUUAAGUCUGAGACCCACGCCACCAAGCCGACGUGGCAAUGGUCCAGGGCCACGCAAGCAAAACCACCGGCAAAAACCACUCUAAUUGGGAUUAGGGGGUGUCCUGGCUGGUAUUAGAGACCUCAGGGGGCUAAUAAACCGGUUUUAGAGUUGAGGGGGUGGAUUAGCCGGUUUCGGAAACCUCAAGGGGUUAUGUGGACUUCAUUCCCUGGCCACUCACCCGUAAAAUCUGCAGGAGACGCAGGGGCCAAUACUCUUCCAAACAACAUAUAUGAAGGAAGAGAUUCAUCGGCUGGAAUAGGCGAAGUCUUAGCAACAGUAGGUACAGUCUCAACUAUAGGCAGUGCAGCCUCAUUUGUAGAACUUGAACUCUUGACAGCAUCUGCCGUGACAUCAAAGAGAUACCAAGGAAAUGAGUAUGCUAGUAGCUAAUACUUCCAAAGUGUGAUGUGUUAAAGCAACAAUCGACAUACCACACUGGCCUCCAUUUGUAGGUUCCACUUGAAAGAAAUCAAUGGGCACACUAAAACCCUGCAAUACAAAUAAGCAAUUAGGUGUUAGCCUGGGUUCAGAUCCAUGUCUAUCUUAGCUUGGGUUAAGAUAAGUUCUCCAGUUUACAGUUUGCUACAAGCCUACAAGAAUAAUUUAAUUUCACCUCAUUUGUGGUUUCCAUAGCAAAGAAAUCAAAAGUUGGUUUAGAGUUUGCAAGAUUCCAUGAUUCUCACAACUUCUCAAGAUUUGAACUUUGUAACAACUAUUACAAGCCUAAAUACAACAUCUGAAGAAAACGAACUGAACUAAGAGUAGUUUGGAGGUGAGAAUCUCACGUCAUCCACCAUUACUUCUUGUAAUGAAUCGGAGGUGGGCAAACUCAGAUCCUGCAACAGAAAAGAACCCACUGUAAGUUGUUAACACAAGUAUAUACACAUGCUUACUGUAUAGAUGUUAAGAUUUAUGUGGCAAAAAAAUUACCUCUGCUGAAGUAAUCAGGAUGCUGUUCCAUGUUUCUAAGUCAAGGGUCCCCACCUGGGUCAUAUUUUGAAGCUUAGCGCCAUCAUGGUAUACCACCAUAUUUUCGGCGGAACACACAUGUUUCCCUUUAUUCUUCUCAAAAAGCUCUUUAAUGUCUUUAACCUGCGGAAAUGAAUGCUCAUUAGAACUCAUUGACAACCCUGAUUGAUUGUGCAGAGAAAACCUGAAGUGUUUUUUAAGGGAUCAUUUGACUUCAAAACUGGUGUUCUUGUUAAAAACCACGAGACAAUACACAUGGUUAACUGACAAAAUGAACACAUGAGAAGCUAAAAGGAGUAAAGGAUGCCUACACUUUUUUUGAGAGAUUAUCAGUACAUAUGCAUUGCAAACUUGAAGAAGAUGCAACUAGCUUUGCAUUGGAAAAAAAGCUAAAGAAAAAAUAGAUAAGAAUAGUCUUUUAGUUGUAACAGAACAGAAGAUUGCCUUAUAAAUGAUUUUAUGGUAUUUGUCUAACUACUUGUUCACUGCCAUAUAAUAGCAUUCAGUUUGGUCAAAUGAAGCCAAACAUGUUUUCUAGCAAGAAAUAGGAUAAGCAAAUGCAUGUACAUAGAUAUAUUUGCUUGAAUUUUAGUAUAUUGGGAAGUGGUUAUACAAUUAUAUAAACAUCUAACAUGGAAGUAGCUGUCCAACACUUCUCUGGCUAGUCCUUAACUCCGAUUAUAACAAUCUAACUGGAAAUGCUUCACAACAUAGAGCAAACGUGCAGCCAUGGCACCACAAGUAAUCACAACAGAGGAGGGAAAUGUGAACUGGCAGGAACUGCUAUAUAUAAUAUUCUUGAUUGUUUAUCAAUCUUCAAAAUGUGAAGAUACCAUAUUCAACUGAUAAUAACAGCAUAUAAAUAUGUUUCAAACAUACUUUGGUAUUAGGCAGUAUCUUAAUAACCAAAAAAAUUGAUAUUAUGGAAGAGAGGCAUCGCAUGCUAGCUUCUAGUACAAAAUAUAUCAAAAUUACAGAUAUUAAUAGUAAGAAUAUGUUUCUCAAAUGGUAUGUAGUCAAUUAAUUCAUAUUAGUGACUAUACAGGCUACAUGAACUAGACCAUCUAGUAAAAAUAAACGAAACAACUGCACACACGACGUUUCCCUGUCCGAUCCUCAUACGAUGCAACAUCCAGUGGCCUGCUGUACUUUGAAUCCAACUCACGGAUGGUUCAACCUGGUGUGUUGGACAUGGAUCGUAUGGAAAGUAUCGUCUGUAUAGCAGGACUCAAAAACAAACUAUUACCAGAUGGAUAACUAGUAGUAGUACAUCAAAUUUGUGAUCAUUUGGCCAUGUUUUGGCUAGGCAAAUAUCCACAAACUAAGAACACUCAUCCUUCUUUCUAGCCUCAUCAGCUCCCACCUAGUUUUCCCCAAGGCUUAUCAAGCCACAUAUAUACUCGCAAAUGGCAGACUGCAAUAGAAAUUCCGUGGAGUGAUAUGUUGCGUGAAAGUGCAAACCCUCCCCCUCCCCCUCUCUCCCUCUCUCUCUCUCUCUCUCUCUCGCCCGCCCCUCUCUCUCUNNNNNNNNNNNNNNNNNNNNNNNNNNNNNNNNNNNNNNNNNNNNNNNNNNNNNNNNNNNNNNNNNNNNNNNNNNNNNNNNNNNNNNNNNNNNNNNNNNNNNNNNNNNNNNNNNNNNNNNNNNNNNNNNNNNNNNNNNNNNNNNNNNNNNNNNNNNNNNNNNNNNNNNNNNNNNNNNNNNNNNNNNNNNNNNNNNNNNNNNNNNNNNNNNNNNNNNNNNNNNNNNNNNNNNNNNNNNNNNNNNNNNNNNNNNNNNNNNNNNNNNNNNNNNNNNNNNNNNNNNNNNNNNNNNNNNNNNNNNNNNNNNNNNNNNNNNNNNNNNNNNNNNNNNNNNNNNNNNNNNNNNNNNNNNNNNNNNNNNNNNNNNNNNNNNNNNNNNNNNNNNNNNNNNNNNNNNNNNNNNNNNNNNNNNNNNNNNNNNNNNNNNNNNNNNNNNNNNNNNNNNNNNNNNNNNNNNNNCCUCCCUCUCUCGCGCCCAGCUGGCACCUGGCUGGCAGGACACCGCCGCGUCGGGGUUAAGCUUGGAGGCUGGCCCACAUGUCAUUGACCCACUGCAUCCUGAUCCAUGUUUCUUGUUCUCUUUCGUUUACCUGCUAGUCUGCCUUUGGUUUCGUAUAAUUGUUAUAUAAACAAACGACAGUUUUAUUUAUAUCCAGAAUAUAUCCAGAUAGUGUUACUUCAACAUUUUUAGAAUGACAGCAACAUGCACACUUCGUCGUGAUUUUCUCCUCCGUGCCUACCCACCGCCUCCCUCUUCCACCACCGAAUGUUUCGUGCAGGCCGUGGCCAUAAGGCCAACUCCAACCCACGAUCUCAUUUAGUCCGGCGCGUCCGUUUAGAUUGAAAUGUAUAUAAAUCGCGGCCCAACGCGUGGCCGCAAACAGAAGGACGUUCGUUUUCUGUCACAAACUUGACCCAUUUUCGGGCGCUUGCGUUGAAGCAGACAAUGCACAGACAGAUGGGACGCGUGUCCUUGUCCUACCUGGCCUGUCCAUCGAGGACACAAACGCUCCCGCCCUCCCCCGCCCCUUCCUGCUCCAUGGUCGGGGCCCCGAAGCAACCCGUCGCUGUCGUCCCGGCCGCCACCACCUCCCGUCCCGCGACGAGGAAGAAGAAGUAGCCGAGCACGGAGCUCACGCCGGCGGAGCACGACCGACUCGACCAAGAGGAGAGCCCGGAGGGUCGUUUAGGCGGAGAGGAAAGCUGCUGUCGAGUAUGCCCUCGAGGUCGCCGUUGUGCAACACAAGGCCUUCGUUGAGGACAACGAGGCCCUCGUUGCCAAGGCCACAUAGGCAGCGACGACGCACACCCUCUCGCGCUAGGGUUGUGCUGGCUUGCACUGGCCAUUCUUUCCGCCGCCACCAUGGCCGCGGCGAGCACAUGCUCAUCUUCCGUUCGCCCUUCACAUGGCCAUUCGCUGAACUCCUUCAUAGCACCACAGACGGUCGGUGUUCAUCCAGCACACGAGCAUGCUGCGACCCGGUUCUCCACGUUGCCAGAUGGCGGCGUGAUCGCGUCGGCCACCCCCGCCCUCACGGCCGUCGUCGACCUUAACGUCGCACCUGGUUUAGGUGGCACCGACCAGUCGGCCACCAGGAUGCAAGGGAAAGUAGCCACGGUCGAUUCCUAUGGCCAACCUUCCCGACAAGCGCAACUUGUUGGAUGGAAUGCCCAAUGCGACGCCGGCGCAAGACGACCCCGACUUCAGUGAUUUCAUGGAGAACGUCAUCUACGAGGGGCAUGGUCAAGCUUUCCACCCCGAGGGCCAAGGCCAAGCCUUCGAUCCCGACGAGACACUACUGCAGGAUGCUGCUAACGUGACACUACGAUCAGAGACCCUUCGACGAAACUGUGUGCGAUGCAAUAAUCGCAAACGGUGGUGUGAAAAAACCGUCAAAAAGGUGCAAAACGUUUGCAAUGACGGAUGCAUCAAACACGGUUCAGAUUUUAGUUACUUGUGCGAUGCAGGGCAUACGGUUCAGUUCAAUUAACUGUUUGCGAUGAGGAGGAACAAAAGAAACGGGCAGCCAGAUGAAGGUGUGUGUGAUAUACAACAUACGGUUCACUCGGAUGAACUGUUUGUGAUUAGGCAACAUAAAAGUAACGGUCAGCCAGAUCAAGGUGUGUGCGAUAUACGGCAUGCGGUGCACUCGGAUGAACUGUUUGUGUUGAGACAAGAGAACAGAAACGGUUCUAUAUAACAAGAUGUGUGCGAUACGCGGCAAACAGGUCUGUAAUUAGAAAUGUGUGUGAAGACCGAAAAUAACAUAGAUGAUUGCUUCUAAUAAGACAUAUGUGAUAUGCUCUGUCUACACAACAUCUAUUGGCCAUUGAGCGACGGGCGGUCAUCCGGGUACGCAAUAAGGAUGAGAAGAAGCAUCCUAUAUUAGCAAGGACUAGCUGUUCCACCAAUAGCUCAUCUAAGAGAACUCUCAAGUUAACUAUGCUCAAGCUGAAGCAGCCAUCAGAUGGGUGACUGGAUGGGAAGUUGUCUUGAUGUUAAAUUAUCUGAUGGGAUUGUCCAUACAGGUCAAAUUAAAUGACCUCUAUGAUCCAUCUCAUCAGUUAAAUUAACCUCAAGGUCCUUUUUUUUAACACAUGUUAAAGAAGGUCCACUGCAUUACUUUUUGACAAUGUGCGAUACGUGGCAUACAGUUGAUCCAUCCGACCUGUUAUGAUGGAGCCAUGUGUGUUGUGGGCAAACGCUUGCUAGUAUACAACCGUUUGCGAUUGAUGAAUUCAUCACCGACGGGUUCCCUAGUGUGGUCCGUGUUCAUCUGAUCAUCAUCUACUUCUUGUGCUAGCUCGAUGUUCCUUAUAUGCUAAGUUUCCAUUAAUUGAUGGUGUUUUAUGAACACGCCACCGUUUCCCGCCAUUUACUCACCUGUUUCCCGCCACCCAGCGAUAUUGUGCAUAAACCUAGGUGGCGCGCGAUGCAUGGAGGCAACAAGCGCAGCCUGUAGCACAUCCACCUUUUCCAAGCAUGCCAACCCACCAAAGCGCUGCCUCUGCCAUCAACCUCGUCGAUGAGGAAAACGAGCAGGCGCCACAGCCCGUCGAGGCCGAGGCGCUCCCCGGCAACGCGAUGGACGACGUCGUGAUGCAUGUCAUCGCCAGGGUUGAGGAGACCCUUGGCGCAUGGCGCUUCAGUGCCACGGAUCAAGAUAGGCAUGUCAGUGCCGAUAGGCUGCAGCUCGCCGCACAACAUGAUCGAUGGCGCGCCGCAGAGCAAGCUAGGCGCGUCCGCGCCGAUAGGCUGCGGCUCGCCGCAAGGUGAGACCGUUGGAGCGCAGCAGAGCGAGAGGCGCGGCGCGCCGCAUAGCAAGAGCGGAUCCAUCGGCGCUUGCCUGCUAUCGACAGGGCGUCGCAGCUGGGUAUAUGUCCUGCCAGUACCCCCAUUCCUCGCCAGGAGUGGGCAGAGGCCCUCUGCGCCGUACUUGCACCAGAGGCCGGCUGCGCCGUACUUGCACCGGACGCCCGCCACGCCAUUCGCAUGGGUCGCGCCGUUCGCCUUGUCCGCGGCCCGCUCAAUGCCAACGCGCUGGUCGGUAGGCUCGACCGCCUCCUUGGCCCAGGUGUCCACCUGGGCGCAGUAGAGGAACAUGGCCGUCACAUCCUCGAGCUGGUGAUCUUCGAUGAAAUAGCCAACUUGGAGCUCGAGAUCGCGCUCCAGAUGUACCGCGAGCGUGUCGACCGCUUGGACGAAUGCCUGCACGAGUUCAGGCAGAGCCAAAAGCUACCGUAGGUAAGGGCUGCUGGUCAUGGUCUCAUGGACGCAUUUUAUUUUGUUGAGUCGUUUCGACGUGGAUAGCUAUGCAUUCACAUCAAUCAUAUUAUUGCUCUAUCUAUUGCUCUGUUUCAAUGUCUGUACUCUGUUUUCCGUUCUUAUAUGUUCUGUUUCAAUGUGUGUAUAUACGCUUUCCAUUCUGUAUAUGUGGAUGAUAACAGCUAGAUUCAAAUUAGUAUAUAAAAACAGAUAGAAAAUGGAAUUUAUAAUAUAUACAUAUAUACAUAUAUAUAUAUAUAUAUAUAUUAAUUGUUCAUUGGUUCAUCACAGAAUAUAUAUAUAAUAUUAUCACAUAUACGUGAUGAUACUUAACUACUAGGUACAAUGCAUAAAAUUGAAAACGAACAAUACUAAAACUAAUAAUCCCUCCUGGGGCCAGUAUUCCUGCAGCCCCUUGCCAGCAGCUCCCUGGUGCGCGACGUCUUCCCAGUGCGGAGGCAGUACUCCACCUCCUCCGCCUCGCAGCGCUUGACGUACCGAUCUGCCUCUUGCUAGCGGACGAGCACGAACGAUCUUGCCAUUUUAUUGGGCGCCCACCGGAGCUGCUCGGUUGUGGCAUGCUGCAGCUUAUCGACCCACCUCCACGCAGCGACGAGGCAUCCAGCGCCUUUGACCUUCCUCGCGAAGUACCCGUCUUCGUACACCUCCUCCGCACGACGACGCGCCCGCCCCCAAAGCUUCGCCGCCUCCUUUUUCCAGGCGGCAUCACAGGCUUCACAGGCCGCCUAGUACCUGGCUUCCUCCUCCGCCAUCUCCUUCUUGAACGCCACUUGCCUGGCUUUCUCAACCGGCGGCAGCGACUUCCACAAACAAAGCUUGUACUGGCCCCAAAACCAAUCCAACGUUGGGGGGUCCGACGCAACCUCAUCCGGCGGCGCGUAGGGGUCCUCGUCGCUGCUAUUCGAGUGAGCGUCCUCAGGGGGGCGGCGACUCCUCGUUGGCGCAUGGGCAGACCGGCGGCGCCAUGGCAGAGAUUUGAGAGAGAGAGAGAGAAAGAGGGCGAGCGAGGGGAGGAUGUAGAUGAGAAUGCAUGCAGGACGACGUGAGCAAGGUAGUAUUUAUUGGCGACCGGAAUCUAGAUCGAUGGGAACAGUACACACGCCGGUCGCCGGAAUUUACUAGUACUGUAGUUUGAAUAACACACGAUUCUCGCAGCAAAAUCUGUGUGUGAACAUAAUAGCUGACGGUUUCCAAUACAGAACCGUGUCUGAUUAAUGACCCCCGCCACUCACCUACCAAACCUCGAGCCGCGAGAUAGAGUGCCAAUCAUGUGGGGACCGGUUAUCUUGCCAGAUCUUUAUAUUUUCUUUUUUGAACACCAGAUAUUUACAUUGUCUGAUGAUUUUUUAACUCGCACACAAGUACACAAAAAUAUAAUUUUUCAAACCGUUAUGGUUAGCCGUUGCAUGUAGAUGUAGUUCAAAUUUGAAUUACGGUCAUUGAAUGGCUAGAAAAUCACUUAAAUGUCUUUAAAAGGUCAAAUGACCCCUAGAAUUGUCCAAAUUUUCACAUGACAGUUGUAGUAGUGCACGUUAAAUGUAGAAAAAAUUGAAGGCCGUAAGAGGAAGCUAUCUCCCCUUCGUCAUCAAACAUGCAUUGUUCCCUCUCGGAACCACAAGCCUUCUAGUGAGUUGCUUCGGUUUAUGAGGUGUCUGUGUCCAAACUUUCGUCAAACAGGCCAAUUUUUUACCACAUCAUCUUGGUGGCAUGACAUUAUAUCAAGCAAUCGUUUCAUGUUUUUCUGAUGACUUUUAAAUUUUUGGAAUUAAAAUGCCAUGGCACUCCAUGCAUGUGCCCAUGCCGUGAGACCAAUAUGUUUGAAAAUUCUUCUAAUUUACUGCACAUGAAAUUAACUUGCACACAAGUACACAAAUAUGAUUUUUCAAACCGUUAUGGUUAGCCGUUGCAUGUAGAUGUAGUUCAAAUAUGAAUUACGGGCAUUAAAUGGCUAGAAAAUCACUUAAAUGUCUUUAAAAGGUCAAAUGACCCCUGAAAUUUUCCAAAUUUUCACAUGACAGUUGUAUUAGUGCAUGUUAAACAUAGAAAACAUUUGAAGGCUGUAAGGGGAAGCUAUCUUCCGUUCGUCAUCAAACAUGCAUUGUUCCCUCUUGGAACCACUAGCCUUCUAGUGAGUUGCUCUGGCUAGUGAGGAGUGUGUGUCCAAACUUUCGUCAAACAUGCGAAUUUUUUUACCACAUCAUCUUGGUGGCAUGACAUUACAUCAAGCAAGGUUUCAUGUUUUUCUGAUCAUUUUUUAAUUUUUUGGAAUUAAAAUGCCAUGGCACUCCAUGCAUACAUAUGCAUAUGUCCAUGUCCUGAGACCAAUAUGUUUGAAAAUUUCUUCUAAUUUACUGCACAUGGAACUAACUCGCACACAAGUACACAAAUACGAUUUUUUAAACCGUUAUGGUUAGCCAUUGCAUGUAGAUGUAGUUCAAAUUUGAAUUACGGCCAUUAAAUGGCUAGAAUAUCACUUAAAUGUCUUCAAAAGGUCAAAUGACCCCUGAAAUUUUCCAACUAUUUACAUGACAGUUGUAUUAGUGCACGUUACACGUAGAAAAAAUUUGAAGGCCGUAAGAGGAAGCUAUCUCCCGUUCGUCAUCAAACAUGCAUUGUUCCCUCUCGGAACCACGAGCCUUCUAGUGACUUGCUCUGGUUUGUGAGGGCUGUGUGUCCAAACUUUCGUCAAAGAUACCAAUUUUUUUACCAUAUCAUCUUGGUGGCAUGACAUUACAUCAACCAAGGUUUCAUGUGUUUUUGAUAUAUUUUUUAAUAUUUUGUAAUUUGAAUGCCAUGGCACUCCAUGUUUAGUUGUGCCAUAGCCGUUAGACCAAUAUGUUUGCAAAUUCCUUCAAAUUUACUACACAUGGAAUUAAAUCAUACACAAGUACACAAAUAUGAUUUUUCAAACCGUUAUGGUUAGCCGUUGCAUGUACGUACAUCUAGUUCUAAUUUGAAUUACGGUCAUUAAAUGGCCAGAAAAUCAUUUAAAUGUCUUCAAAAGGUCAAAUGACCCCUGAAAAUUUCCAAAAUUUGACAUGACAGUUGUAUUAGUGCACGUUACACGUAGAAAACAUUUGAACGCCGUAAGAGGAAGCUAUCUCCCGUUCAUCAUCAAACAUGCAUUGUUUCCUCUCGGAACCACAAGUCUUCUAGUGAGUUGCUCCAGUUUGUGAGAGGUGUGUGUUCAAACUUUCAUCAAACAUGCCAAUUUUUUUACCACAUCAUCUUGGUGGCAUGACAUUACGUCAACCAAUGUUUCAUGUGUUUCUGAUUUUUUUUUACAUUUUUUGGAAUUUAAAUGCCAUGGCACUCCAUGCUUAAUUGUGUCAUAGCCGUUAGACCAAUAUGUUUGAAAAUUCCUUCCAAUUUACUGCACAUGGAAUUAAAUUGACACAAGUACAUAAAAUAUGACUUUUCAAACCGUUAUGGUUAGCUGUUGCAUGUACAUGUAGUUCAAAUUUCAAUAACGGUCAUUAAAUGGCUAGAAAAUCACUUAAAUGUCUUAAAAGGUCAAAUGACCCUUGAAAUUUUCCAAAAUUUGACAUGAUAGUUGUUUUAGUACUACAAAUUUUCUCGUACAUUUAAAACACCAUCCGUUGCCACUUUACUCCAAAUUUGUCUUUCAUAGCUAAUAAAAAAUAUCUACAACAUCACACACAGUUGUUUUGUAGGAACCAUUUGCGAUGAAAAUAUCUGGUUCUAUUUAAGUCUUCCUCCUUUAGCUUCGCCGGCUCGUCUGCUCCAGUGCCGGCAACCCCCGAAUCCACGAAUCCCGACCCCCAUUCCUGCACCCCCUUCUUGCAAACAUGACGCCGUGGAAACGCUUCGUGAAGGCCCGUACGAUGGCCGCGUCCCCCCCAAGCGCGGACGCCUACGCCGAGAGUGCGGCCGCCUACACCGAGAAUGCCGCCGCAUCCGCAUUGAGCGCGGCCGCUUCCGCCGAGAGGGCGUCUGCGGCAGCCGACAGGGCAGCUGCAGCAGCCGAGACGGCUACAGCUGCUGCUGCGACGGCGGCCGCAAACGCCGAGAGUGCUCGAGCUGCCGUCCGUGCCGCUGAUGUUGCCCUGGCCCGGGUCGAGGCCAUCCACGCCAAGAUCGAGGAUGCACACGCCAAGAUAUUCCAGGCCACGUCGGAAUCCAGCAUGCAACCCACGUCCGAAAAGGCGGUGGUGGCCAUGGAGCACCUGCUUCCUCAUGAGGUCGCCGAGCGGGAGCUGGAGAUGCAAGAGGCAGCGGAGAUCGAGGAGCACCGGGAGAAGGAGUUGCGCGUGGCCGAGGUCGAGGUAGAGAGGAGUCUGUCCGUCGAGGAAUCAGCGGUGCGGUACCAACGCGAGCUCUGGCGCAGCCACUACUACGAGUACUACAACCUUGAGGGCGGCGCCGAUGAUGAGGACGAGGACGAGGUCGACUUCAGUAGGGGGGACGCGGAGUCCACCGACGGCGGCAUGUCGCUAGGACAAGUCUUCGACGUCUCAUCUCACACCGGCGAUGCAUAGGCCGGCAUGGUGGCGGAUUUGUUAAAAUUAUGCGUACUUAGGCUUUGUUUUUAAUGCUGGUCUUUUGUUAGAGCAAUGUUUAGGUCAACUGGCUCUGUUUAAUUACUAAAAUUGCUCGAUUCAGUAAGUGUGGUUCGUCUGCUGUACGCUCUUUUGUGUGCCCAAAUUAGCAAGCGAUGUUAAAUUAUGCAAUGACAUACCCGGGGAAAUUUCCACCAAAAUUUGAAUUAUCAAACUCAUCCCAUGCGCGUAAAGCAGAAGAAUCGUUUGUGAUGCACACAAUCGUUCAAAGUGAAUGGUCCGGCGGCACCGCGCGCUAAGUUUCCUUCCACAUUUCCAAAAUUUUGGCCUACCGCCAAAAUAUCUACCCCCGCCCCUCCCCCUUCCCACCCCCUUUUCUCCCUGACCACAAGUCGCAUUUCCACUGUUUCCUCCUUCCUUCCUUCCUAAGCUAUAGCCGCGUCCUCGCUUGCUUCUCGCUCUCGCCGUCUCGCAUCCUACCGCUGGGGUCGCCAUGGUCUUCUUCAAAGACCUCUCCAGCGGUUCCUCCUUCGACGACGACUCGUUCACCACCCGGGUAUGCCUCUCUUCUCUCUCUCUCUCGGCCUAUGACUUGGAAUGAAGGAUUUUUUACCCGGCGGUAAAUUUGAAUCAUUUCUUCCUCUUGUAGCUCCCUAGGACCAUCAGUGGCAACGAAUGGAGCGGGGUGGCUGAAGAUCUAUCUGCUUGUUGUCACCAUCAAUCUCCAUGCGUGAAGCUAGUUGCGUUUGAAUCUAUGGACAGUGGGAGGAAGUUUCUGGCAUGUGCAGAGAAGGUUAGACCCUCUUUCGUUGUUACAAAUCAUUUGUUAGAUGUGAUUCAGACACUAUCAUGGUCCCAACCCAUUCAUACCACACCUUCAACCAAACGCAUCCUAAGACAGUGUCACAGUUUGUACCUAGUAUCUAAAAUUGUUGCCAUCUCAUCAGCGGUGCCAUUAGAAAAUUAUUUGGCACCGCUUCAACAGUUUGUGCAGCCAACUUUGGUCCACACAUCCAAGCAACCAAGCAGUAAAACAAUAAAUCUGUAUGGCACGAAGGAACUAGGCAUUGGAGCAACUAGGUGCUCCGGAGUCCGGGUCCCUGAUUUUUUUCCGCUACAUCGGCUCGCCAGUGCAGGGCACCGGUGCGAGAUGUAGCAACAGUUGUCUUUACACCAAUUUUGGCAUACAUAGUGGACUUCCUUAGUGCUAUUAGUUCUAUGUUACUAAAUUUGUGCAUGUACACACCUGUUAGUAUCAAUUUGUUGUCAUCCAAACACUGUCGCUAUGUUGUUGAAGUUAUAUUUACCUUCCUCAUAAAAUGUUCAAUUUGUUAUUUAUUGUACAUGAGUAAGAACUUGUAGCAUUGUUGUAGUUAAUUAUAGCUUCUGAUGUUUUAGAAUUUGGUUGUUGUCUUAGUAGCAAUUAAUUCAUUUGCACAUUGAUCUUUUUGAGAAGAUAUGUCAUAAUUAACAUGUUUCUUCAGUUUUUCAAAAUAAGCAUUGGUGAUUUUCUAUGUUGCUAUAAACCCUUUUCCCCUACAAUUGUUACUGAUCUAGUUUUAAAUAUUAUAGGAUGAACGGAAGUGUUCUUACUUGGAGUGGGUUGAUCAAGAGUGGCCACAGUCUUUGAAGAUGUGCCUAGCAAAGCUCUGGAGCAUGUAUGAGGAAGAGAACAGAGGUAGGCUUAGAGAAAGUGUUGUCAACGCUGAAGAAUAUUUGUAGAUGCGGGAUAAAAAGAGGAAGGUGGAGAAUGAGCUCAGAUUUUUUAAAUCAGACUUUGCUAAGAUGGUGUUGGCGAAGGAGGAGGCACUUUCCGAGUUGGCCAGAGCAAAACAGGUUCUUACUGAACUGAAAGCAGAGGUGGAUAAGACGAGCCUGGAUGAUCUCGAUUAGGGAAAUGAAUAUAUUGUUCUAAUACUAUUCUUAUGAAGUUGAACUAGCUAUAUGUUGUAUUGUGCUGUUUUCAUGUAGCUAUCGUGCUGUGAUGUUAAAAUAUAUUUAUGUGCCUGAUAUGAAAUUGGCAAACAGCUGUUCGAUAUGAAAUGCGAAUUUGCUUAAUACUGGAAUUAUUAAUUGUAAACUAAUAAACCUGCUAAAUGUGUCAUGGAACUUUGCAAACAGUUCUAGCAGUAAAAAUGCUUGCGAUGGAUAGCCCAAUGCCACACUAUUUUUUUUUCAUCAAAUCGUGUGUGAUGUAGUUGAUAAAAGCAAACGGUUAACCAAGGCAGAGUGUGUGUGAUAGUUACACCUAUCACACACGAGCCUAUAAAUAAACCUGUGUGGGAUGUACAUAUAAACGAAAACGUUUUCCCUGGAUUAACUGUGCGGGAUGUACAUACGGACGGAAACAUUUUCCCUGGAUUAACUGUGUGGGAUGUACAUAAGAACGGAAACGUAUUCCUUGGAUUGACUGUGUGUGAUAUACAUACGAACGGGAAUGUUUUUCUGGAAUUCACCGUGUGGGAUGUACAUACGAACGGAAAUGAUUGGGUUUUGAUGCCUCGCCCGAUCGCACAUGGGCUCAUUUUGCCCCAGCCUGUGUCCCAGGAGGGCCUAUCCCCGACGGUUUCUGGGUCAUGUGGGAAGGACCCCCCUAUCGCCCACACUCGGUGACGGUUCCAAAUGCCGUCACGGAAAGGGGUUAAAAACCGUUUGUAUAGCACCGACGCAUACCGGUGAGACCCAAAGCCAGGACGGGCACAACCAAGAUGAAGAGGCCGACAACAUUGGCCAUGGCAACUCAUGGCAUGAGCAUCUAUUGCAAAGACGAACAAGAGGGCGUAGACAUUAAGGAGGAGCUAUUGUUUAUUGAUGAGCUCACUCAAAAGAGUCAUGCACAAAAUAGGAAGCAAAGCAUUCACACGAUAUCAUACACCGAAGAUGAGGACAUGUUAAUUUGCGAGAGUUGGAAGGAAAUAGGGCAAGAUCCCAAGACCANNNNNNNNNNNNNNNNNNNNNNNNNNNNNNNNNNNNNNNNNNNNNNNNNNNNNNNNNNNNNNNNNNNNNNNNNNNNNNNNNNNNNNNNNNNNNNNNNNNNNNNNNNNNNNNNNNNNNNNNNNNNNNNNNNNNNNNNNNNNNNNNNNNNNNNNNNNNNNNNNNNNNNNNNNNNNNNNNNNNNNNNNNNNNNNNNNNNNNNNNNNNNNNNNNNNNNNNNNNNNNNNNNNNNNNNNNNNNGACCUUUCAUGAACGUCGGAAGUUUCCACCCUACAAGUUUGCGAGCACUCGUGGCAUCAACUCAAUCCAAAAUAGAUGGGGGUUUAUCCAACAAGAAUGCAACAAGUUUGUGCCACGCUUGAGAGCAUUGAAGCAUGUCCUGUUAGUGGCCUAGGCGUGGGUGACUUUGUAUGACCUCUUCUCUUCAUUCCUAUGGCAUGUUCAUGUUUGUUGUGUUUUGUAUCCUUGCUAUUACAUUGCGGUAUUCUCUUUGAUUGUGUAAGAAUUCAAAACUUGGGAAGCCUUCAAGGUCCGGCAUGCGAACAAGCCAUUCACCCUCACCCAUUGUUGUACGCUCAUCAAAGAUUGCCCCAAAUUUAAACAUUAAUAUGCCGCUCUAAAGAAGAAUGGAGGAUCGGCUGCCAUGGUUGGGGAUGGAGAUGGGGUGAAGAGGUUGAGGGGCAAGACCAACUCAGAGGUGGAAGAGAAGCGUGAUGCGUCAUCUUUCGCCUUGCAAGAAACUUUGCAACACAUGAUGACCCAAGAGGAAGGAAGGGAUAAGAUGAAGCUCCAAGAAAAGGAGGAGAAAAUGAAGACCUACAUGGAGUUCCAAACAAAGAAGCUCGACAUGGAGGAGGUCAUCAAGAGGAGAAAGCUCGAGAUCGAUGAGGCCGUCCAAACGAAGAAGCUCGCGAUUGAGGCCACCAAUGCAAAGACCAAAGAAAAAGAGGCGGCGCUAGCUUUCAUGAUCGUGGACUUGAGCAGAAUGUCCCCGAAAAUAAGAAGUUUUCGACAAGAAGCCAAAGGAGAUGACCGAUCAAGAUGAGUGAGCCGGCUUGUGUUCCAGCAUGAACUAGCGAGGCCGCGAGACAUGAACUAUGGCCUUUUUUUAGGCUGGCAUGUGUGUCGGCCGCUAGCUUUGUUGCCGGCAUGAAAUUAUUGUUGGAAAUAUGCCCUAGAGGCAAUAAUAAAGUGGUUAUUAUUAUGUUUCCUUGUUCAUGAUAAUCGUUUAUUAUCCAUUCUAUAAUUUUAUUGACCGGAAACUCAAAUACAUGUGUGGAUACAUAGAAAACAACAUGUCCCUAGUAAGCCUCUACGGACUAGCUUGUUGAUCAAAGAUGGCUAUGGUUUCCUAGCCAUGGACACGAGUUGUCAUUUGAUAACGGGAUCACAUCAUUAGGAGAAUGAUGUGAUGGACAAGACCCAAACUAUGAAUGUAGCAUAUGAUCGUAUCAAGUUUAUUGCUAUCGUUUUUCUGCAUGUCAAGUAUAUAUAUGUUCCUAUGACCAUGAGAUCAUGCAACUCACUAACACCGGAGGAGUGCCUUGUGUGUACCAAACAUCGCAACGUAACUGGGUGACUAUAAAGGUGCUCUACAGGUAUCUCCGAGGGUGUCUAUUGAGUUGGCAUGGAUCAAGACUGGGAUUUGUCACUCCGUACGACGGAGAGGUAUCUCGGGGCCCACUCGGUAAUACAACGUCACAAUAAGCUUGCAAGCAAUGUGACCAAUGAGUUAGUCACGGGAUCUUGUAUUACGGAACGAGUAAAGAGACUUGCCGGUAACGAGAUUGAACUAGGUAUGGAGAUACCCACGAUCGAAUCUCGGGCAAGUAACAUAUCGAUAGACAAAGGGAACUGCAUACGGGAUUAGCCGAAUCCUUGACAUCGAGGUUUGACCGAUAAGAUCUUAGAAUAUGUAGGAACCAAUAUGGGCAUCCAGGUCCAGCUAUUGGUUAUUGACCUUAGAGGUGUCUCGGUCAUGUCUGCAUAGUUCUCGAACCCGCAAGGUCUACACACUUAAUGUUUGGUGACGAUAUAAGUAUAGUUGAGUCAUUAUGGUGUUUACCGAAGGUUAUUCUGAGUCUUGGGUGAGAUCCCGGACGUGACGAGGAACUCCGGAAUGGUCCGGAGGUGAAGAUUGAUAUAUUGGACGAAGGGUAUUGGAGUCCGAAAUUGUUCCGGGGGUACCAGAUGAUGACCAGCGUCACCGAAAGGGGUUUCGGGGGCCCCCGACAAGUGUUGGGGGGCCCCAUGGGCCAAGGGGAUGGGGCAAACCGGCCCACUAAGGGGCUGAGCGCCCCCCUCACCCCAUCCCAUGUAACCAGGAGGGUUGGGGCGCCCCCUAGGGCUUCCCACCUCCCGGCUUGGGGGGGGGGGCAAGCCACCCUAGGGAAGAUCCCAUCUGCCCUGGCCGCCGCCCCUAGGGGCGCCACCCCCUCCUCCCUUCCCCUAUAUAUAGAGAGGUAGAGAGAGGGCAUUUGCACCCCUUGAGCACAUCUCCACGCCACGACGCUGCCUCUCCUCUUCCUCACAUCCCUCUUCUUCUCUGUAGUGCUUAGCGAAGCUCUGCCGAGAUUUCUCCACCACCACCACCACCACCACGCCGUCAUGCUACCGGAGGACUCGAGCUACUACUUCACCAUCGCUCGCUGGAUCAAGGAGGUGAAGGCAUCAUCAACAAUACGUGUGUUGAAUGCGGAGGUGCCGUCCGUUUGGCACUUGGAUCGGGAGUUCGUUGGACGGAUCGUGAUUGGAUCGCGAAGACGUUCGACUACAUCAACCGCAUUUCUUAACGCUUACGCUUAGCGAUCUACAAGGGUAUGUAGAUCCAAUCUCUCCUCCCGUAGAUGGUCAUCUCCUAGAUUGGAUCUUGCUAAGCGUAGGAAUUUUUUUGUUUCCCAUGCAACGUUCCCCGACAGUGGCAUCAUGAGCUAGGUCUAUGCAUAGAUGAAAUCAUGAGUAGAACACAAAGGAGUUUGUGGGUGUUGAUAUUCAGAUUGCUUCCUUCCUUGGUCUUUUCUUGAUUCAGCGGUAUUGUGGGAUUAAGCGGCCCGUACCAACUUUAUAUGUCCACGUACAUGAGACCGGUUCCAUCGACUGACAUGUGACUUUGUUGCAUAAAGAUGGCUGGUAGGUGACUGUCUCUCCCACCUUAGUUGAAUCAGAUUCGACAAAGGCGGUCCUAGUAGAAGGUUAAAUAGAAACUUGCAUAUCACCAUUGUGGCUUUGUGUAGGUAAGAAUCAUUUUUGCUAGAUACCCCUUGUUUUUGCAGGGUAUGUUGUGAUAUGAUAUGGCCAAAUAUAUGAUGAAAUAUAUUUGAUGUAUGAGAUGAUCAUGUUUGUAAUAGUUUGUAAUAGUUUAUAUCGACUUGCAUGUCGAUGCAUACGGCAACCAGCAGGAGCCAUAGGGUUGUCUUUAAUUAUUGUAUGACCUGCGUGUCAAUCAUUAAGCGCUAUGUAAUGCUUUACUUUAUCGCUAAGCAGUAGCAAUAGUAGUAGAAGCAUGCUUGGCGUGACAACCCCAAUGGUGGCACGAUGAUGGAGAUCAUGGUGUCAUGCCGGUGACGAUGGAGAUCAUGCCAGUGCUUCAAGAUGGAGAUCAACAACACAAGUUGAUGGCCAUAUCAUGUCACUUAUGAUUUGCAUGUGAUGUUAAUCCUUUUAUGCAUCUUAUUUUGCUUAGGACGACGGUAGCAAUAUAAGGUGAUCCCUCACUAAAUUUCAAGAUAAAAUUGUGUUCUCCCCAAGUGUGCACCGUUGCGAAAGUUCGUCGUUUCGAAGCACCACGUGAUGAUCGGGUGUGAUGGACUCUACGUUCACAUACAACGGGUGCAAGCUAGUUUUGCACAUGCGGAACACUUGGGUUAAACUUGACAAGCCUAGCAUGUACAAACAUAGCCUGGAACACAAGAGAACGAAAGGUCGAACACGAGUCAUAUAGUAGAUAUGAUCAACAUGGAGAUGUUCACCAUUGAAACCACCUCAUCUCAUGUGAUGAUCGGACUUGGGUUGGUGAAUUUGGAUCAUGUUACACUCGGACAAUCGGAGGGAUGUUGAUUUGAGUGGGAGUUGAUGUCUACUACGCAACCUUCUUCUUGUAGACUCGUGUUGGGCCUCCAAGCGCAGAGUUUUGUAGGAUAGUAGCAAAUUUCCCUCAAGUGGAUGACCUAAGUGAAGGAAAUAUGCCCUAGAGGCCAUAAUAAAGUUGUUAUUUUAUAUUUCCUUAUUCAUGAUAAAGGUUUAUUAUUCAAGCUAGAAUUGUAUUGACCGAAAACCUAAUACAUGUGUGAAUACAUAAACAAACACUGUGUCCCUAGUGAGCCUCUACUUGACUAGCUCGUUGAUCAAAGAUGGUUAAGUUUUCCUAACCAUAGACAUGAGUUGUCAUUUGAUAACGGGGUCACAUCAUUACAGAAUGAUGUGAUGGACAUGACCCAUCUGUUAGCUUAGCAUAUUGAUCGUUCAGUUUUAUUGCUAUUGCUUUCUUCACGUCAAAUACAUAUUCCUUCUACUAUGAGAUUAUGCAACUCCCGGAUACCGGAGGAAUACCUUGUGUGCUAUCAAACGUCACAACGUAACUGGGUGAUUAUAAAGAUGCUCUACAGGUAUCUCCGAAGGUGUUUGUUGGGUUGGCAUAGAUCGAGAUUAGGAUUUGUCACUCCAAGUAUCGGAGAGGUAUCUCUGGGCCCUCUCGGUAAUGCACAUCAUAAGAAGCCUUGCAAGCAUAGUGACUAAUGAGUUAGUUGCGGGAUGAUGUAUUACAGAACGAGUAAAGAGACUUACUGGUAACGAUAUUGAACUAGGUAUGAAGAUACCAACGAUCGAAUCUCGGGCAAGUAACAUACCGAUGACAAAGGGAAUUACGUAUGUUGUCAUAACGGUUCGACCGAUAAAGAUCUUUGUAGAAUAUGUAGGAGCCAAUAUGAGCAUCCAGGUUCUGCUAUUGGUUAUUGACCGGAGAGGUGUCUCGGUCAUGUUUACAUAGUUCUCAAACCCGUAGGGUCCGCACGCUUAACGUUCGAUGACGAUUUAGUAUUAUAUGAGUUAUGUGAUUUGGUGACCGAAUGUUGUUCGGAGUCCCGGAUGAGAUCAUGGACAUGACGAGGAGUCCUGAAAUGUUCGAGAGGUAAAGAUUGAUAUAUAGGAUGAUAGUAUUCCCUUUUCUCUCCGGCUAAAAACGGAAGGGGGGAGGCCGAAUAGGAGGAGGCCCCCAAGUAGGAUUCCUCCUACUUGGGGCGCCCCAUGGCUGCUCCCCUCCCUCUCCCACCUAUAUAUACGUGGGGAGGGGGCGCAUAGAACACACACCAACAAUUGUUAGCUGUGUGCGGUGCCCCCUCCACAGUUUAUGCCUCCGGUCAUAUCUUCGUAGUGCUUAGGCGAAGCCCUGCGCGGAUCACUUCACCAUCACCGUCACCACACCGUCGUGCUGACGGAACUCAUCUUCUUCCUCGACACCUUUGCUGGAUCAAGAGGGCGAGGGACGUCAUCGAGCUGAACGUGUGCAGAACUCGGAGGUGCCGUACAUUUGGUGCUUGAUCGGUCGGAUCUAGAAGAAGUUUGACUACAUCAACCGCAUUGUCAAACGCUUCCGCUUUAGGUCUAUGAGGGUACAUGGACACACUCUCCCCUUCUCGUUGCUAUGCAUCUCCUAGAUAGAUAUUGCGUGAGCAUAGGAAUAUUUUUGAAGUUGCUUGCUACGUUUCCCAACAGUGGUAUCAGAGCCAGGUCUAUGCGUAGAUGAUAUGCAUGAGUAGAACACAAAGAGUUGUGGGCGGUGAUCGUCAUACUGCUUACCACCAAUGUCUUAUUUUGAUUCAGCGGUAUUGUUGGAUGAAGCGGCCCGGACCAACCUUACAUGACCACGUUCAUGAGACCGGUUCCACCGACAGACAUGCAACUAGUUUUGCAUAAAGGUGGCUGGCGGGUGUCUGUUUCUCCUACUUUGGUUGAAUCGAAUUUGACUGCGGCCGUUCCUUGUUGAAGGUUAAAACAGCAAACUUGAUAAAUCAACGUUGUGGUUUUUGUGCCAUAGGUAAGAACGAUUCUUGCUAGAAGCCCAUAACAGCCACGUAAAACUUGCAACAACAAAGUAGAGGACGUCUAACUUGUUUUUGUAGGGCAUGUUGUGAUGUGAUAUGGUCAAGACAUGAUGUGAUAUACAUUAUUGUAUGAGAUUAUCAUGUUUUGUAAAAUUUACUGGCAAUCGGCAGGACCCUUAUGGUUGUCUCUUUAUUGUAUGAAAUGCAAAUGCCAUGUAAUUGCUUUACUUUAUCACUAUGCGUUAGCGAUAGUUGUAGAAGCAAUAGUUGGCGAGACGACCACGACGCUACGAUGGAGAUCAAGGUGUCAAGCUAGUGAAGAUGGAGUUCAUGACGAUGCUUUGGAGAUGGAGAUCAAAAGCACAAGAUGAUGAUGGCCAUAUCAUGUCACAUAUUUUGAUUGCAUGUGAUGUUUAUCUUUUAUGCAUCUUAUUUUGCUUAGUACAGCGGUAGCAUUAUAAGAUGAUCCCUUCACUAAAUUUCAAGGUAUAAGUGUUCUCCCUGAAUAUGCACCGUUGCAACAGUUGAUCGUGUUGAGACACCACGUGAUGAUCGGGUGUGAUAGACUCUACGUUCACAUACAAAGGGUACAAGACAGUUUUGCACCGCUAUGUGACACACCUAUUACAGGAGCAGAUGUAGACGUUAUGAAUGUUUGGCAAGCUCAUAAUGAUGACUACUUGAUAGUUUAGUGCACUGAUACGUCUCCAACGUAUCUAUAAUUUAUGAAGUAUUCAUGCUAUUAUAUUAUCCAUCUUGGAUGUUUAAUGGGCUUUACUAUGCACUUUUAUAUUAUUUUUGGGACUAACUUAUUAACCCAGAGCCCAGUGCGAGUUUCUGUUUUUUCCCUUGUUUCAGUGUUUCGCAGAAAAGGAAUAUCAAAUGGAGUCCAAACGGAAUGAAACCUUCAGGAGAGUUAUUUUUGGAACGGAAGCAAUCCAGGGGACUUGGAGUGCACGUAAGGGAAGCAACGAGGAAGGCACGAGGCAGGGGGCGCGCCCACCCCCUGGGCGCGCCCUCCACCCUCGUGGGCCCCUUGUGGCUCCCCUGACCGACUUCUUUCGCCUAUAGAUAUCCAUAUACCCUAAAACCAUCGGGGAACAGAAUAGAUCGGGAGUUCCGCAGCCGCAAGCCUCAGUAGCCACCAAAAACCAAUCGGGUCCCUGUUCCGGCACCCUGCCGGAGGGGGGAUCCCUCACUGAUGGCCAUCUUCAUCAUCCCGGCGCUCUCCAUGACGAGGAGGGAGUAGUUCACCCUCGGGGCUGAGGGUAUGUACCAGUAGCUAUGUGUUUGAUCUCUCUCUCUCUCUCUCUCUCUCUCUCUCUCUCUCGUGUUCUUGAGGUGAUACGAUCUUGAUGUAUCGCGUGCUUUGCUAUUAUAGUUGGAUCUUAUGAUGUUUCUCCGCCUCUACUCUCUUGUAAUAGAUUGAGUUUUCCCUUUGAAGUUAUCUUGUCGGAUUGAGUCUUUAAGGAUUUGAGAACACUUGAUGUAUGUCUUGCCGUGCUUAUCUGUGGUGACAAUGGGAUAUCACGUGAUCCACUUGAUGUAUGUUUUGGUGAUCAACUUCCGGGUUCCGCCUAUGAACCUAUGCAUAGGGGUUGGCACACGUUUUCGUCUGACUCUCCGGUAGAAACUUUGGGGCAAUCUUUGAAGUACUUUGUGUUGGUUGAAUAGAUGAAUCUGAGAUUGUGUGAUGCAUAUCGUAUAAUCAUACCCACGGAUACUUGAGGUGACAUUGGAGUAUCUAGGUGACAUUAGGGUUUUGGUUGAUUUGUUUCUUAAGGUGUUAUUCUAGUACGAACUCUAUGGUAGAUCGAACGGGAAGAAUAGCUUCAUGUUAUUUUACUACGGACUCUUGAAUAGAUCAAUCAGAAAGGAUAACUUUGGGGUGGUUUCGUACCCUACCAUAAUCUCUUCGUUUGUUCUCCGCUAUUAGUGACUUUGGAGUGACUCUUUGUUGCAUGAGGGAUAGUUAUAUGAUCCAAUUAUGUUAUUAUUGUCGAGAGAACUUGCACUAGUGAAAGUAUGAACCCUAGGCCUUGUUUCCUAGCAUUGCAAUACCGUUUGUGCUCACUUUUAUCAUUAGUUACCUUGCUGUUUUUAUAUUUUCAUAUUACAAAAACCUAUAUCUACCAUCCAUAUUGCACUUGUAUCACCAUCUCUUCGCCGAACUAGUGCACCUAUACAAUUUACCAUUGUAUUGGGUGUGUUGGGGACACAAGAGACUCUUUGUUAUUUGGUUGCAGGGUUGUUUGAGAGAGACCAUCUUCAACCUACGCCUCCCACGGAUUGAUAAACCUUAGGUCAUCCACUUGAGGGAAAUUUGCUACUGUCCUACAAACCUCUGCACUUGGAGGCCCAACAACGUCUACAAGAAGAAGGUUGUGUAGUAGACAUCAAGCUCUUUUUUGGCGCCGUUGCCGGGGAGGUGAGUGCUUGAAGGUAUAUCUUUAGAUCUUGCAAUCGAAUCUUUUAGUUUCUUGUUUUAAUCACUAGUUUAGUCUAUAAAAGAAAACUACAAAAAAUGGAAUUGAGUUUUUCCAUAUGCUUCAUCUUUUUAAUAUCUUUCGUGAGUAUGAUGGAAAGGAAAAUUGUGCCAAAGUGUUAGAAGAAGAAUGCAUUAAAAUGUUUGGCACUAAAUCUUUGAAUGAUGAGCAUGAUUGCAAUGUUGUUGGUAUGAACUCUUUGAAUAUCCAUAGUACUAAUGAUGAUUGCACUAGUCAUGAUGGAAAUAUCUCUUAUAAGCAUGUCAUCUUUUGUGGAAUACAUACAGUUUGCAAGUACACACCAAUUAGAGAAGAUAGAUUUUGCAAGAGGCAUAAAUACUUAGAAACUAAAUGGUUGCAAGAAAGGCUAGAUGUUUGUGCUGAAAAUUUAAAUUUUCUUAGCCAUACUUGUGAACUUUGCAAUGAACGUGGUCAUUCAACUAUCCGAUGCAAAUUGUUUCAUGAUCUAAUCCCAAAAAUUGUGAUGACUUGAUUUCCCUUGCACAUCAUAAUGAACUUAGUUUGCUUAUGGGUUAUGAAGAAAUGAAACGUAUAACUAACUAUCUUCCAGUAUUUGCCCGUGAUAAACUUCUUGAUUUUGAUCUAGAGGAAAUUUAUAUGUAUUGUGCAGUGAAUUGCAUUGAAAAUCCUUAUAUUGUCAAUUACAUAAAGAAAAGAAAGCAAAUAGAAGAUGAAGAGAACACUGAUGAAAGGGAAGAUACUUCCCAAUGUCCUCCUAUUAUUUCUUAUGAUGAAUCAGGUAACAAGGAGGAGCUUUCUAUUCAACCAAUCUCAUCAAUAAGGAGCUCAAAAAAGAGGGAUAAACCCACAAAUGAUGUGAAGAAGAAAAAGAAAAAAAUGGAGUAGCAAAGGUAAAAAGGUAUCCCUCCCAAAUGAUGUUGCUCCUACUACUCAUUGUGAUGAUGAUAAUUGCUAUACUAUUGGUGCUAUCCAUACUAUUAAUGAUGAGAGUGAUUAUGCUUAUGAUAUGAAAAGGCCCAAGCUUGGGGAUGCUAUGUUUAAUGAGGAUGACAUAUUUGAGAAUAUAUUUGCUAAAAUUAAUGUUUGUCCCAAGCUUGGGGAUGCUAUGUUUAAUGAAGAUGAUAUUUUUAGCCUCCCAAGUUUUGAUAUGCAAAGUUGUUAUGAUGAUAGCAUGCCUUCUACCUAUGAUGAUUAUAUUGAUGAAAGUGGGUUUGGAAGAGUGUAAACUUUAGGAAGUAAUGAUCCCACUAUUUUGGAGGAUGUUGAAUCUUAUAAUAAUUAUGAAAGUGGAUUUGGAGAGGUCAUGACUUUAUUUAGUGAUGAAUCCACUAUUUCGGAAGAGGUUUCAAUUGAUUAUGAGAACAAAGUUGCUACUUAUGAUGUUUAUUGUGAUGGUACUUAUGCUAUAAAAAGUAGUGAUGAUUAUAUUUAUAAAACUUGUCAUGAUUAUGAUUACCCUUUUUCUGAACAUUACUCUUUUAAUGUGGAAACAAUUUAUAGUAUUCAAGUCUCUUAUGAUACUCCCACUAUUCCGAAUGAGAAGAAUUUUGCUUAUGUGGAGAUUAGUAAAAUUUCUAUGCAAGUAGAUCAUGAAAAGAAUGCUUUAGGUGAUGGUUAUAUUGUUGAAUUCAUUCAUGAUGCUACUGAAAGUUAUUAUGAGGGAGGAAUGUAUGCUUGUAGGAAUUGCAAUAAUAUCAAGUUUCCUCUCUAUGUGCUUAAAAUCUUGAAGUUAUGCUUGUUUUACCUCCCUAUGCAAGUUGAUUCUUGUUCCCAUAAGUUGUUUACUCACAAAUUCCCUAUGCAUAGGAAGUGGGUUAGACUUAAAUGUGCUAGUCAUAUUCUUCAUGAUGCUCUCUUUAUGUUUCGAUUCUUAUCUUUUAUGUGAGCAUCAUUGAAAUCAUCAUGCCUAGCUAGGGGCGUUAAACGUUAGCGCUUGUUGGGAGGCAACCCAAUUUUAUUUUUGUUUCUUACUUUUUGGUUCUGUUUAGUAAUAAAUAAUUCAUCUAGCCUCUGGUUAGAUGUGGUUUUAUGUUUUAAUUAGUGUUUGUGCCAAGUAAGACCUAUAGGAUCUUCUUGGAUGAUAGUUAUUUGAUCUUGCUGAAAAUUCCAGAAACUUUCUGUUCACGAAAACAAUUGUUUAAAAUCACCAGAACGUGAUAAAAUACAGAUUCCAAUUGCAGCAGAUCAAUAAUCAAAUUAUCUAGGUCUUCCUGGUUUUGUAGAAUUUUUUGAGUUCCAGAAGUUUGCGUUAGUUACAGAUCACUACAGACUGUUCUGUUUUUGACAGAUUCUGUUUUUCGUGUGUUGUUUGCUUAUUUUGAUGAACCUAUGGCUAGUAAAAUAGUUUAUAAACCAUAGAAAAGUUGGAAUAAAGUAUAUUUAACACCAAUAUAAAUAAAAAAUGAGUUCAUUAUAGUACCUUGAAGUGGUGUUUUGUUUUCUUUCGCUAACGGAGCUCACGAGAUUUUCUGUUAAGUUUUGUGUUGUGAAGUUUUCAAGUUUUGGGUAAAUAUUCGAUGGACUAUGGAAUAAGGAGUGGCAAGAGCCUAAGCUUGGGGAUUCCCAAGGCACCCCAAGGUAAUAUUCAAGGACAACCAAAAGCCUAAGCUUGGGGAUGCCCCGGAUGGCAUCCCCUCUUUCGUCUUCGUUCAUCGGUAACUUUACUUGGAGCGUCAUUUUAUUUUCUUUUGUUUUGCUUGCUGUUAUUUAGAAUAAUGUUUUGCAUCUAUAUUUUCAAUAAAAAUGUCAAGGAUAGCCUUUACCAUGCUUAUUUUGCAAGUAUACAUGUUGCUGUUUCAAAACAGAAAGUUUACCGCUGUUGCAAAAAUUCCCUAGAAAAGUAAGAAUGUGAUAAAAUGUUGAAACCUUUUGCAUAAUAAGCUCUGAUAAAUUUACUACAGUGGGAAGUUUCUUUAAUAAUUUUUGGAUCUAGAGAAGUAUGGAUCUUGCUGCAUUCUUUACAGACUGUCCUGUUUAGGCAGAUUGCUGUUAUGUUUGCAUUGUUUGCAUAUGUUUGCUUGUUUAAUGAUUCUAUUUGAGGAUGGGACUAUUAAAUAUGGAGAGGCAUUUAGUAUGCAAUGUUGAAUAAUAAUUUUAGUGAUUUGCUACAGUAGAGUAUGAUAAGGUUUUUGCAUUGGUUUAUACUAACUUAUCUCACGAGUCCUUGUUGAGUUUUGUGUGGAUGAAGCUUUCGAGAUUUAGGAAACCGUGAUAUGAGAGGAAUUAAGGAGACACAAAAACUCAAGCUUGGGGAUGCCCAAGGCAUACCAAGAUAAUAUUUCAAGAAGUCUCAAGCAUCUAAGCUUGGGGAUGCCCCGGUAGGCAUCCCACCUUUCUUCUUCAACAAUUAUCGGUUAGUAUCGGUUGAGCCUAAGUUUUUGCUUCUUCACAUGAUGAGUGCUAUCCUUGAAAUGUCAUUUUAUUUUGUUUUGCUUGCUGUUUGAAUAAUAUCCCAAGAUCUGAAAUUCUUAAAUGAGAGAGAGUCUUCACAAAGCUACAUAAUUAUUUAACUACUCAUUGAUCUUCACUUAUAUCUUUUUGGAGUAGUUUGUCAUUUACUCAUGUGCUUCACUUAUAUCCUAUGAGUAAAUGGUUGAAUGAUUUGAAUGUCAUAAAUCUGAAAUUAUAUAUGUUUCAUAUGCCUUUCCCAUGGGGAGUAAUGGCUUCACAUAUAAGAAGUAGAGGUGGUAAAUUUUUCGAAGGUUAGCAAACAUUGUAUUGGUCACUUGAACAAUUCAUGAAAGAAUAUUGAAGGAAGAGAGAUUUCACAUAUAAAUAUACUAUCUUGGACAUCUUCUAUGAUUGUGAGCCCCAUUAAUUAUUUUUAAACCUGAGCAAAUUAGUUGAAGCUAGACAAGGAAGACAACAUAAUGAGUUAUGCUUGGGUAUAUUUGUAUAGAAGUUAUAUUGUUAUGGAUCCUCUAACAUGUGGUGCUUGUUAUUUAGAAUCCUUUGCUAGCCAAAAUAUCUGUACUAAGCGGGAAUACUGCUUGUGCACCCAAAUUCAUUGAACCAAGUUUAUUCCAUGAGUGUCCACCAUAUCUACCUAUAUACGGAAUUUACCUACCGUUCCAAGUAAAUUUGCAUGUGCCAAACUCUAAACCAUCAAAUAAUAAUUUGUUUUGUAUGCCCAAUCGCUCAUGUAGCGACUAGGGGCUGUCAGUAUCUUCCAUGCUAGGUGGGUUAUUCUCACGGUGAGUGGACUCCGCUCAUCAUUCACGAGAAAAUGGCUGGUAACUGGGAUGCCCAGUCCUAUGAUCAAAAGAUCAAAAACAAAUUCGCAAAUAAUUUAAACAAACUCCCCCAGGAUUGUUGAAAGUUGGACGGCACCCGUUGUUUCGGACAAGCCGUGGAGUGUGAUUGUUGGUGGAGGGGGAGUAAAAUCUUUACCAUUCUGUUUGGGAACCGCCUAUAAUGUAUCUAGUAUGGAAGAUAUUGAGAACUCUUGGUCGUUAUGUUGACAAUGAAAGCAUACCUCUCAAAAUUAUUUUCAUCUCUGUUUUUGCUUCGAGCUCUGGCACCUCUGCAAAUCCCUGCUUCCCUCUGCGAAGGGCCUAUCUUUUACUUUUAUGCAAGAGUCAGUAGUAUUCUUUCUCAUUCCAACCUACUUUUUAGUUGGCAAGCAUCAUGUGGUGGAGAAAGAUCUAAGCAUAUAUGGCCAUUCAAAUAUAUUUGAGCAUGAAUUAUUACUGUUGACAUUACCCUUGAGGUAAAAGGUUGGGAGGCGAAACAUUAAGCCCCUAUCUUUCUCUGUGUUUGAUGAAUACUAUUUGUUCUAAAAAUAUGCUUUGAGUGGUAGCAAUCAUGGAAGACUAAAUGAUAGUUGAGUAUGUGGAGUUUGCUAAAUCAAAGCUCUGACAUAGACUCUUCCUGAAAAUAAGAUGAAUUGUAAUUGUUUGAUGACUAAUAACACGGUUUGUUAGUUUUCAAGAAAGUUUAUGAUCUAUACUUUAACAUGUGAAUAGUUUGUUACUUGAUCAUGCAAAGUUCUAUGAGUUGAGCUACUGUUAUGACAUAUAAUGAUGCUAGAAAAGGUGAUUGAAAUUAUCAUUGAUCAAACUUAUGCACCUGCUAGCAUUCACACUUCAUAAAUUCUUUUUUUAUCAUUUACCUACUCGAGGACGAGCAGGAAUUAAGCUUGGGGAUGCUGAUACGUCUCCAACGUAUCUAUAAUUUAUGAAGUAUUCAUGCUAUUAUAUCAUCCAUCUUGGAUGUUUAAUGGGCUUUACUAUGCACUUUUAUAUUAGUUUUGGGACUAACUUAUUAACCCAGAGCCCAGUGCCAGUUUCUGUUUUUUCCCUUGUUUCAGUGUUUCACAGAAAAGGAAUAUCAAACGGAGUCCAAACGGAAUGAAACCUUCAGGAGAGUUAUUUUUGGAACGGAAGCAAUCCAGGGGACUUGGAGUGCACGUAAGGGAAGCAACGAGGAAGGCACGAGGCAGGAGGCGCGCCCUCCACCCUCGUGGGCCCCUCGUGGCUCCCCUGACCGACUUCUUUCGCCUAUAUAUAUCCAUAUACCCUAAAACCAUCGGGGAACAUAAUAGAUCGGGAGUUCCGCCGCCGCAAGCCUCAGUAGCCACCAAAAAACCAAUCGGGUCCCUGUUCCGGCACCCUGCCGGAGGGGGGAUCCCUCACCGAUGGCCAUCUUCAUCAUCCUGGCGCUCUCCAAGACGAGGAGGGAGUAGUUCACCCUCGGGGCUGAGGGUAUGUACCAGUAGCUAUGUGUUUGAUCUCUCUCUCUCUCUCGUGUUCUUGAGGUGAUACGAUCUUGAUGUAUCGCAUGAUUUGCUAUUAUAGUUGGAUCUUAUGAUGUUUCUCCCCCUCUACUCUCUUGUAAUGGAUUGAGUUUUCCCUUUGAAGUUAUCUUGUCGGAUUGAGUCUUUAAGGAUUUGAGAACACUUGAUGUAUGUCUUGCCGUGCUUAUCUGUGGUGACAAUGGGAUAUCACGUGAUCCACUUGAUGUAUGUUUUGGUGAUCAACUUGCGGGUUCUGCCCAUGAACCUAUGCAUAGGGGUUGGCACACGUUUUCGUCUCGACUCUCCGGUAGAAACUUUGGUGCACUCUUUGAAGUACUUUGUGUUGGUUGAAUAGAUGAAUCUAAGAUUGUGUGAUGCAUAUCGUAUAAUCAUACCCAUGGAUACUUGAGGUGACAUUGGAGUAUCUAGGUGACAUUAGGGUUUUGGUUGAUUUGUUUCUUAAGGUGUUAUUCUAGUACGAACUCUAUGAUGGAUCGAACGGGAAGAAUAGCUUCAUGUUAUUUUACUACGGACUCUUGAAUAGAUCGAUCAGAAAGGAUAACUUUGAGGUGGUUUCGUACCCUACCAUAAUCUCUUCGUUUGUUCUCCGCUAUUAGUGACUUUGGAGUGACUCUUUGUUGCAUGUUGAAGGAUAGUUAUAUGAUCCAAUUAUGUUAUUAUUGUUGAGAGAACUUGCACUAGUGAAAGUAUGAACCCUAGGCCUUGUUUCCUAGCAUUGGAAUACUGUUUGUGCUCACUUUUAUCAUUAGUUACCUUGCUGUUUUUAUAUUUUCAUAUUACAAAAACCUAUAUCUACCAUCCAUAUUGCACUUGUAUCACCAUCUCUUCGCCGAACUAGUGCACCUAUACAAUUUACCAUUGUAUUGGGUGUGUUGGGGACACAAGAGACUCUUUGUUAUUUGGUUGCAGGGUUGUUUGAGAGAGACCAUCUUCAACCUACGCCUCCCACGGAUUGAUAAACCUUAGGUCAUCCACUUGAGGGAAAUUUGCUACUGUCCUACAAACCUCUGCACUUGGAGGCCCAACAAUGUCUACAAGAAGAAGGUUGUGUAGUAGACAUCAUGCACCAUGCUUUACAGCUUGGAACCGGGACUUCAAACUUUUGUUUUGAAACGCCAUGGAGCAUAUGAGAUGUUCCAAGAGCUGAAAUUUGUAUUUCAAACUCAUUCCCGUGUCGAGAGGUAUGAAACCUUUGACAAGUACUUUGCCUACAAGAUGGAGGAAAAUAGCUCAACUAGUGAGCAUGUGCUCAGAAUGUCUUGGUACUACAAUCGCGUGAAUCAAGUGGGAGUUAAUCUUCCAGAUAAGAUAGUGAUUUACAAAAUUCUCUAGUCACUAUCACCAAGCUACUAGAACUUUGUGAUGGGGAAAAUUUUGUUUUUGCCACUCUAGAUUUUGCCAAUUUUCCUUAUGCCACUCUAGAAUUUGACAUUUCACUUUUGCCACUCUUAGUUUUUGACAAUUAUCACAAUUGCCAUUCCGGUGGUAAAAGCAAAAUUUUCAAAGUGGUAAUUAUGAUAAUUUUCAAAAGCUAAGAGUGGCAAAAAUGAAAUAAAAUCUAGAGUGGCAUAAGAAAAAUUGGCAAAAUCUAGAGUGGCAAAAACAAAAUUUUCCCUUUGUGAUGAACUAUAAUAUGCAAGGGAUGACGAAAAUGAUUCUCGAGCUCGUCGCGAUGCUGAAAUUAGUGAAGGUAGAAAUCAAGAAAGAGCAUCAAGUGUUGAUGAUUAACAAGACCACUAGUUCAUAAAAAGGGCAAGGGAAAGAAAGGGAACAUCAAGAAGAAUGGCAAGCAAGUUGCCACUCCCAUGAAGAAGCCUAAAGCUGGACCCAAGUCUAAAACUGAUUGCUUCUACUACAAAGGAAAUGGUCACGAGAAGCGGAACUGCCCCAAAAAUUUGGCGGGUAAGAAGGAUGGCAAAGUGAACAAAGGUAUGUUUGAUAUACAGAUUAUUGAUGUGUACCUUACUAGUGUUCGUAGUAGCCCCUGGGUAUUUGAUACCGGUUCAGUUGCUAAGAUAAGUUACUCAAAACAGGAGUUGCAAAAUGAAUAAAGAUUAGUUAAGGGCAAGGUGAUGAUGUGUGUUGGAAGUGAUUCCAGGGUUGAUAAGAUCGCCAUCGCACACUCUUCGGGAUUAGUGUUGGACCUAAAUAAAUGUUAUUUGGUGUUUGCGUUGAGCAUGAAUAUGAUUGGAUCAUGUUUAUUGCAAUACAGUUAUUCAUUUAAGUCAGAGAAUAAUUGUUGUUCUGUUUACAUGAAUAACCUUCUAUGGUCAUACACCCAAUGGAAAUGGUUUAUUGAAUGUCGAUCAUAGUGAUACACAUAUUCAUAAUAUUUAUUCCAAAAGAUGCAAAGUUGAUAAUGAUAGUGCAACAUAUUAGUGGCACAGCCGUUUAGGUCAUAUUGGUGUAAAGCGCAUGAAGAAACUCCAUGCAGAUGGACUUUUGGAAUUACUUGAUUAUGAAUCAUUUGAUACUUGCGAACCAUGCCUCAUGGGCGAGAUGACUAUAACUCCGUUCUCUGGAACAAUGGAGCGAGCCAAUGACUUAUUGGAAAUAAUACAUACCGAUGUAUGCGGUCCGAUGAGUGUUGAAGCACGCGGCGGGUAUCAUUAUUUUCUGACCUUCACAGAUAAUUUGAGUAGACAUGGGUAUAUCUACUUAAUGAAAUACAAGUCUGAAACAUUUGAAAAGUUCAAAGAAUUUCAGAGUGAAGUGGAGAAUCAUCGUAACAAGAAAAUAAAGUUUCUACAAUCUGAUCGCGGAGGCGAAUAUUUGAGUUAUGAGUUUAGCCUUCAUUUAAAACAAUGUGGAAUAGUUUCACAACUCACGCCACCUGGAACACCAUAGCGUAAUGGUGUGUCUGAAUGUUGUAACCGUAGUUUAUUAGAUAUGGUGCGAUCUAUGAUGUCUCUUACCGAUUUACCACUAUCAUUUUGGGAUUAUGCAUUAGAGACAACCGCAUUCACGUUAAAUAGGGCACCGUCUAAAUCCGUUGAGACGACAUCGUACGAACUAUGGUUUGGCAAGAAACCUAAGCUGUCGUUUCUUAAAGUUUGGGGUUGCACUUAUGUCUAAAGGCUUCAGCCUGAUAAGCUCGAACCCAAAUCAGAGAAGUGCGUCUUCAUAGGAUACCCUAAGGAAACAAUUGGGUACACCCUUCUCUUCUCCUUCCUCCAUACGUAACCAUUUAUGACAAGUUCUUUGUCACCUCCAUAAACGAGAAACAUAUCCUUAGUCCUUUUCAGGUAUUUCGGGAUGUUCUUGACUGUUGUCCAGUGAUCCACCCCUGGAUUACUUUGGUAGCUCCCUACUAAACUUAUAGCAAGGCACACAUCAGGUCCGGUACACAACAUUGCAUACAUGAUAGAACCUAUGGCUGAGGCAUAGGGAAUGACUUUCAUUUUCUCUCUAACUUCUGCAAUGGUCGGGCAUUGAGUCUGACUCAACUUCACACCUUGUAACACAUGCAAGAACCCUUUCUUUGACUGAUCCAUUUUGAAUUUCUUCAAAACUUUAUCAAGGUAUGUGCUUUGUGAAAGUCCAAUUAAGCGUCUUGAUCUAUCUCUAUAGAUUUUGAUGCCCAAUAUAUAAGCAGCUUCACCGAGGUCUUUCAUUGAAAAAUUCUUAUUCAAGUAUCCUUUUAUGCUAUCCAGAAAUUCUGUAUUAUUUCCAAUCAACAAUAUGUCAUCCACAUAUAAUAUUAGAAAUGCUACAGAGCCCCCACUCACUUUCUUGUAAAUACAGGCUUCUCCAAAUGUCUGUAUAAAACCACAUGCUUUGAUCGCACUAUCAAAGCGUAUAUUCCAACUCCGAGAGGCUUGCACCAGUCCAUAAAUGGAUCGCUGGAGCUUGUACACUUUGUUAGCACCUUUAGGAUCGACAAAACCUUCUGGUUGCAUCAUAUACAACUCUUCUUUAAGAAAUCCAUUAAGGAAUGCAGUUUUGACAUCCAUUUGCCAAAUUUCAUAAUCAUAAAAUGCGGCAAUUGCUAACAUGAUUCGGACAGACUUAAUCAUCGCUACGGGUGAGAAGGUCUCAUCGUAGUCAACUCCUCGAACUUGUUGAAAACCUUUCGCAAUAAGUCGAGCUUUGUAGACAGUAACAUUACCGUCAGCGUCAGUCUUCUUCUUGAAGAUCCAUUUAUUCUCUAUGGCUUGCCGAUCAUCAGGCAAGUCAACCAAAGUCCACACUUUGUUCUCAUACAUGGAUCCCAUCUCAGAUUUUAUGGCCUCAAGCCAUUUCGCGGAAUCUGGGCUCAUCAUCGCUUCCUCAUAGUUCAUAGGUUCGUCAUGGUCUAGUAACAUAACUACCAGAACAGGAUUUCCGUACUACUCUGGUGCGGAACGUACUCUGGUUGACCUACGGGGUUUGGUAGUAACUUGAUCUGAAGUUUCAUGAUCAUCAUCAUUAACUUCCUCACUAAUUGGUGUAGGAAUCACUGGAACUGAUUUAUGUGAUGAACUACUUUCCAAUUCGGGAGAAGGUACAAUUACCUCAUCAAGUUCUACUUUUCUCCCACUCACUUCUUUCAAGAGAAACUCCUUCUCAAGAAAGGAUCCAUUCUUAGCAACGAAUAUCUUUCCUUCGGAUCUGGGAUAGAAGGUGUACCCAACAGUUUCCUUUGGGUAUCCUAUGAAGACACAUUUCUCCGAUUUGGGUUCGAGCUUAUCAGGUUGAAGCUUUUUCACAUAAGCAUUGUAGCCCCAAACUUUAAGAAACGAAAGCUUAGGUUUCUUGCUAAACCACAGUUCAUAUGGUGUCAUGUCAACGGAUUUAGAUGGUGCCCUAUUUAACGUGAAUGUAGCCGUCUCUAAAGCAUAACCCCAAAAUGAUAGCGGUAAAUCGGUAAGAGACAUCAUAGAUCGCACCAUAUCUAACAAAGUACGGUUACGACGUUCGGACACACCAUUACACUGUGGUUUUCCAGGUGGCGUGAGUUGCGAAACUACUCCACAUUGUUUCAAAUGAAGACCAAACUCAUAACUCAAAUAUUCACCCCCACGAUCAGAUCGUAGAAACUUUGUUUUCUUGUUAUGAUAAUUUUCCACUUCACUCUGAAAUUCUUUGAACUUUUCAAAUGUUUCAGACUUAUGUUUCAUUAACUAGAUAUACCCAUAUAUGCUCAAAUCAUCUAUGAAGGGCGGAAAAUAACGAUACCCGCCACGAGCGUCAACACUCAUUGGACAACACACAUCAAUAUGUAUUAUUUCCAAUAAGUCAGUGGCUCGCACCAUUGUUCCGGAGAACAGAGUCUUAGUCAUCUUGCCCACGAGGCAUGGUUCGCAACUAUCAAGUGAUUCAUAAUCAAGUGAUUCCAAAAGCCCAGCAGCGUGGAGUUUCUUCAUGUGCUUUACACCAAUAUGACCUAAAUGGCAGUGGCCCAAAUAAGUUGCACUAUCAUUAUUAACUUUGCAUCUUUUGGCUUCAACAUUAUGAAUAUGUGUAUCACUACGAUCGAGAUUCAACAAAAAUAGACCACUCAUCAAGGAUGCAUGACCAUAAAAGAUAUUACUCAUAUAAAUAGAACAACCAUUAUUCUUUGAUUUAAAUGAAUAAUCGUUUCGCAUCAAACAAGAUCCAGAUAUAGUGUUCAUGCUCAAUGCUGGCACCAAAUAACAAUUAUUCAGGUCUAAAACUAAUCCCGACGGUAGAUGUAGAGGUAGCGUGCCGACGGCGAUCACAUCAACCUUGGAACCAUUUCUGACGCGCAUCGUCACCUCGUCCUUAGCCAAUCUUCGUUUAAUCAGUAGCCCCUGUUUCGAGUUGCAAAUAUGAGCAACAGAACCAGUAUCAAAUACCCAGGCACUACUACGAGCAUUAGUAAGGUACACAUCAAUAACAUGUAUAUCAAAUAUACCUUUCUCUUUGCCAUCCUUCUUAUCCGCCAAAUACUUGGGGCAGUUUCGCUUCUAGUGACCAAUCCCUUCGCAGUAGAAGCACUCAAUUUCAGGCUUAGGUCUAGACUUGGGCUUCUUCCCUUGAGAAGCAACUUGCUUGUUGUACUUCUUGAAGUUCCCCUUCUUCCCUUUGCCUUUUUUCUUGAAACUAGUGGUUUUGUUAACCAUCAACACUUGAUGCUCCUUUUUUAUUUCUACCUCCGCAGCCUUUAGCAUGGCGAAGAGCUCAGGAAUUGUCUUUUCCAUCCCUUGCAUAUUAUAGUUCAUCACGAAGCCUUUAUAGCUUGGUGGCAGUGAUUGAAGAACUCUGUCAAGGACACUAUCAUCAGGAAGGAUAACUCCCAGCUGAGUCAAGUGGUUAUGGUACCCAGACAUUCUGAGUAUGUGUUCACUGACAGAACUAUUCUCCUCCAUCUUGAAGCUAUAGAACUUGUUGGAGACUUUAUAUCUCUCAACUUGGGCAUUUGCUUGAAAUAUUAACUUCAACUCCUGGAACAUCUCAUAUGCUCCAUGACGUUCAAAACGUCUUUGAAGUCCUGAUUCUAAUCCGUAAAGCAUGGCACACUGAACUAUCGAGUAGUCAUCAGCUUUAGUCUGCCACACGUUCAUAACUUCCGGAGUUGCUCCUGCAACGGGUCUUGCACCUAGCGAUGCUUCUAGGACGUAAUUCUUCUGUGCAGCAAUGAGGAUAAUCCUCAAGUUAUGGACCCAGUCCGUGUAGUUUCUACCAUCAUCUUUCAACUUAGCUUUCUCUAGGAACGCAUUAAAAUUCAAGGGAACGGUAGCACAGGCCAUUGAUCUACAACAACAUAGGUAUGCAAAAACUAUCAGGACUAAGUUCAUGACAAAUUAAAGUUCAAUUAAUCAUAUUACUUAAGAACUCCCACUUAGAUAGACAUCCCUCUAGUCAUCUAAAUGAUCACGUGAUCCAUAUCAAUUAAACCAUGUCCGAUCAUCACGUGAGAUGGAGUAGUUUUGAAUGGUGAACAUCACUAUGUUGAUCAUAUCUACUAUAUGAUUCGCGUUCGACCUUUCGGUCUCAGUGUUCUGAGGCCAUGUCUGCAUAUGCUAGGCUCGUCAAGUUUAACCCGAGUAUUCUGCACGUGCAAAACUGUCUUGCACCCGUUGUAUGUGAACGUAGAGCUUAUCACACCCGAUCAUCACGUGGUGUCUCGGCACGACGAACUGUAGCAAUGGUGCAUACUUAGGGAGAACACU
rnacentral:lncRNA from 1 species